UUUGACCGUGCAACUGUGCUCCAAGUGUUCUUUGCUUGCAACAAGAAUGAGGAACUUGCAGCCAACUACCUUUUAGAUCAUAUGCAUGAUUUUCAGGAUUGAGUUGGUAAAAGAAAUGGCUUGGGGAAGUACAAUAUCAUUUUCUCUUUCGUUCUUUGGGGGUCCAUUGUCAUUCAUGUUCCCCCUCCCCUCCCCCCAAAACUUUACCGACUUUAUUCUUAAUCAAGUGAUGUAAGUGUUUGGUGUAGAGACAAGGGAUGUGAAGAUGUUAACUUCAUUUUUUUUCCUUUUGUCUUUUUAUUUCCGAAGGACCCAUUAUUUAUAACGUUAUAUACAAGUUUCUUUCUAAGCUUGUGUGUUUUGUACUUCACAUUUUAUGCUAUUAGAAGCACUUGCCACAAGGAGCUCCACCCAACUUUCAAGUUUUUCGAUCAACACUCUUCCCUAUACCUUGUGCAUGAAUUUGGUAGCCCGUCAGAAUGGUUAGAGUUGGCAGUGGAAACUCUAGAACCGUGGAAACAGUUUGAAUAAUAUGCAGUGAAAUUUAUGGUCGCAAAACAUGUAAAAUUUUUCUAUUUUCCAAAUAUGUUGGCCAUGUAUAACACCUUUAGUGUAUUCGUAAUAUACAUUAUCGAAUAUCAAAAUUAUCGACGCCUCCUCAAAGUAUUAGCAUCUUGUUUCAUAUUACGUAAAUAAAUCUCAAUCUCAAUAUCUUAAAUAUAGCCAAUGAUAAUUUAUAUUUCAUAUUUGUUUAAUUAUUUUGGCCCCUAUUAAUUGACUCAGACUCAAGGAUGGAUAUACAGAUCAAACCAUCAACACACCAGAAUAUGCAUGUAACACCUCACACUUGACUCAAUAGUCGGAUCCAAAUAUGUGAUGCCACAUUAUGCUGCCGAAGUAACUCAAGUUAUCUCAUUACAUAAUCAUAAAAUUUAAAUCAUAAUUACCAUUCAAACAAAUUUAACCAUAAUCAAUCAUACUAGCAAGUAUUCAUUUGUAAUGUUUAAGUUUCAAAUUCAUCGCUAUACGGAGUUAGGAAAAGUCAAAUUUAGAGUUAGAACUUGAAUCCAAACUCAAUUAUUAAAUUUCAAUGUUGUGUCUCGAGACAAGUCUCAUUUUAAUUUAGGUAUUUUAGCUUCAAAUUUAAUCUGUCUCGAGACAUUAGAAAUUGUGUCUCCAAAUUAUGUCUCAAGAUCAACCUCCUAUGUUUUCCUAUUUUUGCUUCAAUGUUUGAAUGUCUCGAGAUAGGGGGUUCUUGUCCUGAGACCUAGAGUAGGACAAAAUCUAUUUAGUUUUGAUGUUCUCCUGUCUUGAGACAAAGAUCAUUUGUCUUGAGACCUAGGAACAAUUGUCUCGAGCUUAUACAAAUAUGUCUCGAGACCUGAGGCUCUUGAAUGCAAAAUUUAAAUGAAAUUUGAUCUAGCGUCUCAAGAUUCGGUGAACAAAUGGUCAAAAAUCCUAUACUUCUAAGUGUUAAAUACCUUAACCAAAUGAACUUAAACCUACCUAAAACUUACCACUAAACAUAUUCAUCCUAUUAACCUAUCUAAACAUGUUUAAACAUUACCAAAUUAUAACCUUCAAUAGAUCAUUUUCAAACCAGCCAAUUUGCACAUUCAAACUCACAUAAUCAAGCAUUAUUAACUUGUAAUAAAGAGAUGAAAUUCAACCAUAAAGACAUUAUAGGCCAAAUUACCAAAAGUAUCAAAUCAUCGUUAAGAGUAACAACCAAACCAACUUAGGUACAUGCCAGAAGACUCAAAACACAUAUAAAUACAAAAAGUAUUGAGAUGCCUUCUGAGCUAAGUUAGAGAAAUUAGAUUCUUGGGCUUGAGUCUAUUGAAGCUUUUGCUUGUGACCUGCGCACAGAACAAACAAAACUAUACGCUGAGCAAUAAGGUUUAGUAGUUCUAACAUGAUAUAAAACAACAAUCAAUUAUAAGAAAAAUAAACAAAUACAUUUAAAAUGAAAUUCAACCAUAAUCUAAAUCAUUUUUAAAUUCCUUGUCUCAUGCUUUUAUUAUCUUGCUUUAUGCUUAUUAUCAUUUCAUAUAUCAACAUUUAAAUUCAUCUAUCAUUCUAUCUCAAUUACAUGCAAAUUUAGGCAUAACAUAUAAGUCAUUUCACUUUUUCAUUUCUUACCCAAAUCUAUUUAUUCGUAUUAUCACCAUAUCGAUCCUUGAUCACCUCUCGAUGUGCAAACGUCUAGAGUGUAAAAUCGUGCAAAAAUAUAAAGAUAAUAAUUAAGUACAGUUUCUGCAAGCAAACAAGUCAUAUUGUAAUAUAGUUAGUUUACAACGAAACAAUUGGUAAGUAUUCCGAGGAUUGUACCUAAAGGAUGGCAGAUUGGAGAAAUUCACUAUGAAAUCAAUUACAAAAAAUAAUUACUAAUUUAAUCGAGUUACAAAUUAGUAGUGUUAAUUAACUAAUACUAAAGCUAACCCUAGGUUAAGUCAAUAGGUUUUUCCUAUUCCUUAUUUCGAUUACGCGAGCUACUUAGCCUAGGAUCAAUUGUGCUGCCUGAUUAUUAACUAAGUCAAUAAUUACCUUUAAUUAAGUAUUUACCAUUAUUAGCUACGAAUACCCUCUUAGUCCCAUCUUCACUAAGGAUUACCAUCUAAGAUACCCCAUCGGUCUCACUUAGGCAUACGGAUACCCUCUCGGUCUCACCACUUGGCACAAGUUUUACUCAACAAGAUACUCUCUCGGUCUCACUUGUGUAGGUCUUCUACUAGGGGCGUCACUUCCUAGUACACUAAGUACUGUUGAAUAAAUACUCAAGUUCAGGUUAUUAUUUACUUAAUCAAUUAAUUAGGUUAAACAGUUGAAACAUGCAAGAUAUGUAUAAAGCAUAAACUCAUUUUGAUAUUCAUACAAACAUUCAAUAAUCAAAGUUAAAGAAAGAGAUAUAACUAAGAGAAUAAGGGAAGAGAAUGCUCAUGGAUUAAUCGAUGUAAAAGUGCAACUCCAGAACAAUAUCUGUUCACGAUAGUCUCACUUUGAAAUAUGAUCUUCUAAUUAAGCAAACAUAAAAAUAACUAAGUAAAAACUAAGAGAGAAAUAAAAGCUAAAUAAUAAUCUAUGUAUCCCUCAAUUUGUGUUUAAUGUGUUGCUUUGAGAUAUUAUUUAUAGAUUACAUGUAUUAUGACCUAAUUAAGUUAAGUAAAGACGACUAAACAUGUUAAUUUAGGUUCUACAUACAAAAACACCCUCAGUUGAUAUUUGGCCUUGUUGCAGCUGUGUUGCGACACCCUCUAGCUUGUGUCGUGACAUUGAAGGCAGUAUAUUUUUUUUGGCACGUUCAGGGCUACGUCGCGACAUCCCCUGGUGUGUGUCAUGACAUAGAAGGUAGUAUGCUCCAUAGGUAGUUUGGAAGGUGUGUUUGCGACAUCCCAGCCGUGUGUUGUAACAUCAAAGGUAGUCCACUAACUCCUCGGCCUAAAUUAAUGUCAUGCACACUUAAUCAACACAUUAGUCUUCCCUUAGGCCCAGAUUGGCCUAGAAGGUCAUAAAACACAUAAAAAUGCUCAUUUUAUUAACUAAAUACUCUAAAUAGAAACUUAAGAAAAACAUUACUUAUUUGCUAGAAAACAAGCUCCCUUAAGUGUCAAAAAUGACCUAAUUUGCCACAACAAAUUGUGGCAAAUCAACCCUCAAGGCUCAUAAUAAUCGUAUCACAUGGUCUUUCACAUGCUAUCAUUAAUGUUAUAAUGAUCAUAUAUAAAUUUCAAUUCCACAUUCAAUAUCAUUUACCAAUUUUCAUGUUUUAUAAUCCCUAUUAACCGGACAUAUACUCAAGAUGGAUACACGAAUCUUUCAACCAUUACAACAAUAUAACUAGCACUGAGUGCAUCAUUGGUACAUCUGAAGUAUAUUGCGCUCUGUGUCUUACCGGUAUAAACUGAAGUAAAUAUAUAAAUGUGCCUAGCACCUCAUCAGUACAUCCAAAGUGUAAUGUAUGCUCCGUGCCUCAUUGGUAUAAAUCGAAGUAAAAUACCAUACACUAAUCCUAUGGCAUGCCAACUAUACCUGACUAAAUCCGAAACUGUUAAUUGGGUAUUCAAUGUUUCAAAGCACAUAUUUCUCAUGUCACAAGUCAACAUAUUCGAUGGAGAAACUUUUAGAAACACUUUCUCACCUAUGACAUAUUCAAUUUCAACACUGGCCCCUUGUUUGGUAAUUUUAAGUUGGUAAAAUUUUUGGAAACCUUUCAAGAGUGGAGGUUCAUUUCUUUGGCAGAAGUCUAUGAAAUAGGCUAUAAGGAUCCACCAAGACAGGGUCGAUAACUACCCUGGUGCGAUGUUGUACUCUGAAAGCAUUGAAAAAGAACGGAUGUAGGGGCAGAUGGAAGCCAACUUCUAAUAGAAUAAGAGGAAGGAUGAAAUCUUGAGUGUUGUCAUUGAGACAACACCUCGGUGGUAUUUUGAUGUCGUAGGAAAAGUUCAGACAACAAAAGCCUCAGGCUAUUUAGAAUCAAUCCGUUUCUUCUUGGAUUGUAUUACAUUCAUACAUAGGAGUGGAAGCUCGGGGAAGAGUAUUUUCAAGCUAUUGAGGUCCAAAGAUGGUGUAAUUUGUGGGGGAUUAAAGUUUGGCUACUGUAACACCCCUAACCCAUCUCCGUCGUCGAAUUAGGGUUACGAAGUAUUACCGUACAAAGCAGAACGUUUAACUUCAAUAUAGAAUAUUAAUUCAAAUUACAAAGUGAAUAACAAUUACACAAUUGAAUCAUAGCAAUAAUACUAAUUUGGGCCUUAAACCGAGCAUUCGGGGCCCUAAAAAUGAUUUAAAAAUGAUCGGGGAUUGAUUUGAAUAAAUCAUAAAAUUUUGAGAAAAACAUAAAAAUUGUGAAAACAAGGGUCACACGGCCGUGUGACAUAACCUAGACCAUGUGACUCCAAACAUGACCAUGUAGCUAUCCACACGUUUGUGUGACUAUAACACAUGCUCGUGUGUGCAGACCGUGUAACUCACUGACUUGGUAUACACGGUCGUGUGUCGGACCGUGUACCAGAUCGUGUAACUCACUGACUUAGUACAAGGUUGUGUCUUAGAUCGUGUGUAACCUGUACCUAAAAUAAAAAGUGACACACAACUAUAUAGCCAAGCCAUGUGAGUUACACGGCCGUGUGACAGCUCGUGUCCCAGGCCGUGUACUCCAUAAUUAACCCCUAAAAUAAUCCAUUUCAAAACCAAAACUUGUCCAACAAGCUACUCCAUUUGUACAUACAUUCAAUGGACCUAAACACACUUCAAACAUUCAUAAACAUACCAAUUCAAUCAACCUAAAUCCUAUAACCAUAUGCCAAUCAAAGGCACCUCAUUUCAUACCAUAACAAUAUCAAUUAAGAACAAAACUACAAUGCCACAUCUCAAACACAAAACAUAGGUAAAAUAGCUACCUAAUGACAAAAAUUGUCAAUCCGUUCCACCAUUCAAAUUAAGCAUACCAAAAUGACCAUAUUCAUAUAGCUUUUAACAUAUAAACAAACCAACUACACCAUAUAUGUAUACAACCAUUUAUAAAAGUAACCAAAACACCCAAAAGCAUAAAUGACCUUAAACCCGAUACAUGCCAUUUAUAACCAUAGUUCAAAAUAACCAAAAACAACCAAAGUGAUUGUUGGAUAGUGUGAUAAGACUCCAGAAAGGUUCCAACCGAUCGAGCUUCUGAUGAUCUACAAAACAAAGGAAAAACAACCACAUAAGCAUUUAAUGCUUAGUAAGUUCGUAUUAGGUAAACUUCAACUUACCGAACAUCAAUUAACAAUCCAUACAAACAUGCUCAUUUCAUCAAUUAACAUAAAACUUUCCUAUGCACCAUAAUUCACAUGGUUAGUAGAUAUAAUGAAAACAUAACAUCUCAUAUACUAAGAAGUAAAUUCCAUACAUUUCUUUGUCAUCACAUAGCAACAUCUCAUUCAUUACAUUUCAUAAAUUCAUACCAAUUUUACCUUUUCAAAUGAACAUUAGCAAUAAUGGAUUCUUAUACAUGCUUUUCCAUCAUCCUUUUCUUACCCCUCGAACCAUUUAGAAUUUCAUCGGAUACUUGAGAAUGCCCAGACAUAGUGUGCCUUUUCAUGUAAUCGUAACCAUUCCUUUUCAAUAGUGCUCACAUGAGCUGUAAAAUAGGCUUGCUCACACAAGCAAUAAGUCCGAAUGUUAGCUACUCGGUGCUAUUCACACGAGCUGUAGAAAAUUCGUAACAAAUGUAGGACCUCGCCAUCGGUAGAACAUUCAAGACCAACACCCAAAAUCGUAUAACCCUAAUGACAUGUCAUUUGUAUCCUAAUAAUUCUUAAGGUUCAAACAGGAUUACUUAACCAUUAAUUGUUCAAAACAUCGUGAUAUUUUCGAGUCUGAUUUAUAUUCAACAUGUUAUAACAAAUAAUCAAAUCAAACUAUAAUUAAUAAGAUUAUAAUUCAUACGAACUUACCUCGCUAUCACGAUCAUUUAACAGAAUCAAAAAUUAAUCCAACAUCUUAGUUUUGCCUCGAUUUAAAACCAGUUGUUAUGUAUCUUGAUCUAAAUAAUAAUUUCAUUCAAUCAAGUACUUCAAAUAACUUCAAUUAUUCAAUUUAAUAUAUAAUUCAUAUUAUCUUAAAAUUACAAAAUUACUCCACCUAUUUUAACUUUUUCACAACUUAGUCCUUAAGCUAAUAACUUGAAAUUUAACCAUUUUUUAACCUAAUCCAUGAUAAUCGAUUCUUUCCUAAGCUUAAAUAAUCUACAUUUUUUUCAUUAUUUCAUACAAUAUACAUGAAAUUUAUGAAUUAAGCAAUUGAAUCACUAAACUUUACAUUCAAAAAAAUCCACUUAACAAAUCAUGAUCAUUUAACAACCAAAUUUAAUUAUCUUACACUAAAUAGAUUAAGCUAAAAGGAUAACAAAACCAUAAAAAUCAUUAAAAAUGGGACUAAAAAACGUACUAUGCAUGAACAAAACACCAUAGUUGAAAGCUCCCUAUUCUCUACAAUGGUUUUUUGUUUGAGCAAAGCAAAAUUGGAAAAUAUGAUAGCCAUUCAUCUUUUCUUUAAGUCAUUUAUUUAAUUAUUUACUAUUUUGCCCUUAUGUUAUAACUUAAUAAUAAACAUAAACAUGCCCAUAAUUGUCCGCUAUCAACAUGUAUGGUGUAAUUACCAUCUAAGUACAUCAUCUUGAGAUUCCAUAGCCAUUUGAAUCCUUUAACUAAUACAAAUCAACUUUUGUACUUUUUUUAAUUUUGUAACACCCCGACCGGUGUCCGUCGUCGGAUUAGAGUUACGAGGCAUUACCAAUCAAAAUUUGACCCAGAAAUUUUUUUUUCUUUUUUUUAACUCAACCACAAAAUUUCAUUCCAUAUAUAUAUAUUAUCACAUAACCAAUUAAAAUCAAACAUUUAUCCAAGCAUUUAUUUCAUUUCAAUUUACUAACUAUACAACAUAUUACAAACAUAGGUAAUCUACCCUGUUUGGACAGCUCUUAUACACAAAAUUUGAUAGCAUGUAUAUACAAAAUUUGACAGCAUUUAUACACCACAAUGGAGCAGUAUAUACACAAUACAUCAUAUACAUAUAAUACACAUAUUAUUUUCGAAGUACGCUUAAAUAUAACUAAUUUAUACAACUAUUAACAAAUAUGCUAAACAUAUCACACUUCCAUAUAAAUAACCAAAAUUUGCAUAAGCUUAAACAUCGUAUAUAUAUACCAAAUAGAUCAAAAACAUAAAACCAAGCUUAAUCAAAAUGAGUAAGCCAUUUUCGCAUGGCUCAUAUUCACAUAUCUCAAAAUUAAACAUAUUAACUAGACUAUACAUGCCAUAGUUUCGAAUUCAAAAUUUAUAAAAUACCAAAGACGGUCGAUAGUGUGAUAGACUAUGCUGAUGAUCCCCGAGCUCGUAACGCGACUCCAAAAUCUAUAAAACAAAGGUAAACAAAUACAAACACACAUUAAGCUAUUAAAGCUUAGUAAGUCAUAAGAAAAAAUUCAUAUAUAUAUAUACACAAAUACUUAUUCCAUCAUUAAGUUAAAAUAAACCAAAUAUCCUAAUAUUUUGUACUAUAUAACACUUUAACAAAAAAAUCACAUUGUAUUUUCAUAUAAACAAACCAUAUGGCCAAAUACACCUAAAUAUUUAGCAAAGCCAAAUAUUCAAUAAAUCAUUAUGCCAAAACAUACUUAUACUCAAAUGGUUAACUCAUACUCUAUAUUUCAUUUGAAACUGUUAUCAAAUUAAAAUAAUCAACUUCCCUUAACACAAAUUAAGCAAAUAGCUAACACAUACUUGAAUAAUUUAGCUUUCUUAACACAUUUAUUUGCUUUUACUAUUGCUCACAUAAGAUUUAUAUAACAUAGAGCCUUGUAUAAAACACCGGCAUAAAGCCUGCUAGGCACAAAGCCUGAUACAUUUCACCGACACAAAGCCUGCUAGACAUUAAGUCUGAAUAAUUCACCGGCAUUAAGCCUGCUAGGUACAGAACCUGGAUAUCACAAAUACGAGAAUAAUUUCUCAUAUAUAACCCUUACUGGCAUUACACAUGUUUAAAACAUAUAUGUAUAAUUCAUGUAGAUUAACCACACUUUCAAGAAAUUGGCAAACCAUAGCUCAGUUACAUCUGCACUUACAAUCCAUACUUUUAGCUCAAUACAAAUAAUUGUAUAUACGUUUAUACCCAUUCAAACCACACUCAUUCCAUAAUAUAUAGUUCAUACCUUAAAUUCAUUUCAAGAAUUUAUACAUACUCGUACAACUACUUCAACCUCAUACAUUUUUGUGUAUGUAUUUCACAUCUUUAAUUUAACUCGAAAACCUAUACAUAUAUAUAUAACCGAACUCACAUAUGCAAUAUAACAUACAUACCUUAAAUCAAUUCCAAAAAUUUAUACAAUUAUAUACAUAUAGAUAUUGAGACUUCAUAUACAUAUUUUCAUAACUUCCAUACUUCAAUCAAAUUCAAAAACCCUAUAUACUUAUAUACACAUAUAUUCGAACAAUAUAUAAAUAUCUUUAAUUCAUAACAUUAGAUUCAGUUCACAGUAAUUGAAACAUACCUUCGAACCACUUUUAUAUAUAUAUAUAUUAUAAUACUAAUUCAACUUACUGAACUCAAGGUAUACUUUGGUUAACAUACACCUAAUUUAUAAAAUAAAUUCAAUAUACCAAAAUUAAUAAAGUUCAUUACAGAUUAUAUACCAUAAAUUUCAACUUAUUGAAUAUAUAAUAGAUAUAUAAAUAUAUUCUGAUUUAAUAACAUUUAUUCACUAUUAGACUUACCUGGGACAAUGAAAAAUCGAAGUCGGGUGAUUUUUCAGUUACUUUGGCUUUUCCCCGAUCUAACUCUGAUUUCUUUGGUUCUCGAUUUAAAUAUAUUCAAAAUGAGCUAGUUUAAUUAUUAACACAUUCAAUUUAGUCCAAAAAAAUAUAUAAAUGGGAAAAUUACCAUUUUGCCCCUAAUAUUUACACUUUUUACAAUUUAAUCCCUAUUGGAUAAAAUACAAAAUACACAAAAUUUGUUCACAACAUACAAGGGUCGAAUGUUCCUUGUCUUUAUACAAGUCCACACAUUUCAUUUAUUUCAUGUUUUAGUCCCUCAAAAAUUUAUUUUCACAAUUUAACUCUAAUUACUCAAAUUCACUAAAAAUUCAAAGACAAAACAUGUUAAUCUAACACAUAUAUUUCAUAUUUCAUCAACUAACAUCACAAAACUCAAACAUUCAUCAAUGGCACAUUUCAAAAUCAUCAACCAUUCACAAAAUUAAUACAUGGGUUUUGAAGUAUUCGAAGCAACGAUCUCAAAAACGUAAAAAUUAUCAAAAACCGAACAAAGAACUAACCUUAAAUUUAAACACAACAAUGGCCGAACCUAGCUAGCUUUCUUCCUUUUUUUCUUUUGUUCAAAUUCGGCUAGAAAAGAUGAUAAAAUGGCUUCUUCUUCUUCUUUUUUUGUGUUUUAUUUAGCAUAUAUUAUCAUUUAUUUUAGUUACUAAAAUAACCUUUAAUAAUUAAUAAACAAAACAUAUAUAAUAAGGUUAUAUUAGUCUUUUGCCACCCACUAUCUAUGUUUUAGUCUAAUUGCAUCAUAAAUCCCCCAUUUUAAAAUGACAAAAACAAUUAGGUACUUUUAGAUUUAACCCCUAAAUUUUUAUUUUAAGCGAUUUAAUCCUUUUAUUUAACCGGACACUCAAACGACGAAAUUAAAACACGAAAAUUUCACACAAUUAAAUUCACACAUAAUAAACACACAAAAUAAUAUUAAAAUAUUUUUUUGACUCGGACUUAUGGUCCCGAAACCACUAUGUCCUAUUAGAGUCAAAACCGGGUUGUUACAACUCUUCCCCCUUAGGGAUUUUCGUCCCCGAAAAUCUUACCGGUGAAUAGGUUAGGAUAACGCUCUUUUAUUGUAUAUUCUGACUCCCAAGUUGCUUCUUCAACUCCGUGUUUAUGCCACAAUACUUUAACUAACAGAAUUUUCUUAUUUCCGUAAUUUUUUGAUCUCACGAGCCAGAAUGCUAAUCGGUUCUUCUUCAUAUGACAUAUCAGAGUUAAUUUCAAUCUCCGUCGGACUAAUCACAUGUGAAGGAUCAGAUCGGUAUCUACGGGAGCAUCGAAACAUGGAAUACAUUGUGAAUCUUUUCUAACUCCGGUGGCAGCAACAAUCUAUAAGCAACCGGCCCAACACGUUCUAUAAUCUCAUACUCUAUAUUUCAUUUGGUAUCAUGAUCGGCUGAAGCAAUCCAGAUGGUACUUGAUGCUCAGCUUUUACUUGCUGACAUAUUAAACAUUUCGAAACAAAGUCAGAAAUGUCUCGUUUCAUACCAUGCCACCAAUAGUGCUGUUUCAGAUCGUUAUACAUUUUUCUGCUACCCGGAUGAACAGAAAAUCGACUAUUAUGAGCUUCAUUCAAAAUUAUCUGAAUUGACUCUGAAUUUUUUUGGAACACAUAAUCGGUUUCUGAAUCUCAAACAAUCCUCAGCAUCAACUAAAAACUCCAGUCAACAUUUAAGUCACACUGAGCUCGUUUUGCAAUUAAAUCAUCAUUGACUUUCUGAGCUUCACAAAUCUGUUGAACAAAUAACAGUUUUGCUUUCAACUCAGCUACUAUCGCACCAUCAUCAGACAUAGCCAUAUGUGCAUUCAUUGCACGCAAAACAAACAGUGAUUUUCGACUUAAGGCAUCAGCAACAACAUUAGCCUUUCCCGGAUGAUAGUCAAUCACAAGCUCGUAAUCUUUCAAUAAUUCUAACCAUCGGCGUUGUCUCAAAUUCAGAUCUUUUUGAGUCAUCAAAUAUUUCAGACUUUUUUGAUCGGAAUAAACAUGAAAUUUUUCGCCAAACAAAUAGUGACGCCAUAUUUUUAAUGCAAAUACAAUAGCGGCCAAUUCCAGAUCAUGCGUCGAAUGGUUCUUUUCGUGCGGCUUAACUGUCUCGAGGCAUAGGCUACAACUUUGCCUUCCUGCAUCAAAACACAACCCAAACCAUUUAAAGAUGUAUCACUAUAGAUAACAAAUUCUUUACUCGAUUUGGGCUGAACUAAGACUGGAGCUUCGGUCAAAAGAACUUUCAACUGAUUGAAACUUUUCUGGCACUUUUCUGACCACUCAAACUUAACGUCUUUUUGUAGUAGCUUUGUCAUUGGGGUCACAAUCAUAGAGAACCCUUUCACGAACCGUCUAUAGUAACCAGCGAGCCCUAGAAAGCUUCGAACUUCAGAGACAUUUCUCGGAGGUUUCCAAUCAAGUAUAGCUGAAAUUUUACUCGGAUCAACCUGAAUACCCGAUGCUAAUACAACAUGGCCAGAAAACUGACUUCGCGUAACCAAAACUCACAUUUACUAAACUUUGCAUACAACUGUUUAUCUUGCAAAGUUUGUAACACAAGUCUCAGAUGUUCGGCAUGCUCGGUUUCAUCACGAGAGUAGAUCAAAAUGUCAUCUAUAAAUACUACCACAAAUCGAUCAGAUACUGUCUAAAGAUUCGAUUCAUCAAGUCCAUGAAAAUAGUAGGUGCAUUACUAAGUCUGAAAGGCAUAACCAGAAACUCAUAAUGUCCGUACCUCGUUCGGAAAGCAGUCUUUGGCACAUCAGAGUCUUUAACUCGCAACUGAUAGUAGCUUGAUCUCAGAUCUAUUUUCGAAAACAUAGUAGCCCCUUUCAACUGAUCGAACAAAUCAUCAAUCCGUGGUAACGGAUACUUAUUCGUUAUAGUCACCUUAUUGAGCUGUCGGUAAUCAAUGCACAUUCUCAUCGUUCCGUCUUUCUUUCUCACAAAUAGAAUGCACCCCAAGGAGAGAAACUCGGUCGUACGAAACCUUUAUCAGUCAACUCUUGCAACUGUACUUUCAAUUCUUUUAAUUCGGUCGGUGCCAUACGAUAUGGAGCUAUCGAAAUUGGAGUCGUCCCUGGUACUAACUCAAUACCAAACUCUACCUCUCGAAUAGGUGGCAAACCCGACAAUUCUUUGGGAAACACGUCUGAAUACUCACACACAACUGGUACGGAUUCAAUCUUCUUUCCAGUCACUUUACUAUCAAGAACAAAUGCAAGGUAAGCUUCACAACCUUUUCUCACAUACUUCUGAGCCGACAUCGAAGAUAUUAUUGCUGGUAAACCAUUUAGAUCAUUAGAUUCAAUCCGAAUAAUCUCAUCAUUCUGACACCGUAGAUCAAUAGUUUUCCGUUUGCAAUUUACAAUAGCAUCAUGCAGAGUUAACCAAUCCAUACCUAGAAUUAUAUCAAACUCGUCGAAUGGCAACAACAUCAAAUCAGCUCGAAAACAUAAAUCUCGAAUCAUCAACGGACAAUUCUUGCACACUUUAUCAACCAAAACACACCAGCCCAGGGGGUUCGAUACUUUAAUUACAAACUCAGUAGACUCAACAGGUAAAGUCGUACUGAAUACUAAAGUCUCACACACAUAAGAAUGAGUCAAACCAGGAUCAAUCAAUGCAAUAACAUUAGUAUCAUAAAGAGUGAAAAUACCAGUAAUAACAUUUGGAGAAGAAGCCUUCUCUCGAGCACGGAUGGCAUAUGCUCUGGCAGGUGCACGAGCCUCAGAUCGAACUGUCGUGUCCUUUGUCCCUCUCUGACUACCACUUACAUUACCCGUAUGCCUGGGUGGUCUACCUCGUACUAACACGUUACUCGGUCUGGUACUCUGUAUAGUAUUUUGCUCGGCCACCAUCGGACACUCUCGAAUAAAAUGAUCCUUGGAUCCACACUUAAAGCAAGACCGAUCAUGUAAUCUGCAAUCUCCUGGAUGCCAUUUACCACAAUGCUUGCACUCUGAUCUAUUUUGUCGAACAUUACCAACACUAGCAACUGAAGUAGCUCGUGAACUCACAGGGGUUCGAUCUCGAUCAUAUUUAGGAAACUCUGUAGUAGCUUUAGAUCGGCUAUGAUCCUCUCUGAAUUUCUUUGAGGCUGACUGGAACGAUUUACUAAAUGAUCUUUUACGAGAAUCUCGAGCUUCAAAGUCAGCUUUUCUCUUCUCUUUCCUGAGCUCAUCGGCUUUACAAGCUUGUUCAACAAGUACUACGAACUCUUUUAUUUCAAGUAUGCCAACUAACAGUUUAAUAUCUUCAUCCAGCCCAUCUUCAAAUCUUUUACAGAUAAUAGCUUCAGUCGAAACACACUCUCGGGCAUAUCUGCUGAGUCUAACAAAUUUUCGCUCGUAUUCUGUCACUAUCAUCCGACCUUGUUUCAAUUCAAGAAAUUCAUUGCGUUUUUGAUCAACGAAUCUCUGACUGAUGUAUUUUUUACGAAACUCAGUCUGAAAGAAUUCUCAGGUUACUCGCUCUUUAGGAACCACCGAUACUAGUGUAUUCCACCAGUGAUAUGCAGUGUCUCGUAGCAAAGAUAUGACACAUUUCAAGCACUCAUCAGGGGUGCAAGAUAGCUCUUCAAACACUCGAAUAGUAUUAUCAAGCCAGAAUUCAGCUCGCUCAGCAUCAUCAUCAUCAGUGGCUCUGAACUCUUCAGCCCCGUGUUUUCGAAUUUUUUCAACAGGAGGCUUAAGUAAUCUCAUCGGAUCACUCACUUGAGGUAUAACAGGAACCAAACAUGGAUUAGUCAGGGGUAGAGGUUGUUGUGCAACCGGAUUAGUUCGGACAUAUUGAGUAAACCAGUCAUUCAUCAUUUGGUAAAAGGCUUGUUUAGCCUCUCCCUCCUGGUUACUCGAGGUCGGUCGAGAAUCUACCGGCUCUGUCCCUUGCGCAGGAGCAGGCGCUAUACUCUCAACAUCAUCGGCUAUGGCUCGAUCGGGAUCCAUUACUAUACGAAAACACAUUUUUAGACGUCAGAAGUCAUCACACUAUCUCAGUAUAAAAUAUGGCAUGUAUAGCUAGACUCAUACAUGCUACGUUAGUCCUAGAAUCGACUAAACUGUAGCUCUGAUACCAAUCAAAUGUAACACCCCGACCGGUGUCCGUCGUCGGAUUAGAGUUACGAGGCAUUACCAAUCAAAGUUCGACCAAGAAUAUUUUUUUCUUUUUUCUUUUAACUCAACCACAAAAUUUCAUUUCAUAUAUAUAUAUUAUCACAUAACCAAUUAAAAUCAAACAUUUAUCCAAGCAUUUAUUUCAUUUCAAUUUAUUAACUAUACUACAUAUUACAAACAUAGGUAAUCUACCCUGUUUGGACAGCUCUUAUACACAAAAUUUGACAGCAUUUAUACACCACAAUGGAGCAGUAUAUACACAAUACAUCAUAUACAUAUAAUACACAUAUUAUUUUCGAAGUACGCUUAAAUAUAACUAAUUUAUACAACUAUUAACAAAUAUGCUAAACAUAUCACACUUCCAUAUAAAUAACCAAAAUUUGCAUAAGCUUAAACAUCGUAUAUAUAUACCAAAUAGAUCAAAAACAUAAAACCAAGCUUAAUCAAAAUGAGUAAGCCAUUUUCGCAUGGCUCAUAUUCACAUAUCUCAAAAUUAAACAUAUUAACUAGACUAUACAUGCCAUAGUUUCGAAUUCAAAAUUUAUAAAAUACCAAAGACGGUCGAUAGUGUGAUAGACUAUGCUGAUGAUCCCCGAGCUCGUAACGCGACUCCAAAAUCUAUAAAACAAAUGUAAACAAAUACAAACACACAUUAAGCUAUUAAAGCUUAGUAAGUCAUAAGCAAAAAUUCAUAUAUAUAUACAAAUACUUAUUCCAUCAUUAAGUUAAAAUAAACAAAAUAUCCUAAUAUUUUGUACUAUAUAACACUUUAACAAAAAAAUCACAUUGUAUUUUCAUAUAAACAAACCAUAUGGCCAAAUACACAUAAACAUUUAGCAAAACCAAAUAUUCAAUAAAUCAUUAUGCCAAAACAUACUUAUACUCAAAUGGUUAACUCAUACUCUAUAUUUCAUUUGAAAUUGUUAUCAAAUUAAAAUAAUCAACUUACCUUAACACAAAUUAAGCAAAUAGCUAACACAUACUUGAAUAAUUUAACUUUCUUAACACAUUUAUUUGCUUUUACUAUUGCUCACAUCAGAUUUAUAUAACAUAGAGCCUUGUAUAAAACACCGGCAUAAAGCCUGCUAGGCACAAAGCUUGAUACAUUUCACCGACACAAAGCCUGCUAGACAUUAAGUCUGAAUAAUUCACCAGCAUUAAGCCUGCUAGACAUUAAGUCUGAAUAAUUCACCGGCAUUAAGCCUGCUAGGUACAGAACCUGAAUAUCACAAAUACGAGAAUAAUUUCUCAUGUAACCCUUACUGGCAUUACACAUGUUUAAAACAUAUAUGUAUAAUUCAUGUAGAUUAACCACACUUUCAAGAAAUUGGCAAACCAUAGCUCAGUUACAUCUGUACUUACAAUCCAUACUUUUAGCUCAAUACAAAUAAUUGCAUAUAUGUUUAUACCCAUUCAAACCACACUCAUUCUAUAAUAUAUAGUUCAUACCUUAAAUUCAUUUCAAGAAUUUAUACAUACUCAUACAACUACUUCAACCUCAUACAUUUUUGUGUAUGUAUUUCACAUCUUUAAUUUAACUCGAAAACCUAUAUAUAUAUAUAACCGAACUCACAUAUACAAUAUAACAUACAUACCUUAAAUCAAUUCCAAAAAUUUAUACAAUUAUAUACAUAUAUAUAUUGAGACUUCAUAUACAUAUUUUCAUAACUUCCAUACUUCAAUCAAAUUCAAAAACCCUAUAUACUUAUAUACACAUAUAUUCGAACAAUAUAUAAAUAUCUUUAAUUCAUAACAUUAGAUUCAGUUCACAGUAAUUGAAACAUACCUUCGAACCACUUUUAUAUAUAUAUUAUAAUACUAAUUCAACUUACUGAACUCAAGGUAUACUUUGGUUAACAUACACCUAAUUUAUAAAAUAAAUUCAAUAUACCAAAAUUAAUAAAGUUCAUUACAGAUUAUAUACCAUAAAUUUCAACUUAUUGAAUAUAUAACAGAUAUAUAAAUAUAUUCUGAUUUAAUAACAUUUAUUCACUAUUAGACUUACCUGGGACGAUGAAAAAUCGAAGUCGGGUGAUUUUUCAGUUACUUUGGCUUUUCCCCGAUCUAACUCCGAUUUCUUUGGUUCUCGAUUUAAAUAUAUUCAAAAUGAGCUAGUUUAAUUAUUAACACAUUCAAUUUAGUCCAAAAAAAUAUAUAAAUGGGAAAAUUACCAUUUUGCCCCUAAUAUUUACACUUUUUACAAUUUAAUCCCUAUUGGAUAAAAUACAAAAUACACAAAAUUUGUUCACAACAUACAAGGGUCGAAUGUUCCUUGUCUUUAUACAAGUCCACACAUUUCAUUUAUUUCAUAUUUUAGUCCCUCAAAAAUUUAUUUUCACAAUUUAACUCUAAUUACUCAAAUUCACUAAAAAUUCAAAGACAAAACAUGUUAAUCUAACACAUAUAUUUCAUAUUUCAUCAACUAACAUCACAAAACUCAAACAUUCAUCAAUGGCACAUUUCAAAAUCAUCAACAAUUCACAAAAUUAAUACAUGGGUUUUGAAGUAUUCGAAGCAACGAUGUCAAAAAUGUAAAAAUUAUCAAAAACCGAACAAAGAACUAACCUUAAAUUUAAACACAACAAUGGCCGAACCUAGCUAGCUUUCUUCCAUUUUUUCUUUUGUUCAAAUUCGGCUAGAAAAGAUGAUAAAAUGGCUUCUUCUUCUUUUUGUGUUUUAUUUAGCAUAUAUUAUCAUUUAUUUUAGUUACUAAAAUAACCUUUAAUAAUUAAUAAACAAAACAUAUAUAAUAAGGUUAUAUUAGUCCUUUGCCACCCACUAUCUAUGUUUUAGUCUAAUUGCAUCAUAAAUCCCCCAUUUUAAAAAGACAACAACAAUUAGGUACUUUUAGAUUUAACCCCUAAAUUUUUAUUUUAAGUGAUUUAAUCCUUUUAUUUAAUCGGACACUCAAACGACGAAAUUAAAACACGAAAAUUUCACACAAUUAAAUUCACACAUAAUAAACACACAAAAUAAUAUUAAAAUAUUUUUUUUGACUCGGACUUGUGGUCUCGAAACCACUAUGUCCGAUUAGAGUCAAAACCAGGUUGUUACAAAUUUAGUCAUUUUUACCUAAUUAACCUUUUAAACUUCAAAAUUUCUUAACAAAAAUUUAAUAAUACCUUAAAUUAACCCUAUAGACAUUAAAUAAAUAUUAAAAUAAUAACUCAUUUGUCAGAGUCGUGGUCUCAAAACCACUAUUUUUGAUACCACUAAAAAUGGAUUGUUACAGCUACUCUGGUUACGGCCUUUACCAUGAAUACUCAUCCUUAACAUUCUUGUAUGAAAAUAAGAAAAAGGAAUGAUAAAUAAAAUUAAAUAAUAUUACCUUUAAAAAAUCUAGAAAAUCGGAGAAGACGAAGAUAGAAAGAGAAGUCGAGAAAACUGUUAAGAAAAUAUGAAGGUUUGACAAAUGUGUAGAAGAAAGCUUAGAGUUUUUGUUCUAUAGAGAUAAACGUGCUCAAGAAGUUACUUUGUGAAAAUUUUUUACAUUCUCCAAUGCUAGCUUGACAUUGGUCAAAGAGGUAACCAUGCGGUGUCUAUACCAUAGUGUUUAACUGCCAAAAUUUGAUUUCAUUUCGAGAAGCAGUCUGAUGAUAUCUUUUUAAUACUUUUGAAGGGUAUGUCAGUAAGAGGGAAAAAAACUUGAAGUGUGGGUGAGGGAAUCUAUAUCGUCGUUGAUUUAUGCUUGGCGUGAGCAACCAAACAUCAUGGUAAUUAAAAUCCUACAGGGGAUAAAAAUUUCGAGGAUAAAAUUUUAUUAAGGGGGAAAGAGCUAUACCAUCCCAGUUCUAGCGGGCACAAGGUCCGGCGUAGUCAUUUAGAAAUAUGUUGGCGGAGUAGUAUUCGCCAAAGUACCCCUUCUGGCAUAUUGAGUUGGCGGAUACAAGUAUGAGCUUAAGUUAGCGAGUGCUCCGUGCUAGAUUGCUAUGAUUUGUUGAAAAUAGGAUGUAAUCAAGUAAAUCAAUAUUGAGGGUAUGAAUCAACGUCAGAGGUAUAGUGCACCAUUUUCUUUGUUGUAUUGUGCAGGUUAAGUUACAAUGUAAGCUGGUUAAGGUCUAACCGAACGUGAACCAAGAUAGUUAAUUGACGAGGGAAAUACUUAAUUAGGUUUCUCGAAAGUUGUAAACUUUGAUAAGACAAUUCAAUAGUGAUGUGACAUUUGUCAAGUUCCAAUAAAGGCCUAGAUUAUAUUAAUAGGUUUUCUAAUUUGAAUAAAGAAAGUUCUCUUCUUCUUUCUUCAAACAUUGAAAACUAAUGCUGGAUGGAAUGGAAGAAUUCCUUUAAGCUGGAUCUAGAACCCUGUAUUCUAUUAGUGAUUUCUCCAUGUCGAGGUGAGCUUUAUGACUCUAGUAGAUCUACAUGAAUGCCUAAAUAAGUAAGGCCUUGUAUAUGGGUUAUUUGUGUUUCAAAUUAUGGGAAAGGUUAUUUGAAUGAGUUUUGAUGGUGUCCUUUCAUUUUUAAAAGGCAGUGGUUGCAGCAGUUCCUGAGUGGGUCUUGGAUCUAGAACUCAAGUUGCUACAGAUUUUUGUCAGGUGAGUCUUUAAACUGACUCAUGUGUGUAAACUAUUUAUUUUAGAUGAUUCCAUGAAGAAACAUAUAAACUACAAACUGAAACUAAAAAAGAAUGGUAUGAUGAAUAUGUUGAUGUGUGAAUAUUAUUCGAGGGUUGCAUGUAUGACUCGUAUGAAUCUUAUUGGUAUAAAGUAUGUGAUAAAUAAUAUGAAAUUGAAGCUUGAUUGUAUGGCCAUGUUUUGAAUGUAUGAGGUAAAUAGUCUAUUAAGUUUAAUGGUGUUAAUGCAUGAAAGGCCUUUAAGUGUUUGUCUAUUCAUUGCGGUGGAGUCUAAAGAGGUUCGUCGAGACUUUAAACAUGAUCUCUAAAAGGAAAGCCCAUGGCCAUGGCACCAUAUUGUGUAAGACAUAUCUAGUGGUCUAUUACAUCAUAUGGAAAAAACUAAAGAAAAGUUAUUACCUAAUGGGGUUCUCUGCGUGACCUAGGAUGAUGAGGGGCAAACUUCAUGAAAUGUGAGUCUAUACGAAUCCCUGUCAUAAAAACACCAGAAAAAUAGAAUCCUUUGUGGUGAUAUAAAAAAUGGAUGCCUUUGUGGUGAUCUAAGAAAUGGAAGCCUUUGUGGCAAUCUAAGAAAUGAAAGCCUUCAUGGCAAUCCAAGAAAUAGAAGUCGUCGUAGCAAUAUAAGAAAUGGAAGCCUUUGUGGCGAUCUAAAAAAACUGGAAGCCUUUGUAGUGAUAUAAGAAAUGGAAGCUUUAUGGCAAAUCUUGUAAAGGAUUCCUUUAUGGCGCACUCUAAAGAAUGGCCCUUAUGGCAAACUUCUAAAGGAACGCCUUUUUGGUAGACCCUGAAAGAAAGAAAUGAUUACCAUGGCGUAUUAUGAAGGAAUGGAAUUCUUGGCAAAUAAGAAAGGAACAAUAUGAAAGGCAGAUCCUGGACUUAGAGCCUUCGUGGCAAAGAAUCCUGUAGAGAAAGUUUUUACGACACAUAGAAAUUGGGCUACUCCUAUGGCGUGUUCUAGAAAGGCUUUCAAGAAUAAACCAUGAAGGACGCCCUUUGUAGCAGACUCUAUACUAAGUUAUCGACGUAUCUCUUAUUAUUCUUAAUUGCAAAUAGUGGGAUUAGUAAGUACAAAACGUAUAUAUGAGUAUUCCGAUAAGGUACUAGUUACGAUUAAGAUUUGUAUAGAGAUAAAGUUUUUAAGAGACAUAACAAAGUAAUGAGGAUGUAUUCUAAAAAAUAAUGUAAACAAUAUACGCUCGAGAGGAAGUAUCGAUCAUUUUUGUAUGGGUCUCUUCCUAAAGUUGAGGAAGUUAUGGCUUACUGAAUGAAAAAUGCAUGUGAGGUCUCAAAGGCACUGAGGAGAAGGAAAUGGUCUCAGAGUAAGGUAUGGUAACAAAUGUGAAUAAAGAAAUAAAAAUAGAGGCAGCUUUUGUUAGAGAUGUAAUGAAGAAUAAGAGUAACAAAAUGGUUCUGGAAACAUUAGAUGUGGCGUGCAAGUAUGGUUCAUGUAAAUGGUUUCUGCUUCACUAAGUCUCUUCAAACUUAUCUCUAUGUGUUAUGUUUCAGAAGGGUUUUUAAGGGUCUUGCUUAGAAGGACGAAGACUACAUUGAAGGAGUGGCGUAUUGGACUAUUAUGCAUACAGAGCGAGCUUGAUGGCUGGAUCAAGUUUGCGUCAAUAAUUAUAGAUAUUCCUACGGGAGAUAACUAUAUAGACCAGGGCAUCAAUUCAGUCCUAAUUGUAAUUAAAUUCUCUAUGUAUACCAUUUGAAUUUCCUCAUUGUUUACACUUUUGUAUUUUAUUAAAAACUUUGAAAUUUAUUAGUUGUAAUAUUUGAUAAUUUGAAUAAUUAGGCUUAAGUACUUUGUAUUAUAGUGGUAUUACCCAAUAUUCAGGUUUGAUUCACCGGACCAAGUUUGAGGUGUUACAAGUUUGGUAUUAGACUUUGAUUUAGCCAGUUCUCAUAUCGAGAAGACAAAAAAGCCUUGUAUACAUAAUACACCGAACCUAGUAGAGUUCUUCAGGUAUGUUGAGAAUUUUCUCAUUUAUAAGAUUGAUGCGUUAAUAGUGACUUAAUGAAGAGUAAUUAAAAAGAACAAAAAGAUAAUAGAAAGUAAAGUAUCACUUCAUUAAUAAAAAGAGAUGUUAUACAAGGCGGAAGACAAUAAAAGAAAAAGAUGGGAUAAAAAGAAAGAAAUUAGUCCUCUCCUUUUGAGUGAUGUCCAGUUGCCUUGGCGGGGACCUCUUACGUUGGCUCCAUUUCCCCUGGAAUUUGCUCUGAGUCAUUGAGCUCCUCAAGAUUCUUAUCACCCUUUAUUUUGGGCGAGUUAGGAAUAAGGAAACCAAUAAUUUAUUUCCAUUUUGAUUGGAAAUCUUCCCACUCUUUUAUCUUGGGGUUGUAAACAUCGAAGCCUAAUGAAUUUGUAGAAACAUCUCGAAGAAAGUCAAAGUCCACUUGACUCAGGUCCAUGGGACCAACGACCACUUUGGCGUGGAAAAUAGGUUAGCCUUCCAUUCUGGUAGCGCCUCAGUCAAGUUCCUCUUCAUGUCCUAUUGAUAUUUCUUGAAGGUUUCUUCAUUGGAUUGGCAAAGAGUAUCCAACUUAGCCUCAUAGUGCAGCUUUUGGGAUUGGAGUUGUUACCUCAAUGACGAAUCAUUCUUCUCUAGUGACUUGACUCUAUUUUCCAACAGUUUGCACUUAUCCUUUAUUUCCUUGUUUUUAAACUUUCAAGCCAUGACACAAGAGUCAAGGUGCUCAACCUUGCUUUUAAGAGCCUGCUCCCUACUGCAUUGUUCUUUUAUUGUCUUAAAUUUCAACUGAAUCGACUCCUUGAAGUUGGCAACUAUGGCCUUAUAGAAAUCAUGGAACUCUUGAAGAGAUCCACUCAAUAGCCCGUACUUGACAGAUAGAGCUUUUGCAGAUUUGGCCAACUGAAAAAAAUGAGAUGAACCUGACUUGGACACAACGUGAGAACCGAAAGCCUCUUUCCAUUUUUGAGGGAUCAAAUUGUAUUGGCUUUGAAAGAUCAAACUUAAAGAAAAAGGGGAUGACCCUGAAGCAUAAAGGUUGCACUGAGGAAAGAACUCAUCACUUCCACUAGAGGAAGAAUGUGGUGGUUAAGGAAUUGGAAGGAUCAUAGAUCGAUCUAAUAGUAAAGGUUCGACUGGGAUAUCAGCUUAAGAAGGGCACGUAUUUUGGAUAAGGGAACCUACAGUUUGGGCAGACUGGUGCAGCUGGUAAUGAUGGAAUCAACGAAAAAAGAACUUUUGGACUAGGAUUUCCUUUCUUCAGUCUACGCCACUUGGGUUGUGGGGGUUCACUUUCCUUAGUAUUUGGGGCAUCAUCACUUGCCUUAGGCCUCUUCUAAUGCUUCUUAGUCAUAGGUUUCUUGGAAUGAGCAAUUGAAUCACUCUCCUUAGUACGAGAUUGGUCCAUAAUGGCCCUAAUAUCCAUCAUUGGUGUUUGAGUGGGAAAAAGUAUGAGAAUUUGGAAUGGAUCCUGCACCACCAAUGUAAGUGUUAGGUUCACUUGAAGAAGAAGAAGUUAGAGGAUGAAUACUAGGAGUAAUGAACCAAUUCUGGGAACGUGUAACAUCCUAUUUUUCAAUGGUGUCAGAAAUAGUGGUUUUGGGACCACAAAUCUGAAGAGUAAUUUCAUUAUAAUUAUUAUUUAAUUCAUAUAAGUCAACUAUAAUUUUAUAUUGAAUUUUGAUUUGAUAAAUUUUAACUUAUUGAACAAAUAGUAUAUAAGUGGUUUGUUCCGAAAGUUAACUGGUUUUGGAAAAUGAGGUAACGGGACCUCAUUUCUAUAAACCGAACUCAUAAAUAUUUUAUUAUUUGAUAUGUGAAAUUCUGGUUCAAAAAUUUUAUUAUUUGACUAGUUAAUUAAAGAAAAAUGACUAAACCAUAAAAGAUGAAAAACUUAAUCACUAUUGAACUUUAUUGAUUAAAUAGCUUAAUUAGUGUAUGUGUGAGGAUUUAUGAAGUAAAUAUACCAUCUUUUAUUGGUGUGGACGGUUAAUAGGUUUUUUGUUAUAUUUUAUACAUUAAAUUAAAAGUUAAAAUAUUAUAAUAAAGGAAAAACAUAAAAAAUAAUGGGUUAUCAUCUUCCUUAUGGAACUUCCAUCGAAAAACCAAACUAAAACCUCCAUUUCAAGAGCUUGAAGAUUCAGUGGCUUUGGUUGUAUGCAUGUAAGCAAUUUUUUUACCUGUUUUUAAAAAUUUUUAUGUUUUCGAGGUCGUUGUGGCUUAAUCUAGUUAGCCCAAGGACUAUUUCAUGAAAGUGGUAAAAGUUUUGAAACUUACCAUUGAUGAAUUCUAGAUUUUUUUGAGAUUAAAUGAUAAAUUUGUAAUCUUGGUUGUUGAUUAGGACUAUUUUGUAAAGUGAUUUUAGUUAAUUUUUAGUUAAAAGCCUGAAAUGAUAAAAUAUCAAAUUUGACAUGAAAUUCUUGUGAAUUUUGAAUAAUUAUGGGCUGUAAUAGUUUAAAGGAAAAUCCCGCUAUCAUGAAAAUUGGCUAAAUUGUGAUUAUUUGAAAGUUUCAGAUUAAGGGACUAAAUUAAAUAAAAGGUAAAAAUUUAGGGUAAAAGUGUAAAAUGUUGAUUAAAGGUCAAAUAUGUGAAUUUAAGUGUUUAAAGUAUUUGAAUUGGUUAAUUGAAUGAAAUUAUUAUAUUUAGAUUAAGAAACGAAUCAAACGGACUGUAAUCAUGGAAAAAGGAAAGUUGGCGGAAUGAAUAUCGGUGUCACGCUCAUAGCCAUUUUUCAUUAGGUAAGUUCGUAACUUGGUUAAACUAAUUAGUUAUUAUUUUGGUAAAUUAAUAUCUAUUUGUGUAUGUUGGGAUCGAGUUCAUUGACUUGAAAAAUGAAUAAGACCAUAGUUGAAAUACACUAUGACACUACACCGGAAAUGAAUAAGACCAUAGUUGAAAGACACUGUGGCACUAUACCAAAAAAUGAAUAAGAACAUAGUUGAAAGACACUAUGGCCCUAUAUCGAAAAAUGAAUAAGACCAUAGUUGAAAGACACUAUGGCACUAUACCGAAAAUGAAUAAGACCAUAGUUGAAAGACAUUAUGGCCCUAUAUCAGAAAAUGAAUAAGACCAUAGUUGAAAGACACUAUGGCAUCAUGCCGGAAAUAAAUAAGACCAUAGUUGAAAGAAACUAUGGCAUCAUAUCGGAAGUGUGUAAGACCGUGGCAAAAAGACGCUAUGGCAUCCUUUGUAUAGUUGUUUAUCAAGUAAUAUGUAUCGGAUGUUAAAUACAUUAUAUAAUAUGAACAUGAGAUGGUUGUUUUGAAUUUCAUGGGUUAUUGAUGAAUGUUAAAUGUAUAAAAUGAAAUGGGUAUAUAAAACAGUUAUAUGGAAUGAGACAUUGAAUGAAGAAAUUGAUAUGAAUUAUCAAAAUGAAAUAUGAUUUGGAAAAUGAUUAUGUGUUAAAUGUGUAAUAUGAAAUGGUUACAUGAGAUGGCUAUUCGAAAUGGUGAUAUAUAAAAACAAUAUAUGAAAUGAUUAUAUGAAUCGGUUAUAUGGAAAUGUUAUACAAAGUGUUUAUACAAAAUGUUUAUAUGGAUAGAUAUAUUAAAUAGGACAUUUGAAAUGAACACUUGAAAUGAGAAAUGUGAAAUGUUAAAUGAAUAGAUGUUGAAAAAAUGGUAUAUCUAAUGUGUUCACUUGUAUAUGUUUUAUAACAUGAAAAGAUUAUAAGUUUUGUAUAUGUGAACUCACUAACCUUGUGAGACUUGUGAUGUGUAUAGGUAAUGAAUGAACGCAUGACCAUGAUAUUGAAUUAUCUUGUAACUCAUGACCAUGAUAUUGAAUUAUCUUGUAAAAUGUUUAAACUACAUCCUUUUCGGUAAGUUAAAGUUAAAGUUUAUUAAGAACUUACUAAGUUUUACGUAAGCUUACCUCGUGUUGGUUUUUCUUCAUUGUAGAUCAUUGGAUUUGAGCUAUCGAUUGGAUUGCUUUUGGAGAUCACACUAUCUGACAACUUAAUCGGUAACUAAUUCUUCACUUUGGUCUGGUUAUAAAUGGCAUGUAAAUAGGGUUUUGGUAUAUAUAUGUUAUAAGCAUUAUGCAUAUUUUUUGUAUGAAUUGAGGUAUUAGAUGUGUUUAUUGAUGUGAACCUUAAUUAGUAUUUUGGUUGAUUGUGGUGUGUGAUGGCAAUGGUAUGCCUAUAUAGGUGUUUUUGACCAUUUGUUAUAUGCCUUAUGGUAGUAGUUGAUGUUUGGUUCAUUGGAUGUGUAUGAAAUAGAUGUUUAGAUAUGUUUGAUUGGUUUAUAAGGUAGGAACAUGUGUAUAUUGAAAGUGAAUUUGGAUUAGUGUUUGAUUUUUGGUGCCAAUGUGGACAUAUUGGUUAAACACAUAGGUUGUAUGCUUUUGGUAUGUUUUUGGCAUGUUUAGAUGUGUUUUGAAAAGGUCAAAAAGGUUGGAUAUGGUUUGUUUUCGUGCCUAAGAAAUGGUUGAUGAAUUGGCUUAUUUUUUGGGUCAAUUUGGAUGCACACAACCUGGGACACGGGUUUUCACGGCCGUGUGCCACAUGCGGCCACCUCAUACGGUCAUGUGUCAUAUUGAUUUUUAAGUGAAAGAUUUUUCACAUGGGUUCAGUUUGUUAUGCGACCUGGCGACAAAGAUGUGUGGCCCUAUUUUUUAACUGUACACGGUUUGGCCACAUGGCCUAGGUUUUGUCACAUGUCCUGGCCACACGGCCGUGUGACCUCUAUUUUCAGUUAUUUCUACAUUUUUUUGUUUUGUUUCAAAUUGAUCCCUGUGUGUUCCCAAAUUGAUUUUAAGGUUCUGUAGGCUUGAUUUAAGGCCAUUUAGGUAUGAAUGCUAUGAUAAUUGUAUGGACAUCGAUUUAACGGAUGUAGGGGAAGAUGGAAGACGACUUCUAAUAGAAUAAAAGGUAGGAUGAAAUCUUCAGUGUUGUCAUUGAGACAACAUAUCGGUGGUAUGUCGGUGUCAUAGGCAAAGUUGGGACGACGGAAACCUCUAGCUAUUAAGAAUCGGUCCGCUUCUUCCUGGGUUGUUAAAUUCUCUAUGUAUACCAUUUGAAUUUCUUCAUUGUCUACACUUUUGUAUUUUAUUAAAAAGUUUGAAAUUUAUUAGAUUUAAUCGUUGGUAAUUUGAAUAAUUAGGCUUAAGUACUUUGUGUUAUAGUGGUACCACCCAAUAUUCGGGUUUGAUUCAUCGGGAUAGGUUUGGGGUGUUACACAGAUUUUUUUGAAUGAUCAACUAUAACCCAUAUGACAUUUCUAUUAUUCGGUGAAGUUGGUAAACCCACAAUAAAAUCCAUUGUGAUUCAUUCUCAUUUCCACUCAAGAAUUGAAAUAAGUUGAAGUAAACUAGAAAGAACCUGAUGUUCGACUUUAACUCAGUGGUGAGUCAAACACUUUGAUACAUAUUCAACAAUUUAUCUUUUCAUAUCCGGCCACCAAUACAACUCUUGAAGUCACGAUACAUUUUCGCACCACCAGGAUGCAUAACAAGUGAACCAUCAUGAGCUCCAUGAAGAAUAAAUUAUUUUAACUCAACAUUUUUAUGUAUACAAAUUUGAUUAUAGAAUCAUAAGCAAUCAUCGUCAUCAAUUAUGAAAUUCUCAACACUACCCUAUUGAGCAAGUUUUCUUUUCUUAAACAACUCGACAUCCAAAAAUUGUGCUUCCUUGAUUUGGCCGACCAACACUGAUUUCACUUUCAAUUCAACUAACAGGCUACCAUCGUCGUAAAUGCUCAAUCGAGAUAACAUUAAUUAACAACCUAAUUUUUAGUGGUGCUAGAAAAGGUGGUUUUAGAACCUCAUUUUCGUAAACUAAGUCCAUAAAUCUUAAUAUUUAAUAUUUACGAGGUUAGUAUAGAAAUAUACUAAAGUUUGUUUUAGUAAUUUUUUCGAAUUGAUAAUUAAUUUAGGUACAAGGACUAAAUUAUAAAAAUCUUAUCGUUAUAUAUUUUUUUAAAUAACUAAAGGAUUAAAAUGGUAAUUAGACCAUUUUAAAUUGCCAAAUGUUGGUGGAUGAAGUUAAAAUCCACUAACUUUAGUUAAUCAUGCCUAAGGCUUAAUUAAUUAAUGUUUAAUUAAAUUAAUCUUGAUUUAUUAAGUUUAAACAAAGUAAAUAAGUUGAAUAUAAAAGAAAAAUACACAUUAUAGCCAAGAUAUCAUAACAUUAUCACAAUACAAUUUCACUAUCACAAGUAUAUACAUGUUCAACAUAUCUCAACUGAAUUUGAGUAGUCAAGUUUAAACAUACAUCAUAUCAUGAUGGAUACCAUUUUUAUUUGAUUAACUACAUAUUAAAGCAUAAUUGAAAUCAAAUUAUGAGAGCACAAAACUAGAAUAAUUAUUUGUUGAUGGCUAUUGUUUUUUCUUUAUCCUUAAAUGUCUCGACAUCGUUUUUAGCUACAUUCGGUAAAUUCAAAUACGAAAAUUCACUAGUUUCACACAUUACACAUUGUAACAUACAAAUUAAACAUAAAAUGCACUUUUUUCAAUUUAGUCCCUCAAAACUCUAAUAUUUGAAACGCUCGUAUCUCAUUAUCUACUAGAUUAAAUCUAAAUCUAAUUUCGUAAAUAUACUACGGAACCUCAAGCUAUCAAUAAACACAAAAGAUCUUACUCACUAACCUUAAGCAUUCAACCAUCGAACUUCAACCAAAACCUUAUCACUUAAACUAUCUAUACGCAUGGGCUAUGCUUAUCAAGUUUCAUAAAUUAAAAUACAUUCAAAAUUCAAAUGGUAAUUGGAGGAAAGAUAAAAAGAAGGAAAACCAAAGAAAUUUCCUUUCUUUCUUAAGCAAGUUCGAUGGAGAAGAAGGGAUAAAAUGAAGCUUAUUUCUCCUCUCUCCCCCCUUACACAUUCCUAUUAAAUUUACUUUAACUAUCAUAGUUUAAGAUAUAAUCAAUGGCUAGAAUUUUAUGCAUAAAUAUCUAGAUUGUAUUCAACACGUGACUAGUCAAUUCUAAUUUUUAACCAACUCGAUUUAAGAAAUUCGAUCUUAAAAUUGAAUUUUUCAACACUAUUACAAAUUGGAUCAUUACAAGUAAUGUCUUAAGUAACUUAUUACAUGCAACUAUAGCAACUAUCCCGAGUUAUUACAAGCAAUGUAGAUUAUUACUGGCUAUUAUUUUGGAAAGGUUGAAUCGAAUAAAUAGGAACUUUUUUUCUAGGGUGUCUCUGAAGAAUCUAAGAAAAUUCAUCUUUCGAGCUGGGAUAAAUGAACACAAACAAAGGUUAAUGUGGGCUUGAGAUCAAAGUUUCAAAAUUCAGGAACAAAUCUUUUAUGAUGAAACUGGCCUAGAGAAUUCUUCAUGAACAAGAUAAGCUUUGGGUUAGAGUUCUUUAUAUCUCUCUCCUCAGAUCUGUUUCACCUACUUGGGCAGCUCUUAAAAGAGUCUACAUGCUUUUCCAAAGUGGGCUACGGUGGUCCAUUUGUAAUGGGCAUUAUGUGAAUUUUAGGGUGGACAAUUGGUGCAGGCUUGGAUCGCUUAGAUCAUUUGUGAUUGGCCUAUCAAUGAAGAUGAUUUUUCAAUGUCUUUUAAAGCUGCCAAAGACUUGUUGGAGAACAUUGGCCCUAAUGCUUUAUCCGUUCAAAUUCCUAACGAUUUUCUUGUUGUUGCCCUCAACACCCCAAUUUCCUUUGAUCUGAACCAUGGUGAUAUAUUGUGUUGGAAUCCUUCGACAGAUGACACCUUCUCCCUUUCUAGUGCUUAUAUUAAAGACCAUUUGAGAAUGAAGAUAAAUGGAACUGCCUUUGGAAAUCUAGAAUCUCCCCCAAAUUAAAAAUUUUCCUCCGAAAAUGUGUGAAUCAUACUCUACCUACCACAAGCUUUCUGAAUCGUAGAGGAUUGAACUUUAAUGACUUAUGUACUUUUUGUAAAUCGAGCAAUGACAACAUCUCCCAUAUCUUGAGAGAUAGCGACAUGGUGAAUGAAUGGUGGUUUGUCACCAUGUUGCAUAGCCAUCGACUUCCCCCUUUGUCGUGUAACUGGGAGUGUAGGAUUUUUUCCAACCUUAAAUCCUAAAGCUGGACCUCUAAUCCUAAACUUCCUUCGUACCUCAUCUUCUGUUUUGCUCUUAGGGAAUUAUUACUUCUUAGGAAUGUUGUCACUUUUAAUAGUAAUGCUAGGAAAUGUAGUACUAGGGAGCGAGCUUUGGCUGGUGCAUGUGAAUUAUUUGUUGUCUCACUAGCUUUGAAGGUAAAUACCGACCCUCUCAAGGGAUGGUUAAUUGGCAGUCGCCUUGUCAGGGAUAAAAAAGGCUCAAUACUAAUGGAUCAUCACUUGGCAAUCAUGGUAAAGUAGGGGCAGGGGGAUUAUAAAAAUCAUGCUAGUGGUUGAAUUAUAAAAAGUAAUCAACAUAUCCCUGAAGUUUGUAGCAUCGAGUAGAGCUGAUCAUGGGCCGGGAGGCCCGGCCCUGCCCGACGGCCUGCCCAAAAUAUGGGAGGGUUCGGGUAAAAAUAUAGGCCCGAAAUAUGAGCUUGGGCAAAAAACAAAGUCCGUUUAGAAAACGGGCCGGGCCACGGGAAAAAUUCUUGGCCCAGCCCGGCCCGGCCCGAAUAUAAUAUAUAUUUUUUUAUUUUUUGUUUUUUAAAACAUUUCUCAAUUCCCCAUUAACAUUUUUGCUUUAACACCCAUUUCCCCAUUUCCCAUUUCUCCCCUGUUCCACAAAUCCCUAACCCCGUGUCCGACUGCCCUCCUCCCUUUUUUUCUCAACCUUCACCUCCGACACCAAUCCACCUCCACCGAUCCACCUCCGGUCCUCCACGGCUCUACCCAUUUCCAGAAUCAGAGGUUAGAACAAAGCUACAAACGUCUUCUACCUUUGAAUUUCAAAGGUAUAUUAACAAUGUUUUUUUUCCUCUCUUUUAUGGUGCUUAACUGCUUAUGUAAUCUGUAUUUGUAAAAUGUAAAUCUUCAGUUCUCGAAUUAUUUCCCCUUUGAUUUGUAAAUCUUCAGUUCUGCAGUCUACACCUUUUCUGCAUGUUAUUUUGUUAAAUUAUAUUUCAUGUUUUUUGCUUUUUGCUUUUAAGACACUGAAUAUUUGGGGGGGAAUUAAAUCUGGAAUUUUGGAAUAUGUAUUCUGGAUUGUAUGCUCAAUUUGUAUUCUGGAUUGUAUGUUCAAUCUAUAUACUGCUUAGUUUAACAAAAUUAAUAUUUGUUCUUUUUAAAGUUUUCUAGUAACAUUUCCAGCAAUAACCUCAAACAUUUCAAACAAAAUGGAAUUCAUUUUUGUCCAAAUAAAAUUAUAUUAAAUUAAUGAAAAUAUUUGGGAAUUAGUUCCCCUUCCUUAAUCGGUCUCAUAGGUCAUUCAGAGUACCUUGAGCCUUGAAAAAGGAUCUCAAAUAGCCUUUUGUAGUAAACCUAUUGGGAACCAUGCAGGUUAAAGGAGACAAAAUUCUAAUGGGAGAUUUUAAUACAUACAGUGGCUGUUAAUGAUUUCUAGAACUGAACUUGUUGUAGUGUUGUGUGAUUUUUACACUUAAUGUGGAUUUGUUUCGCUCGUGAUUCUCCCCAUAUCAAUUUAAAUAAGGAAACAUACUUUUGUAGAGACCAUGUUGUGUUAAAAACUCAAAUUUCUGAACCUGAUAGUCUUCUCUGCUACCUGAUGUUUUUCAUCUUCGCACUCAAAUUUUGUUUAUUUUGUUAUUUGCUAACCAAAUUUCUUCUGUCUUCAUAUUCAUUCUUUUGUUUUGUAGUGACCAAAUUUAAAUUUAAAAUUUCUUUAAUUUUUAAUAUCAUCCAUUGUGGGCUAUUAGUAGCUCGUACCGCUUCUCUAGUUCAGGUAGUUUAAGAGUUAAGCUAGCUUAGUGAAUCAAUUUCAGUAUGCAACUCUUCCCCUUCAUCCCUUGCUUCUUUGAAAGUGUUAGUGAAGUGUUACUAAUUUUAAAUGAUGUAGUAAAGUGUUAUAUUACUAUAUUAAUCCUUUUCUUAAAAAUAAAAUAAUUUCACAUGAACACAAAUGUCGGUUUAGAUGCUAUAUUUUUCUUCGAAAUUGAGUGAGUGCAAUUAAGAUCUUUAAUUACCUAACACUCAUUUUUUUUAGCAUAUGGUUCCUGAAUCCUGACAACUGGAAACUUGUUUUUUCAUUUUUAGAAAGCAACUUAUAUAUAUAUGUAUGUAUAUAUAUCAUUACAGUAAAAUUGCCUUGAAGUGAGUUUUGUAUUUCAAUACGAGGCUAUAGGAUUAAGAGUAGCUGAGCACAAUUAAGAACAAAAUUGUGUUAUUCAAUUAUUAUUGGAUGAGAAUUGAUUUAUGUUUUAUAGAGCAUGUAAUUUGCAAGGUUGAGAUCACAAGCUUAGUUUCUUCAUUUAAUCUCAUCAUUUUUGUUUUUACUUUGUUUUAUUGCAGAAGCAAGCUAUUUAGUGAGGCAGAAAUACAGCAAGCCCAGGCACGUUGCUAUCACUAUCUCACACCCUUUCCUUUGAAACAAUCAACCUUAGCGACUUUUCCUAAAUGAUGUGUGUUUUUUUAGUAUUACUUAAAGACAUGUGACAAGUUUGAUCUUGUAUCACAAGGCUAGCAUAGUUAAAUAACUAUUUUAUUAUCUCGUGCAAUAUAUGAGUUCGGUAUUAUACUAUUAUGUAAUAUGUAUUAAUUAAAAUAUAUUAUAUUUAUUUUCUCAAAACUGUUAUAAAAUUUGUAACUUUUUGAAAAAGUAAAAUAAUAUAAUUCUUCACUUUUAUAUUUGAAAAGUAAAAAUAAUAUAGAUAUAUCACAUAUAGAACAUUUUCUUUUGGUUUUGGAGGUUGAAAUAAUCUUACAAACUAACACAUGAUUUUUUUUCUUCUAGGUUUGCUAUGUCUUACCCCUUUUUUGUAAUUUUGGAAAAAAUGAAUAAAUUUUAAUUUUGGUCUCUCUAUUAUGCCUAAAUUUGAUAUUUAACUACUACACCUUAAUUUUUAAUGUAAUAUAAUGUUUUAAUAUACUGUUAUAAAAUUUGUAACUUUUUGAAUUGUUCGUUUUAAGUUGUAUUUUUUCUAUCAAAAAGAAAUUCACACAUUAAAUGUUGAUGUCAUAUAAAUAUAGUGUUACUUGUCAAACAUUAAAAAUAUUUAAAUUUAAAAUAAUUACUUACCGUUUUUAAUAAAAUACUAGAAAACUAUUAACUAUGUCAUUAAUUGCCCAAAAUGAAAUUUAAACUCCAAUAAUUUUAUGAUUAGAUGUCGUAAAUUGUAAUUUACCUACAAAUGUAGGGCCAUUUUGAAGGUGCAUGGAAUUGAUGAAUCCUCAAAUAGAGACAAUAUUUAUGUUCAGUUAUUUAAUUUUAAUACAUGUAUAUAAUUUUAAUACAUGAAUAUAUAUAAUAUAUUCAAUAACCGAGUUAUAAAUAAGAUUAUUUUUGAAUUUCAGGACUUGAAUUUUUAUGACUAUGGCUAGUUCGAACACACCUAUACCUAUGGACGAUGGGUUUAAUGAGUAUGAAAGUGCUCUCAAACGUCAAAAGUCUACCACUUCAAAGGUGUGGGAUGAAAUGACAAAGCUUGAAUGCGAGAACAAAAAUGAAUUGAAGGCACAAUGUAAACACUGUAAGACUAUCUUCUCUACUAAGUCUUUUAGUGAAACCUCUAAUUUAAUACGUCACCUAGAUAGCUAUUUGAAAAAAAGUUAAUCAGGACAUCACUCAAUACACCAUAGCCACUCAACCAUCACCAGAAAGUGUUCCAUCUAUAAAAAACUACAAGUUUGAUGUUGAUGAGUGUCGUCAAGCUAUUUCUUCUUUUCUUGUGUGUGGCAAGCAUUCAUUUAGGACAGCCGAAGAACCGGGAUUUAGAUACAUGAUGAUAAUUUUUAGUCCUAAUUUUAAGAAUAUAAGUAGACAUACAGCUGCUAGGGAUGUCCUAAUGUAUUAUGCAAAAGAGAGAGAUCAUGUUAAAGAAGAGUUGGCUAGAGCACCUGGUUUAAUUUGUCUAACUUUCGAUAAUUGGAACUCGGAGCAUACUAAUGAUGAAUAUAUUUGCAUUACUGCUCAUUGGAUUGACAAAUAUUGGAAGCUACAAAAGGGAAUCAUAAGGUUUAGAGCUUUAUUUCCUCCGUAUGAUGGUUUGAACAUAGCGGAUGAACUUGUUUUAUGUUUAUCUCAAUGGGGUAUAGAUAAGAAAAUUUUUAGCAUCACUUUUGAUAAUGCUUCUUAUAAUGAUGUUAUGGUUUUUUGUCCUAAAAAUCGUUUUUAUGCAAACCGAGCUAUUUUGUGUGGUGGUGCUUUUUUUCAAGUUAGAUGUUGUGCACAUAUAUUGUAUUUUAUAGUUAAAGUUGGUUUGGAACUUGUUGAUGAUGUUGUUGGUAAGAUUCGAAAUGGAAUUAGGUACAUAAAAAAGUCGAGAAUUCGUAGGAAAAGAUUUUAUGAUGUGGCCGACAAAAGUUUUCAUUUGAAUGUGACCAAAAAUUUGCGUCAAGAUGUGUGUGUGAUGGAAUUUUACUUAUUUGAUGCUUGAAUAUUCUCUUUACUAUAAAGAUGUGCUAGAUUAUUGGGGCCAACGGGAUAAAGAUUAUCAAAUGUUUGCACUUUCUAACGAGGAGUGGAGAAAUGUUGCUAUUCUUUGCAAAUUUUUGAAAGUCUUUUAUAAUGUGACUUGUGUUUUUUCUGGUUCUAAUUAUCCAACGGCUAAUCUUUAUUUUAGAGGGGUUUGGAAGGUUCACAAGGUCUUGCUUGAUAUAGUUAAAGGUCAUUAUUCAUUUUUAACUCCAAUGGUUAAGCAAAUGCAAGAGAAAUUUAAUAAGUAUUGGGCUGAGUAUUCAUUGAUAUUGUCAUGUGCUGCAAUUUUAGAUCCUCAUUACAAGUUGAAUUAUGUGCAAUAUUGCUUUAAAACAAUCUAUGGUAUUCAUGCUUCAGAUUUUGUUGAGACCAAUCUUAGCAAUCUUAGACUCUUGUUUGAUGAGUAUGUUAAGAAAUUCAAAUCCACAUCUUCCUCUUUGGCUGGGAGUUCUAAUGUUUCGGAUAAAAAUCUUGUUGAUUCUGGUUUGGAUGAACACAAUGUUAAUAGUUCUGAUUUUGGGGGAUAUUUUGAUGAGAGUGAUGAUUAUAAGCGGUAUUUAGAUGAAUCUAGCACUAGGAGUGAAAAGUCACAGUUGGACAUCUAUUUGGAAGAACCGGAGCUUGAGUUGAAUAGUCAAAUAGAUGUUUUAGAUUAUUGGAGCAAAAGUUCAGUUCAACACAAUGAGCUUUCAUUAUUGGCUCGUGAUCUUUUGGCAAUUCCAAUAUCGACUGUAGCUUCCGAAUCGGCUUUUAGCAUGGGUAAGAAAGUUAUCACACCUUUGAGGAGUUCACUUAAGCCAAAAACAAUUCAAGCCGUUGUUUGCUUGGAUGAUUGGAUGCGAGCUAAGGGAUUUUCAACAGGUAAUUAUUAUUCUCGUUUUAUUGUUAUAAUUUUAUAUUAUUUUUUCAUCAAUUUGAUUAUCUAAUUAUUUAUUCUUAUUUCAUGUUAGAAAUUGGUUGCAAAAAAGACGAUGAGGACGAUGAAGACGAUGAGGAUGAUGUUUCUUCGGCUGCUUUUUAGGAUAUUUCCUUUCUAAUUGUUGAAAAUUUAAUUUAGUUUACAAUUUAUAUUUUGUUAUAAAAUUAAAUAUGUAGAUUGGUUAAUGUAUGGAUAUUUUGGUUGUUUGCUUAUAUUUUGCAAGUUUUUUUUAUAAAAUUUUAGUGUUUACCAAAAAAAAACGGGCCGAGCUCGGGCUCAGGAAUUUUUUCUUGAGCUGGGCCUGGACAAAAUUUGAGGCCCGUAUUUCGGGCCGGGUCAGACUCGGGCCUAGGAAGCGGGCUAAAAAUUUUUUAGGCUCGGCCCAAACUCGACUCGGCCCAUGAUCACCUCUAGAAUCGAGGCUGAGUUGUGGCAUUGUACGAUGGCAUCAAACUUGUUGAUUUGAAAAUCUCUCACUUGGAAAUAAAAGUCGACUAUAAUUUCAUUUAUUUCUACGGUGUUUAUUAUUCGUGUCGAAACCAUUUUUAUUUUGAAAAAUGAGGUUGACUUUUAAAACGAAAAUAGAGUUGCCACCAAUCUUUUUUUCGAGGUGUGAUCGAGUCACCUUGAGAUUAAUCAUUUUAAUAAAAUAUUUUGAUUUAUUAAAAUAAUGAUUUUGGUCUACAAAAUUCGAGAAAACGGGCUAGGGAGUCGGUUACGCACGAGGAAAGAUUAGCAUCCUCGUAACGCCCAAAAAUUGGUACCUAAUUAAUUAAUUAAUGUCCUAAUGUCGAAAAUUUGAAAAGAUUUUAAAAUAAGAUCCUCUUUAAAAACCUGAAUAAAUUGAAUUUGAUGUUAAGACCUUUUUGUCCCGAAGUAAUAAGAUGUCACAUCUAGUAAGUUAGGAUACGAUAUUUUAACCCUUGAAACUAAGCUUGUCUCAUGCAUUAAAGUUUAAAAAGGAUAUUUGGUUAUUUGGAUAAAAAAAAUCGAAACCCAGUAAGUUAGAGAUUUUCUCAAAGCUCUAAAGUAUCGAAUAUUGCCUUAUUUUUAAAAGUUUUCUUUUUUAAAAUUGGGGAAAAUUGAUGCAAUAUUAAAACGAUGCGUAAAAACUUUUAUAAAAAAAGGCAAUAUGAAAAUACAAAUAAACAAUUUAUAAAACACGUAAUGACAAUUAUUUAAAUACUAGCAUCAAUAAUCAAAGACCAAUGAAUUUAAAACAAAGAGUAUAAAAAAAUAAGGCAAAAUAAAAUGUAAACAAAUUUGAAAAUGAAUAAUAAGGGAAAAAAAAUUUGAAAUCAACAAUAUACAAAUCAAUAAAUAAAAAAAGGUAGGUAAUAUAUGUAUAAGUUUGGAAUAAAUAAUAUAUAAAAAUGAAAAUAGGUAAUAUAUAAAGUAAUAAUAUAUAAAUGAGUUUAAAAAUAAAUAUUGUGUAAUAAGGAAUUUAGAACAAGUUAUACACAAAACAUCUUAAAAAUAAAUGGUAUAUAAAAUAGAUAGUAUAAAAAAUUGCAAUUGAUAAUAUAUGGAAAGAAAUUUAAAGCAAAUAAUCAAACAAUUUAAAAUGGAUGAUUUAUAACACGAGUUUUUAAAAAAUAAACAACAUUUUUGACAUACUAUUAAAAACAAAUAAAGUAUAUAAUUAAUGGAAGAAAAUAAAAUAAUGAUAAGAAUGGUUAAAUGAAUGAACAUUAUGUAAAUAAGAAAGUUGAUGAAUAAAUAAACGUAUAAAAGUAAAAUAAUAAUUAAUGAUUAAACAAUUAAAUGGAUAGAUAAAAAAAGGUUAAAAAAACACUUAAGUCAGCCUAACUCUCACAAUAUGAAGAUUCAGCGAAAUUCCUCCACCAAAAUCCAACUCAAAUGAAAGCAACUUAAAAAGAAACGAAGAUGAACGAAGAACAAAAUAAGAACAAGCCACAGAAAAUAAGAACGCAAUAGAGGGAAAAUUUUGAGUGAAUGCUUUUAAGAAUUAUUAUCACUCCAAACUCAAGUCUUUUACAAUGAAGGGAGAGGCCUCUAUUUAUAGUUGAGCCUCCCCAAAUCCAACGGUACAGAUCAAUUACAUCAACGGCUAAGAUUAAAGGGUAUCUACAAAUUAAAUCUUUAAGAUUACAAAAUCAUAUCUUCUAAGAUUGCAUAUCAUAUCUAAGAUUGCAUAUCCUUGAAGAUUAUGUUUCCAUAUGCGUCAAGCUUGUAGAUGGACAUUCAACCUUUUCAAGUAAUGGGCCAUUCCAAUCGGGCCAAAUGAUAUAAUUUUGGACUGGACUUGGACUUUGUUUUAUUAUUUUGGGGUUUUUUUUGUGAGCCCGGGCUAAAUUGGCCUAUUACAACUGCCCCUCUUUGCUCAUUUUCAUGUAAUGAGAAUGUAGCAAAGACUAUAAAAGGGUCAAUUUUGCUUGGUCUUGCUGGGUUCUAACUUCUUUGAGUGCUCGUCUUCUUCAAGUAGUCUCAUUCCAUCCCAUUACAUCUUCAGGGGCAUAGGAAUUAGUGCUUUUAUCUGCUCCAAUGUGAUUUCAAGGAGAAGAGAUUUCUAGCUUCGAUCUUCUCCGCUUGAACUUCAAGGAGGUAGGAAUUGGUAAUUUCAACCUGCUCCACUGCAAUUUCAGGUAGAUAAGACUGGUGGCUUAAAUCUGCUUCCCUACUACCUCGGGAAUAUAAGAUUUGCCGUCUUUGAUCUGCUCCACUACUACUUAGGGAGACAUGAUAUACAAUCUUCAACCUACUCCGCUACUGCUCAGGGAGAUAGGACUGGUGGUUUAAAUCUGCUUUCUACUAUCUCGGGAAGAUAAGAUUUGCCGUCUUCGAUUUGCUCCACUACUACUUAGGGAGACAGGAUCUACAAUUUUCAACCUACUCCACUGCUACUCAGAGAGAUAGGACUGGUGGCUUAAAUCUAUUUCCCUACUACCUUGGGAAGAUAAGAUUCGCCGUCUUUGAUCUGCUCCACUACUUCUUAGGGAGACAGGAUCUACAAUCUUCAACCUAUUCCACUGCAAACUCAAAGAGGCAAGGCUGGUGUUUUCGAUCUACUUCAUUGCCAGUACAGGAAGACAAGAUCUACUAUUUUCAGUCUGCUCUGCUGCAAACUCAGGGAGGCAAGGCUGGUGUAUUUGAUCUGCUUUGCUGCCAAUACAGGAAGACAAUGUAACAACCCGAUUUUGGGCCUAGUCGUAAUAGUGGUUUCGGGAUCACAAAUUCGACGAGGAAAAAAAUUAUUUUUAUUAUAUUUUUAUGGUCUACAAUUUCACUAAAUAAUUUUGUGAAAAAUUCGUCCGAAAAUUUUGACGUUUGGGCACUGAAUUUAGUCAAAAGGACUAAAUUGUAAAAAGUGCAAAAGUUGAGUUCUACAUGUUAGAGGUGUCCAAUUGUUAUGAAACUUUAAAUUGGAGGUCUUUAUAUGGUAAUUAGACCAUUGGUUAAGUUAUGGACAAAAAUAUACAUGAGAUUAGUGAAAUAGGAAAUUUUUAAGUUAGGGGCAAUUUGGUAAUUCAGUAAUAAAAGGAAUUAACAAGGGAAAAAGAUGGAAAAAUGUGUUUAUCUUCUCCAUGAUGAAUGAAAAUAACAAGGGGGAAGCCAUAGUUAGGGUUUUCAAGCUUCCAAGCUCCAUAGUAAGUGAUUCUAAUCCCCGUUUUUAAUGUUCUUUACGAUUUUAGAGUCAUAGUAACUUGAUUUAAGCUUAUUCUAGCAAUAAUUUAACCUAGGGUUUAUAUUUGGAAAAAUACCCAUAGGUGAAAUGUGUUUAUUUUGAUGUUUUAUGGUAGAAUGUGAAGCUUGAAAUUAUGUUAAACAACUUUUGCUAAGUGAUUUUAAGUGAAAACGAGUAAAACGACAUAAUCGGUAAAAAUACCUAAUGUUCAUAAGUGUUAGAGUGGGAAUUUGAUGUUGCCAUAGAAGGGAAAAAUGUUCAGCAUGUCAUAAUACAUAAGAAUAAGGGAUGAAGUUUAAUUUACGAGCUUUGGGGAAAAAGUGUAAAUAUGCAAAAAUUUAGGGGCAAAAUUGUAAUUUUGCCAAAGUUUGAGUCAAGAAAUGUUUUGAUAAAUGUGAGUAUUAAAUAAGUCAAAUGUGUUAUUAUUGAUCAAGAAAGAAGUGGAAUCGACCUUGAUCGGAGAAAAGAAAAGAUUAAAAACUAAAUUGUUAAAUUUUUAUAUUGUUGCAUCAAAGUAAGUUAUGUGUAAAUAAUAGCAAUAUAUUUUUAUAAAUUGUGAAUUAUAUUUGAUAUGUGAAUUAUUAUUGAAUGUGGAAGAAAAAUUGUUCAUGAAUUAUUCAAGUGAUAAAGUGUUUAAAAUAAAGUGUUAAGUGUAAAUUCCCGGUUGAACUUAGGAAUAGAAGUGGAUACAAGUGACAUGUCACUAGAGACCAGUGUUACAGUGUUAUAGUGAGUCCCGGGUGCUGGGUGAUCUAGCAUGUGUUGCAGACACCUGACAGCUUGUGUAAGCAGGCCCGUGGACAUUUCCAGUGUUAUUGAUCAGUGGUAGUUACGGCUACAUAUCAGUGGUAGCUUCAGCUACAUUUUAGUGGUAGCUAUGGCUAUGUAUCAAUGGUAGCUUCAGCUACAUAUCAGUGUGGUACUUAUGUGCUAAUUCUCUAUGUAUCCGUGUAUAUUCCAAUUGUUCAACGGGAAAUCGACUAAGUGAAAAUAUAUGAUAUUAUGUAACGACUAAGUGUAAUUGAAUGAUGAAUAUAUCUGUGGAAUUGAAUUGAAUAGUGAUCGAAAGUGAAAAAGUGAAAUUAUGAAAUAGUAGAAUUAGCAGUAAAAUAGUUUUGGACAGAAACAGUUGCAUGACUUUGAAAAAUCACCAAAAAUGGUGGAAAUCGAAUUAGAGAGUGAAUAAGAUAUGAAAUGAAAUUUUAAUGAGCCUAUUUUUACAUAAUAGAAAUAGAGUAAGAAAAAGAGUUAUAUAUUUUGAGAUAUUUUAUAUUUAGUGAGACAGGGUCAGAAUAAAUUUGGAAUCCCCUGUUCUAACUUUGGAAAAUUGUUAAAAAUUGUACAAAAAUAAUUAUGGGCUAAACUUUAUAUGUUUAGAACCCUGAAUGAGUCUAUUUUCAAGUGAAAUAAACACAAGUACCUCCAAAUUCUGUAAAAUGAGAUAAUUAAUUUUUAGUGAAGAGAGGUCAGAACUGUUAAGCAAUGAAAUAGGGGAAAAUUGAAAGAAUAAACUGUACUUAUUGGCUAAGCCAAAAAUUAUGAAAAUUUUAUGGUAAGAAUAUAUGUGAAUCUAGUUUCAGGGAAAAUUAAUGGAUCUUAAUUUGGAGCUCUAUAGCUCCAAAUAAAAAUAAUUUAGUGACUCUGACUCGGAUAGACAACUUUGAAUAUACAUGUGAGUGAAUAGUAAAAUUAUAGAAAAUGUUAUUUAUAAGAGUGUUAUGUACAUUAAGGAUGUGGAAUGGAGAGGAGGAGGAGGAAAUAUAAAAUAUAUGAAUGAUUUGUAUAUAAAUUAGUCAUAUGCCCGAUUAUAUUUGAUAAAAUUUGAAUUUAAAAUGACAUAAUGUUUCAUUUCAAUUAGUUAUUAUAAAUUGAAUUGUAAAUUCAUAUGGCUGAAACCAAACAAUUAUUUGUUAGUAUUAUGCAUGACAUAAUGUAUUAUUCUAUAUACAUAUUCAUGGUUGAAUUAUGAUUGUUGAGAAAGAUAGAUAAAUUGGAAUGAAAGUUCAAAUUGAGUAGAACUCAGGGUUGAGUACUUUCGUUCAGUGAUAAAGAUGAAUUGACGGAAAAUACCAUGGAUGGACCAUGGCAAUAAGUGAUAUGUGAUUCCAUGUAAGACCAUAGCUGGGCUAUGGCAUCGGUAUAUGUUAUGUGAUUACGUGUAAGACCAUAGUUGGACUAUGGCAUCGAGAAAAUAAGUGCUCAAUUCCGUAAGACAUUCACUAAUUUGACAAAGUUGGUAAGUGUUACAUGGACUCAUGUUCAAGUGAUAGAUUUAUUGUGAUUGUUGAAGUUGAAUUCAAUUAAGUGAUUUCACCAAUUGGAUAUUGUAUAUGGCAAGAUGUGUUAGUGAAUUACAUAUUUAUGAAAUGAUAUAUGAAGUUCAGUAAAUGAUACAUGAAAUUAAUAUGAAAAGAUUUAUGAUUGUUAUUGGUAUUGUUUCUGGCAUAAUGUGGAUUCUUCGAUGUUGAAAUGAUUUAAAGGAUUUAUUGAGCAUAUGAACGAGUAUGAGAUUCACACGAGUUAGUAUAGAUAUGUACUUGUGUCUUAUAAGCUUUGAAAUGAUAUGACUUGUGAAUUGUGAAUUAAUCUGUGUGAAAGUAUAUGGGAUAGAUUAGCAAAUCUUUACGAGAUAUUGAAUAUUUAAUAUAUUACAAUGGUGGUAGCUAUAAGGCUUGGAUCGAAUGAGUAUAUAUUGGGCCUCGUAAGCCUUAAUUAGCGAUUAGAAGAUAAUAAUUUGAAAAUUUUAAUUUGUAUGAAAUUUUAUAACUUGGUUUAAUACGUUUAUAAGUGUAUAUGUUCUGGUAAUGCCUCGUACCCUAUUCUGGCGUUGAAUACGGGUAAGGGGUAUUGCAAUGUGACAUUGCCAGAUUCGGCCAUAACGUUUAGGCCGGGUUUGGGGAGUUACAGACAAGAUCUGCUAUCUUCAUUCUACUUCGCUGCAAACUCAGGGAGGCAAGACUGGUGUCUUCGAUCUGUUUCGCUACCAAUACAGGAAGACAAGAUCUGCUAUCUUCAGUCUGCCCGCUUCAAACUCAGGGAGGCAAGGCUGGUGUCUUCGAUCUCCUUUGUUGCCAAUACAGGAAGACAAGAUCUGCUAUCUUCAGUCUACUCCGUUGCAAAAUCAGGGAGGCAAGACUUGUAGCUUCCACUUGUUUCACUAUAAUUUUAAGGAAAUAAGGUCUGAUGCGAUCUGCUCUACUGCAACUUCAAAGAGAUAAGAUCCAUCAUUUUAAUUCGCUCCACUACAAAUUCAGGGAGAUAGGAUUGGUUUCUUCAAUCUGCUCCACUGCAACUUCAAGGAGAUAAGAUUGGUUUAUUCAGUCUGCUCCACUGCAACUUCAAGGAGAUAAGACUUGUAAUUUCAUCCUAUUUCACUGCAACUUCAAGGAGAUAAGGUUUGCUAUGAUCUGCUCUAUUGCAACUUCAGAGAGAUAAAAUCUAUAAUUUAUAGCUUCAAUCUGUUCUACUAUAACUUCAGGGAAAUAAGAUUCGCUAUCUUCAGUCUGCUCUACUGCAACUUCAGGGAGAUAAGACUUUACUUCAAUCCGUUCCACUGUAACUUCAGGGAGAUAGGAUUAUUGGCUUUAAUCUACUCCACUACAACUUCAGGGAGAUAAAAUUUUCCAUCUUCUUCAAUCUAUUCCACUGUAACUUUAGUGGUAUAGGAUUUGUAGUUUCACCGAUCUGUUCUCUGGGGAAUAUGACCUAUAGAAUGGGUUUGUGCUUAUGUCGAAUGACUAGGAUGCCAUGAUCGAAAUGAGUCAAAUGGUCCUAAUUAGAUAUGCUAUGAAUGAUAUAUGAAUGAAAAAUGAGAAUGAUCCCUUUUUUAAUGCUUAGGGUGUCAUCAUUCAUUGUUCAUCAGGAGUCUUAUCACUGAUGUAUUGCACUACUAUCUUAUUCGACUGGUAUUUUCCAACAGAAAACUCGAAGAAACAAUCACAUUCUGCUCAACAAGCUUGCCCCGUUGUAAUUUCAGAGUCCUUUCCACUGUAUUGUCUGGGACAUAAAGUUUGUACCUCCUACUGCAACUUCAAGGAAAUAACAUUUGGUUUCCACCAUUCCCUGGGUGUAAUGACCAAAUGUAUAUGCUUGAAAUUUGCAUGAAUGCAGAGUAUCAUUUUUUUUCCCAAGAAUAAUCCCCAUUUACAUUUGGGUUGACAUUGCUCAUUAUUUGUCGAGAUGGUAUCACCGACAAAAUAUCUUGUCUUUUUGUUCAACCAAAAAAAAAAUCCAAAGAGAUAAUCAUCUUUCAAUAUUUCCAACCCUUAGGCUUGGUGAGUUCUAAAUAAUAGUCUUGUUUCAGAUUCUCGUAUUAUUUAGAAGCUUCUAGAGCAAUAUGCGAAACUCCUUUUAUGAAAGUAUUAUUAUUUCAUUAAUCGUUAUUUCAAUAUAAAAUGCUUGAAAAGAUCAUAACAAUAGACAAGAAGGAAAUUAAUUAGGAGUAUAGCUCGAAACAAUUAAAUUAAUCAAAGAUAACUAAGGCAAUAAAAAGAAAUUGAUUGGGGCGUAUCUUGAAAAGAAUAAGGUAAUCAAAGAUAGCAAAUUCAAAAAUGGGUAAGAUGGAAAACUAGGUGCCCUAGAUAUUGCAGCCUAAGCUUCUCUGUACGAACUUCUUGAGGACCAUUUUGAGCUUAAUAUGUGUUUAAGGGAUCUGGAGUACUUUGUCAAUGCCCUAAGAUGUAGCAUACUUCCUCAUUGUUAAUUCAGGCAUAGCAAGACUACCACAUGCCCCACUUUUGAUCAAAAUUUAAGCUACUUUUUUCGGGUUUUCAACUCAAAACCCCUUUGGUCUCAAAACGUCUUUUACGGGUUUUCGCCUUGGCCUCUCCCCUUUUUCUUUCUUCUCUUUUUUUUGAAUUUUUUUUCUCAAGGCGCCCUUUGCGGGUUUUCACCUUGGCAUCUCCCCUUUUAGGUAAAAUACUUUUUGACUGAAUCUGAAUUCACCGAAUUGGGAAAGUUUUUGGUAUCCAUCUCGGUCAAUAUCAAUGCUCCUCCAGAACAGGUCUUCUUUACAACAUAAGGUCCUUCCCAAUUUGGCAUCCACUUUCUUUUAAAAUCCUUUUGUAUAAGAAGGAUCUUUUUCAACAUCAAGUCCCCCUCGUGGAAUUCUCUAGGAUGAACCUCUUUGUCGUAAGCUUGCAUCAUUUGACCGUGACGGAUAGCUUUUAACCCUUUUUUUUGGGUUCAACAUUCCAUAAACCAAUGGGCCAGGUGUUGCCCCGGUAAAGGUCCUGGCCGACGUUUGAUGAGCAUAGAAGGUAAAUAGUAACUUUUUUAUGCCAAUCUUUACAAGUCACGGUCAUCUUUCCCAUGUUCCUUGUUUUAUUUUUUCUUUUUUGGCUGCCUAUGGUGUCUGAUCUUUGAACAGACUACAAACUUUUGACAUUGUCCUUUUUGGCAUUCUUUAUCGGUGCCUGAUCUCUUUUUUUUUUAAAUUGGAAUUUAAUGACUUCGACCUUUUAACAUUGGCAUAUGAAGCUAUUUCUACCCUCUUAGUGAAGUAAUCGAAGACCACAAAAAUGAAUCGAUAUUGGCUAAAAGCUUUUGAAAAGAUUGGCCCCAUCACAUCCAUGCCCCACAUAUAAAAAAUUUGUGAAGAAAUAGAGGAGACACAUAGGUUUUAUCUUCCUCAAAUUGGUAUUUACGGCAUAACUAAUAUUAUUCACUUUCAUGGUGGACUAGCAAUACUGAAACUUCGUGAUUAACUUGGCUAUCGUAAAACCAUUAGUAUGUGUUCUUCUGACACACUUAUGGACCUUUUAGCCUUAACAGCAUCCACAAGUCUUAGUAAGCCAGGCAUAUCUUGAUAUGAUCGUGCGAAAACAUCUUUGAAUUCUUGGAAUAAUUUAAUGACGUUUCACUUUGUUUCGAUGGUAAGAAAGCUUCAAUCUCUUUCUCUUCUCCUAGGCUCACUGUCCACUGACUUUUGUAAGGUAGGAUCUAUUUUUCAUCUUGUUCUACCAUCCUUAACAAAUCAAGAGAUAGGCUACAAUCUCAGUCAUAUUCAAAGUCUUAAGAUCCCCUUAGACACAUAUCUUACUCAAAAGGAGAUUCUGAGUUAGUAGCAACAUCGCUCAUGUCGUUGAUAUUUGAAGACCUAUUGUAGGUACAAAGGCAUAUUCCAAAGGAUAAAUAAAUCUAAGGACAAUUAUUUGUAUGAAUAAAGAAUAAAAUAAUAUUUAAAAGAGAGUCCAAAGAACAAAAAGAAUCUAUAAAUGAAAAGAAUGAAAGAAUGUUUACUAAAAAAGAUACAUUUUAUUGAAAUAAAGAUUUUGGACAUAAGCCUAUUUCAAAAAAGGAUUCUUAUUGCCUCUAGGCUUUAAAGUAACAAGUGUGUUUUGAAUAUUACUCUAGAUUAUCUCUGAAAAUACAGUGAUCUCUUCCACAGUCUCGUUGUUCAAAACACUCCCAAGUAUGCAAGGGCUUGGAAACUUUAUUCCUCAGUUCCCUCUUCGGAAACAUCAUUAAUGUUCAGAUUCUCUGAUAUUCCCUCUGGGCUUUUGACUUCUUCAAGGAGUCGCAACUUUCUUGCCUCCUCCUUCAAUUAUCGCAUUUACUGCCUCGUCAAAGUGAUUAGGUUCUGAUGAAACGUCAAACUUCGCAAUUCCCAUUUUAAUGAACCUUUCGACCAACUUUUUAAACGUAGUGCAUUUUUCAAUUGAGUGACCCGUUAUCCCACGUGGUACUCGCAUUGGGCAUUCUCAGUGUGUAUCAAAUAAACUUUGGUACAGCUCCCUAUACGACAUUGGAAUUGGCUUGAACUAGAGCUUCUCAGUGUCUUGUGUCGGACUCUUGUCUUGAUGAACCUUGUUGGUUAGCAGCCACCUUUCUUGGUUGAUUCACCGUAAUCGAUUUUGAGUAACCCUUUCUAUAUGUACUCGUGUUGUUCACCUCAUUUUCCUUUUUCUUCGAGGCUGACCUUUUGUUACUUUCUCCAGCAUUAAUCUUCCUACUCCUUAUGGCAUUUUCAAUCAUUUCACCAUUCAUGAUUAUGUUAGAAAAGCUUUUUGUGGCACCUCCUAACAUAUGUGUGAUAAAUGGGGCUUUCAGUGUGUUAAUAAAUAACAUUGUCAUUUCUCUUUCCAGGAGCAAUAGCUAAACUUAGACGGCAACCUCCCUCCACCUUUGUGCGUAUUGCCUAAAACUUUCAUUUGACUUCUUUUCCAUGUUUUGUAGGGUGAUUCUAUCAGGAACCAUAUCUGUUACGUGACUGUACUGCUUCAUGAAUGCUUGUGCUAAAUCCCUCCAUGAACUAAUCCUGGUACGGCUCAAUUGAUUGUACUAUUUAGAUGUUGCUAUCUUAAAAGCAAUGUAUUUGCAGUUGGUUAUUGUUAACAUAUCUAGUCAUCCGCCUACAAAACAUGGUGAUAUGAGCUUCAGGGCAACUGGUCCCCUUGUACUUCUCAAAUUCUGACAUUUUGAACUUGUGAGGGAAUACCAAAUCCGGGACCAAGCUCAGAUCUUUAUCAUCAAUCCCAUGGUAGUUCUUAGUGCUUUCCAUUGCCCUGAAUUUUUCUUCGAGCCUUUUACACCUUUCCUCUAGUUAUUUUGGCAAUUCCUCCUUUGUCUUUUCUUUUUCAGCCAUUUUAUCGAAAUUAGGGAUAGCAGGAUUAAUAGGGUUAUCUCCGGGGUUAGAGCCUGAUCCGGCUUAGAAGUUCAUUGGUAUUAAGGCACCGGCCUGAAACUGCUGAGGCCUGAUUGUGACAGAGGAUUUGCGCGGAUAUACCUCAGCUUGGGUCUACACAUGUGGAGGAGUAAAGCCUGGAGGAUAGAAAGGUCUCUCAUUGUCUCAUUCUUCAGCAUUAGCCAUAUGGCCCUUUCCUUUAUCGUUUCCCCCAGCCAACAGUUGAGUCAACUGAGUCAUCAUGUUUCUUUGAAACUCCAGCAUUUUUUUCAUCAUAUCUUGCUGAAUCUUAGUUAGCUGCUCUUGCAGUUGCAGCUGAAGUUGGUCUUGCAUAUCCUUUUAGAACUGUCCAAGUCUUUUCAAUCUUUGGUCCAUGUCAUUGGUUUUUGCUCGAGUACCGUAAUGAUGCUUAGUCGAUAGACUCUUUUUCGGUUCCCAGGUUAACUAGAAUAAUUUUACCUAAUUAGGGUCAUUUUGUGAAAAUCUAAUACAUAUGAUGCAAUGUAAUGCAAAUGCAUGGAAUGAAUGCAAAAAGAAAGAGAUGCAUUGAUUCUGAAUUCAAUUAUAUUAGAACAACUUUUCUAGAAAACAAAUUUCUUUACAUAAAACGAAUUACAUAUGUAGCUUUGCCCUUAUAUUCCAGGCAAAGACAUCGAUCUUUUUCUUCAUAUCUGGAUGCUAGGAUCAAAUCUUGCAAAUUUUCCAAAAUCUAUCUUUACUAUCUCCUUUUUGUUUGAUCCGAGCCAUGACCUAUUACUCACCCCGCGAUGCUCUUUAGUUUCUUUGAGAUGUGACAACUCUCGAAUAAUCUUUGUCGGUUUGAAUCCUCAGGCAACGAAUCAUAGUCGUAUAUUCCUCCACGAACUUCUAGCCUUCUCUCGUUGUGUUUAAUCAGACCAUAUUUGGGUAGUCGCAUUAUAUUCCACUUUCAAGAAAUUCGUUUUCCAUGACAAGAUUUUCUAUUUAGCAAUUAAAUUUGAAUCAACACCUCUUUCUAUGAUGAAAAUGCAAAGCAAUCAUAAACAAAAUAAAACAAAAUACAUCAGUAGAGAAGAAAUAAACAACAGAAUAGAACACCUAUCUGGGUGACCACUAGGGUUUGGCGCGGCUUUACCUAGGGUAGGUUCUUAAGGCUCUCUAUAUGUGGUUCGGUUCUAAGGCAAAGGUACCUAAACCAGCAUAUUCCUCGAUCCUUACCCAUUAUAGGCUCAUAUGGACCGAGUUCAAUUCAGGGGAAUACAUUUCCCUAUGGCUGCACGGAGAUAAAAAUCUCACGAAGACAUAGGUACGGAUGAUCCCGGAAGCGAUCUACUAUCCUGCACGAAGGUGAAAACCUCACGAAUGAGUAGCUUCUCACUUCCACUUGAAAGGGUGUGACCAACGGUCAUGCAAUGCAAUGUGUGGAGAUAUAAAAAUUUAAAAUACAAAACAUGAUGAAAACUAUAACUCAAAACAGAUGAAAUGCAAUGAGAAGCUUAUAUGUUAAAAACCAAAAUUUCAACUUUCGACAAAAAAGACAAAAAUUAAUCAAUUUACGGCUUGACACUAUUAUGGUCCCUAGUAAAGUCGCCAAGCUGUCGAAACCAUUUUUAUUUUGAAAAAUGGGGUUGACUUUUAAAACGAAAAUAGAGUCGCCACCAAUCUUUUUUCGAGGUGUGAACGGGUCACCUUGAGAUUAAUCAUUUUAAUAAAACAUUUUGAUUUAUUAAAAUAAUGAUUUUGGUCUACAAAAUUCAAGAAAACGGGCUUAGGAGUCAGUUACGCACGAGGAAGGAUUAGCACAUUCGUAAUGCCCAAAAAUUGGUACCUAAUUGAUUAAUUAACGUCCUAAUGUCAAAAAUUUGAAAAGAUUUUAAAAUAUGAUCCUCUUUAAAAACCUGAAUAACUCGAAUUUGAUGUUAAGACCUCCUUGUCCCGAAGUAAUAAGAUGUCACAUCCAGUAAGUUAGGAUACGACAUUUUAACCCUUGAAACUAAUCUUAUCUCAUGCAUUAAAGUUUAAAAAUGAUAUUUGGUUAUUUGGAUCAAAAAAAUCGAAUCCCAGUAAGUUAGGACACGAUUUUCUCAAAGAUCCAAAGUACCAAAUAUUGCCUUAUUUUUAAAAGUUUUCUUUUUUAAAAUUGGGGAAAAUUAACGCAAUAUUAAAAUGAUGCGUAAAAACUUUGAUAAGAAAACAACAAUAUGAAAAUACAAAUAAACAAUUUAUAAAACACACAAUGACAAUUAUUUAAAUACUAGCAUCAAUAAUCAAAUACCAAUGAAUUUAAAACAAAGAGUAUAAAAAAAUAUAAGGUAAAAUAAAAUAUAAACAAAUUUAAAAAUAAUGAAUUUGAAAAUGAAUAAUAAGGGAAAAAGAAAUUUGAAAUCAACAAUAUACAAAUCAAUAAAUAUAAAAAAGUAGGUAAUAUAUGUAUAAGUUUGGAAUAAAUAAUAUAUAAAAAAAUGAAAAUAGGUAAUAUAUAAAGUAAUAAUAUAUAAAUGAGUUUAAAAAUAAAUAUUGUGUAAUAAGGAAUUUAGAACAAGUUAUACACAAAACAUCUUAAAAAUAAAUGGUAUAUAAAAUAGAUAGUAUAAAAAAAAUUUGCAAUUGAUAAUAUAUGGAAAAAAAUUUAAAGCAAAUAAUCAAACAAUUUAAAAUGAAUGAUUUAUAACACGAGUUUUUAAAAAAUAAACAACAUUUGUGACAUAAUAUUAAAAACAAAUAAAGUAUAUAAUUAAUGAAAGAAAAUAAAAGAAUGAUAAGAAUAGUUAAAUGAAUGAACAAUAUGUAAAUAAGAAAGUUGAUGAAUAAAUAAAUGAAUAAAAGUAAAAGAAUAAUUAAUGAUUAAACAAUUAAAUGGAUAAAUAAAAAAAAAGGUUAAAAAAACGCUUAAGUCAGCCUAACUCUCACAAUAUGAAGAUUAAACGAAAUUCCUCCACCAAAAUCCAACUCAAAUGAAAGCAACUUAAAAAGAAACGAAGAUGAACGAAGAAUAAAAUAAGAACAAACCACAGAAAAUAAGAACGCAAGAGAGGGAGAAAUUUGGGUGAAUACUCUUAAGAAUUAUUAUUGCUCCAAACUCAAGUCUUUUACAAUGAAGGGAGAGGCCUCUAUUUAUAGUUGAGCCUCUCCAAAUUCAACGGUACAGAUCAAUUACAUCAACGGCUAAGAUUAAAGGGUAUCUACAAAUCUCUAAGAUUACAAAAUCAUAUCUUCUAAGAUUACAUAUCAUAUUUAAAUUUGCAUAUCCUUAAAGAUUAUAUUUUCAUAUGCGUCAAGCUUGUAGAUGGACCUUCAACUUUUUCAAGUAAUGGACCAUUCCGAUCGGGCUAAAUGAUAUAAUUUUGGACUGGACUUGAGCUUUGUUUUAUUAUUUUGAGUUUAUUAUUAUUUUUUGUGAGCCCGGGUUAAAUUAGCCUAUUACAGCUAGUUAUUUUCUUGCAACGUUGAUUAAUAAAUAUAGGAUGUUUCGUUCUUCUAUUCUAAAUACUAGAAUCAAACAUAUUUCCAAAAGAAAGAAAUUAGAGUGGGGUGAUGUAGCAAGAUUAAGAAUCAACCUUUCUGUUUAUGACCUAUGAACAUAUUAAUUAUGAUUUCACUAUUGUAUGUAAUAAAUCCUUGAUGAGAUUUUGUCCUUUAGUUUAAAAGAAGCCUUUGACCCAACCGUUGAGAGAAUAAUUAUGUAAUCUUUCUUUUCUAUCCAAAUUCCUUUUAUUACAAAAAAAAAAAGAAAAAAAAAAGAGUGGCGUCUUUAGUUUUUUUCUAGUGCUACCAUAUAUUCCUUGCUUGCCAGCAUUUCUCUCCCCCUCUCUCUUCCAUAUAUAAAGGGUUAAAAUGUGCCACAAAUACUUAUAAUUUCAAAAAUUAAAAAUUUAAUCCAUUUAUUUUUAUUUUGUAAUUUUAGUUUUUCUUUUUUUUAGAUUUUAAAAUUCAUUCAAACUCAAUUGUUACCAUUAUUAAUUUUUUGGAUAAGUUUAAAACAAAAAAAAGUUCACUUCAUAUCUAUAUAAUUUUGGAUAAGUUUAAAAUAAAAAAAUUCACUUCGUAUCUAUAUAAUUAAACACUUAAACUUAUAUUUAAUUUAAAUUUAAUAAAAAUUAUAGAUGUUAGCAGUUUAAUCAAAAAUAAAAACUCUAAACAAAAUUCCAUUAAAUAAAACUACAGGACCGACGGACUCGUAAUUUUCCUAAUUUUUAUGAAAUAAAGAAAAUAAAAAUGUUAACAAUUUAACCAAAUAAUUUGAUCUAAAUUCCUUAUUUUCGAAAAGCAGAUUCGUGGAACAUUUUAACAUAUAUAAAUAGGACCGGCGGAUUUUGACAAACGUAGUGAAAGAUCGAAAUUGGCAGAAAAUGAAGGUUUCCGUCAAAACUCUCAAAGGCACUCACUUCGAUAUCGAAGUCAAACCCGAAGAUGCGGUUCGCUUCUCUCUCCCUCUUUUCCCAGGGAUUUUACGUUUCUUGACUAGGGUUUUCCGUUUUCCCCUAUAUUUGAACAUUAAUUCGCGUUCAUCCAGGACUGUAUUAAUUGGACUUAUUAUGCACGUAGUUGAAUUACCAUGCCUGACAUGUAAAAUCGGAGAUCGUGAAUGAUUUGUUCAAUUUUAGUGUCUAAUUCAUUGAAUAUGUUUAUUUAGCUUGUGAAUAGUCUAGCUACUUCGAUUAAGUUUUAGUGGACUGAUACUCGUGUAGCUUGAACGGCAAUAUCAUUUUCUUCUGGCGACAAUUAGCAAUUAAGUACUUCUUCCUACGUAAUGCUUUUUACUAGUUCAUUGAAAUUAGUGAAUAAUACUUUGAUUUGUGGGCUUCAUUUUUGUAUUAGUAUUUCAUUAACUUGUAUCAUUGAAUAUUAAUUCAUAGAUUGCCAUGUAAUUGCUAGUUGUAGUUUGCUAGAUAUAAGUUUGAACUGGGGUAUACACAAGCUUUGAACAUUGAAAUGUGCUAAUAUCUCAUAUUUUGCAAUGUUCUUUCACCUUUUUAAAAAAAAAAAAAAAAUUUAGUGUGGCUAUAAACACCGGAUUAAAUGUACAGAGGCUUCUUUUAAUAGAUCUUCUAUAACCAAGGAUCAAGUUCUGCAUUCUAUGGUUACAUCUAAUCAAGGGUUGUGUUUUUUAAUGAUGUGGAUUUUCUAACUAUAUAAAUAAGCUAUUAUUAUUUUUAUUGUUUUCUGCUACUUUUUAUGCUUUUAAGGCUUAUAUAUGCAUAUAUAUAUGCACAGACAUGAAAUUCUUGGGAUAAAAUGCAUUCUGCCUUCUGCCUUUUACAUUACUUUGUCACUUGGUAUUAUACUAUUCUGCUGCAAAUGCUUGUCAAUUCUUUCAGGUUGCAGAUGUAAAAAAGAACAUAGAAACUGUUCAAGGGGCUGAUGUUUAUCCUGCUGCACAACAAAUGCUUAUCUUUAAGGGAAAAGUUCUUAAAGAUGACACGACACUGGCUGAAAACAGUGUCAAUGAAAAUAGCUUUAUUGUGAUCAUGUUGACAAAGGUGAGUUUGGUUACAGUAUCCUGAUUUUUAUGUUUGUAAUCUUUCAUCUAACUUGUUCUAACUUUUCUGAACUUUGUCCUAAUAAACGCCUAACUGACAUAAUUAUUUUUCACACUGCUGUUGAACUUGAAAGUUAUCUUAGAUAUAACUUAUGAUGGAGUGUUGUAUCAUUAUAUUUUUUUUUUUUUUGAAAUCUGGUUGUUGCUUUCCUUUAGGUGCAUCUUAAAAAUCAAAUUUUUGCUAAACUAGAAAAUUUUCUUUGCACUAUUUUUCGACCUCUUACUUGUAUUGUAUCUGAAUUUAUUUUUCAUGACUGUCAUUUUCAUACGAAUAAUGUCCUUUUUGCUUAAAUAAACUAGAAUAAGGGUGCAUCUGGUGAGUGUUCAACUGCUUCAACAGCUCCUACAAAGAAAGUAAGAUUAUAAUUUUGUUACCUCUCUUACUGCUACUUGCAUGCAUUUUUAGCUACAUUUCUAAAGGCAUUUGUGACUGAUAUAACAUGAAAAGCUUUGGGGUUCUGUUUUUGCCGUGAUGGUAGGUGUUCUUUACUUCAAUGCUAUGAACUAGAACUUGAAGUGAUAGUCAAGCAUCUUGAGCAAAUAUACUUUGUAUACGAGUAGAUCAUCUAAAAAGUUAUAGGUAGCAAAUAGAAUGCUUUUAAGAUUUUGGGUUUAUAGAUAUAGCCCAGGUUUGAGUUGUUUUGAGUCCAACUGAUAGAUAUGUUACACUAUUGAGCUACAAACAUAAUGCAUAAUUUGGAGUUUGAGUUGGUGUUAUUACCAAAUUCAACACCUUAAAUGUUUGAGUUAGUCACAUAAUGUCUGUUUUCCCCCCACUAUACAAUCUUUAGGGUAUGUUGCUUCAAAACCAUGCCUGUUUGCAAAGAUUAUUGUUGAGUAAGUAGUGAUUUUUGAUUCUUUGUAGGCUCCUGAGGCAAGUAGUCUGCCAACAGCUACAGUACCAGCUUCGACUGCACCUGUUGUGACGUCUGCUGCGUAAGUCCCACUAUUCAACACUUUUGGUCAGAUACAGCACCUUUGCAAUUGAUUAAUUGCUUAUUAAUUUCUUAUUCAGGGCUGCACCUCCCGCUGAAUCUGCUCCUGUUGCUUCAAGUACUCCUCUGUGAGUAACUUAUUCUUGAUAGUAACUUUCAUGCUUCUAAUUUGAAGGACAAGCUUGCAUUUGAUUUAAUCGAAUUGCUUUUAGUAGGAGAGAUCUUGGUUUUUUUCCUUGUUUUCCUUUGCAUAAUUGUAAUAUCUUGAAUAAUGUCUUUGGAAACAGGUCAGAUUCUGAUGUUUAUGGCCAAGCAGCAUCUAAUUUGGUUGCAGGGAGUAACUUCGAGGGAACAAUCCAACAAAUUCUUGACAUGGGUGGAGGGACCUGGGACAGGGACACUGUUGUCCGCGCCCUUCGCGCUGCUUAUAAUAACCCAGAGAGAGCUGUUGAAUAUUUGUAUUCUGUAAGUACCUUCUUUGUAUCUUGAAGAAUAUGUGCUUUCUUCUGUGCUUCUAGUUGCUGUUGUUUUAUUAUUCUCCUUAAUGUAGUUGCUGUUGAAUAUAUGUGCUUUCUUCUGCCCUCUCCCUCCCUCCUCCCCCCCCCCCCAAAAAAAAAAAAAAAAAAAUUGUAAACAGGAAUGUUGGAUUUCUAUCAUAUGGUGUCUUAAUUUUUCCCCCCUUGGGAAUGGUGGGUUUUGAUGAUAUUUUAUACUGCACCCUUUUCUUUUCUUCUUUUUAGUUUUCAACUAAAACAAGCAUUCAUUUGUUUCCUAAGCUGCAUCUCAUCUCGUCAUAAAUUAUUGUUGCAAAUACUAGGGCAUCCCUGAGCAAGCUGAAGCUACACCUGUGGCCCAUGCUCCUGUAGUUGGGCAAACCACUAGCCCUGCAGAACCACCUCAACAGCCUGCACAAAUGGCAGCUAUUCCUACAAGUGGACCAAAUUCAAAUCCAUUAGACCUCUUUCCCCAGGUAAAAUUGUCAUGCGGUAGACAUUUGAUAAAUUUGAUGAUGGGCAAAUGAACCAGUGACUUGAUUUCCUUUUAUUGAUACAGGGCCUUCCAAACAUGGGUGCAAGUGGUGCUGGGGCUGGCUCUCUUGAUUUUUUACGGAACAGUCCACAGGUCUCUCUCUUUCUCAUUUGGUUAUAUAUGGGCUUGUUAGCAUGACUGUCAUGUAAAUACCUACCUAGGACUACACUCAGUUUGCAAUUCUCUUUUCAGUUUCAAGCUUUGCGAGCGAUGGUGCAAGCCAACCCACAAAUAUUGCAGGUUAUUCUCUGGUCCCUUGUUUCCCCUCUUCAAUCUUCAUGUGUGUGUUUCAUUUUCUUUUCUUCUUCCUUUUUUCCUUUCACCUUUCCUCAAUGUCUCCCUUUUUAUAUUUUUGGCAGCCUAUGCUUCAAGAGUUGGGGAAACAAAAUCCUAAUCUAAUGAGACUUAUUCAAGAGCAUCAGGGUGACUUUCUUCGCCUGAUCAAUGAACCUGCUGAAGGUGGAGAGGGGUGAGUUUGUUGUUUUUAGUUGCUCAUUUCUUGAACUUAUAUACUGCAUGUAUAUCAAGUGCUUAUUUGACAUUCCUGUUGUAAAGAAACAUUUUGGGGCAAUUAGCUGAGGCGAUGCCACAAGCUGUGCAAGUCACACCUGAAGAACGUGAAGCCAUAGAACGGGUAUGUCAUCUGUUACAUAAAGGCUGACUUGGAUGUGUUCACUAUUCUCUGUAAUCAUGGAUUAUUUAGCUAUCUUCCCCACUGCCUCUGGAAAUGCUUUCAUUUCCUUGGACUUUAUCUGAGUUAUGAAAUAUGCAUCACAUCUUUCUUUUAGGCAAUGGUUUUACUUUUAGAUGAUUAAUAAACUCAAAUUUGUUGCAUUGAUCUUGUGCCUACAAAUACUUUUGUAGUCUCCUUAUUCUCUUGUUCAUUCCCCAUCUCUUGCAGCUUGAAGCAAUGGGGUUUGACCGUGCAACUGUGCUCCAAGUGUUCUUUGCGUGCAACAAGAAUGAGGAACUUGCAGCCAACUACCUUUUAGAUCAUAUGCAUGAUUUUCAGGAUUGAGUUGGUAAAGGAAAUGACUAGGGGAAGUAGAAUUUCAUUCUCUUUCGUUCUUUGGGUCCAUUGUCAUUCAUGUUCCCCCUCCCGUCCCCCCAAAACUCUACCGACUUUAUUCUUAAACAAGUGAUGUAAGUGUUUGGUGUAGAGACAAGGAAUGUGAAGAUGUUAACUUCAUUUUUUUUUCUUUUUUCUUUUUAUUUCAGGACCCAUUAUUUAUAACGUUAUAUACAAGUUUCUUUCUAAGCUUGUGCGUAUUGUACUUUACAUUUUAUGCUAUUAUAAGCACUUGCGACGAGGAGCUGCACCCAACUUUCAAGUUCUUCGAUCAAUACUCUUAGAGGUCUAGACAUGGAAAAGACUUGAGGCAGUAUGACGCAGCCAAAUUUUCCAUAAGUCGAAGGUAAAAACAAUGGACUAAGGAAUCGUCGGGUGGUGAACUCACACUUUUGAAGUGACAUUUUCUUGGGCCCAUUCCCCCCAAUUACUCCGUUGAGGUCUAACUCAAAAGUGAAAAUGAACAGAAUUUCAUAAUUGCUGGACAAUAUGACAUUCCCAGGAACAAAUGAGCAAUAGAUUCAUGUUCAACAUUGCGAAAACAACAGGAUCCACUAGGUUCAUACCUCGAAGGAUCAUAAAAUAUCGGGUUGAGAGAGGUGUCCACCCACAUUUCUAAAGGAAGAACUUUAACUAUGAAGGAAGACGAGCUUUCCAAAUCAAAUUCCAGAGUUAGUUGACUACUCGGGGAAGUGUCAAUAGAGGGAGUACUAAAUGCUAGGAUGAAAGAAUAAGCAUUAGCCAAGGUAAAAGUUCCAGAUUUCGUAAGCCCCCAACCAACAAAAUUUGAUCCCUAGAGUGCUUAAGAACACAUCAAUUAAAUCUUGCGGGAAUUGGACAAAUAUCGAAUAAAAACCACUACGAUCCUAGCUAUUGCAGACUUGCUCGAAAGACCAAAACUCCUCCAAUGGCAGCAGGGGGCCUUGUACAAGAUUGCGGAGAGGGCCUUGUCUUGACCACUUAUCACUAAAAAAAUUCAUUGUUCUACCAUCCUUAAUAACCCAUCUCAUCUCUAGCUCAAUGAAGUGGCGAAUCUUCUUCAAAGAGGGUGUAUUCUGUACAAGGUUUUGAUUACUAGGGUCAGUGAUGUAUUUUGAUAUAAGGAUUUUAGCCCAAAGGGUAGCCUUCUCCUGGAUUAGUAUCCAACCAAGCUUUACUAGCAAAGCUUGAUUUUUAAUUAUUGCUUUCGAUAUACCCAAACCUCCAUAGGUUUUAGGUUGUACGGCCAAAUCCCACUUUAGAAGUUGUCCAUGAUUUGUAUGAUCAUAACUUUCCUAAAGAAAGUUCUUGUUGAUUCAGUCUAGCUGACUAUGAAUACUGGAGGGGAGUAAACAACACUGCAUGUAAUAGUUCUGGAUGGAGGCCAUUGUUGACUGGAUAAGAACCAACCUUCCAAGGGAUAGAAAAUUUGGCUUUUCAAUAGCUUAGCUUGUUAUGGAAAUUAUCAACAAUAAGAUAAUAGUCAUGUUUAGUGACUCUCUUCAUGUGCAUAAAGAACCCAAGAUAUUUCACUAAAGCAUUGGAUAUGCUUUUUCUAGAGUCCGCACAUUUAGGGGAAAAAGCCACUUGGGAUUUCUCAAAGUUUAUAGUUCGUCUAGAUUCUACCAUGAAUAGCUAAAUGAUCCUUUGGAUAGAGGAUACCGAUGUAGCAUAAUUUUUUUGCCAACAAAAUGAUAUCAUAUGCAAAUAAUAAGUGAGAGAACCAGGGUACACUCCUAGAGGGUCGGAUAGGAGACCAAACUUGUUGAUCCACCACUCUUGAAAUUAACAAGCUAAGGAAUUCCAUGCAUAAAAUAAAUAUAUAAGGGGAGAAUGGGUCACCUUAUCGGAUUCCUCUAGAUGGUUUGAAGCUAUUCAAUUUUGAUAUGUUUAACAGCACCGAGGUGGAUGUCGUCGAAAUACAACUCAUUAUCAACUUGACCCAACUAGGGGGAAACCAAAGAAUAUAAGAACUUUACGAAUAAAGCUCUAUUGUAGCUUAUCGUAAGAUUUUUCUAGAUCUAAUUUAAUAGUCAUAAGAUCUUUUUCCCAUUACAAUGAGAAAGGGAAUGGCAAAUUUCCUGCACUAUCAUUGUAUUAUCUGAAGAUAAGCACUUAGGGAGAAAAUUGCCUUGGACCGAGGAUGUAAUGUCAUUGAAGAUGGGUUGAAGACUCAUAACAAGGAUCUUCGUGAUAAUUUUGUAGGAAGUAUUGCAUAAGCUUAUUGGCCAGAAUUGUGAGAUCGAAGCAACUUCCCUAGAUUUGUGAGUAAGCGCGAUUGAGGUUUUGUUUAGCUCAUUGGGGAUUGUAGAGUUAUAAAACACCAUCACAUCGUUGUGAUGUGGGAAGACUCCUCGUCACGAUGUCGCCACCGUGAAAAUCCUUCCCACCUUCAUCGCAUCGUCGUGAUGAGAGAAAUCUUCUCGUCACGACGUCAAGAGUAUUUCUGGCCUUGGCAGCUUCGUUGCUCUAUCAAACUGCCUUGUCUCGUGGCCCAAUGAUCAUCCCUUGAAUUCUUGGACCUGAAUUGACAUCCUACACACUCAAUUAGCCCAUUAGUCACUUACGGGGCCAAAGUCGGUCUUAUGAGUCAUCGAAAUAAAAGAAAAUGCGUAAAGAUACUUUUUUUAUUAAUAUUUAGUUUCUAACCUAGUAAUACUGAAAAUGCAAUAAUUAAUUAUAAGACGCCUAGAAAACAAGCUCGUUAAAUGUAGAAAUGACCCAAACUAAAUUUUACAUUUGAAGCCAGGUCACAUACCCCCACACUUAAGUCCUUGUCUUCAAGCAAACAAAACAAAUUGAAAAUGAAAACUAAACAUGCAAGAAAAGAAAGUGCACUUGAACUAGCUUAAUGCAGGAAAUUGGGCAGAAAUGUAUUAAAAAGAUAAUGUAAAUAAACAUAUAAUUCUAGCAUGAUACACAAUUGACUCGCAAUUUCUAAAAUUAGACAGAUUAGUUCAUUAAAUUACAAAUCAAAUAAAUAAAAGAAUAUUAAGUAUAGGUAUCCAUCAAAAUAAAUAUAUAAAUAUACAAUUAUGUUCAAAUGAAUACAAGUGGUAAAAAUAUCAAAACUUGGCAUGACUGCCAUCCAUAUAGAGUACUACUUAGGUCACAUAGGACUUUUUGGCUUGUAACAUUUUGCGGCUUAAGUUGGUUUGGAAUUCAAGGAACAAACUUGACAAAAUGGCUAAGCACAAAACUAGUUUGACACAUUGUAUUGUCCUUGAUACUCCCCUAAUUUCGAAUAAUCUCACCACCUUAUAUCCACUUCCAGGGGUGAAGCUAGGAAAUUUUUUUAGAGGGGGCCAAAAUGAAAUUUUAAUUUUUAAUAGUCUAUAUUUUUAUAAUUUUCAAAGGAUUAAAUCAAAUUUUUAUAAUUUUAAAGGGCCAAAGUGAAAUUUUACCUUUACUAAAUUAAAAUUUUAAAAAUUUCUAAAGGACCUAAAUAGUAAUUUUCUAUUUUAGAAGGGUCGGGGCCCCUGCCAGCCCCAUAGAUUCGCUUUUUUCAACUUCUCUCACCUUCCUUUUCUCUUCAUCAUUAAUGCCCCGUAUAGUAUUCAUGAGCACAAUCAUUCAAGCUUGAAAUAGUUUUUUUUUCUUUUCAUCGAGAUUUUUUGGAUUGGCAUUUUUCCUUAUUUUGGACAAGCUCAAAAUCUUAUACUCACUAUACCAUACACUUCCUUAGUCACUCAAUUUUUUUCUCUUUUCUUUUGAAACCACCAUGAUGCAUCUACCUAAUCCCUUAAUAUCAAUGGUCGGACAUCAAAAUUUGUGCAAGGACUAAAAAAUAAAUGAUCAAAUAGAUUAUAUAUUAGGCUUAAGGUUUCAUUUAGGGUUCAUCAAGAAAAUAGAUUCAAGCACAAAUUAGGUACUAGGGAAAAUAUAUAUAGGGUUAGCUUUUUGGCUAAAAAAAUUGCCUACCAAAUAAUGCCUUAGGUCGUCCCUAGGUAUUUCAAUGCAUGGAUUAAAUCGGCUAAGUCUCUUGAACGCCUAUAAAUGUGUUAUUUUUUUAUAGUAUAAAUAUUGCACCAAAAAUAUAUAAAAUUAAAUCUGCGGUGUCUGCAAGCGUACGAGUCAGAUUGUAAUAUAGUAAAAUUUACAACGAAACAUUGGUAAGUAUUCUGAGGAUCAUACCCAAGGGAGGAUAAAAUAAAUCUAUAAAAACCUUUUUAGAAUAAUAAAUUUAAAUAGUAAUAAUUAAUUCCUGUAUUAUGAUAAGCCAUAAAAUAGAUUAAUAAGAGAAUUUAAAUAACUAAAACAAAUAAACAAGAAAAAUAACAAAUGCAUUAAAUUAGUAAAACCAAUUAGGAAUAUUAACUCGUUUCAGGGUUUGUAUUUAACUUUGGAUUAGGGUUUUAGGGUAGAUUAGCUACCAAUUAACCAAUUAUUACCUCCCGUCCUCUACUAAUUAAUCAAUUGGUUGAUACUUGCUUAUCUCCCGAUCUCACUUUCUCAACCAGGAUAAACUAAAAUUUACUUGAUUCGACUUAUCUCCCGAUCUCGUCUCACCUAUGAUAACUUCCUAGGGUUGUCAAGCCUAAGGUUUAAGAACACGUAACCUAUACCAACUAAUCCUCUCAAGAAACCCUAAAUUCUUCGUUAAUCACAUCCCUAUCCACUCGUUAAAAAACCCUUAAGGGAUUUAGCCACUCAUGUUAUUCAUAAUCUCUAACUCAAUCAAAUAAAUCAUGUAAAUAACAUGAUUGAAUCGGAAGAGAAAUGAGAUUAGAAUAAUCGUGGAUUGAUAUCGAAUAGAGAACAGUAUAGGAAAUUAUUAAUCGUAAUAAUAAAAUAUAUUGAUUGCAAUGAAGAAAUAAACUGAAUACUUUAAUAAAAUAAAAUAACUCUUGGAUCGAAACAAAUUCCAAGAGGAAAAACAAAUAGUUUAUGAAAAGCCAAAAUAAAAUUAAUCUAAUCCUACUCUUAAGUGCGAAAAUAACACGAAUUAACUACCACAUUUGAUGGCAGGUCAAAUACCCCUACAUUUAAGUCUUUUCUUGUUCUCAAGCAAACAAAACAAAACAAAACAAAAUAAAUACUAAAUAUGAACUAAACUAAAAACAAGAAAUAAAUAUGCAAGGAAAAGAAAAUGUACUCGAGCUAGCUUAAUAAAGUAAAUUGGAUAGAAACAUAUUAACAAGAUAAUGUAAAUAAACAUAUAAUUCUAGAGUGAUAUAAAAUUGACUUGCAAUUUCUAAAGUUAGACAGAUUAGUUCAAUAAAUUACAAGGCAAACAAGUAAAAUAAUGUUAAGUGUGGGUUUUCAUCAAAACAUAUAUACAAAUAUACAUGUAUGCUCAAAUGAGUAUAAGUGGUAAAAACAUCAAAACUUGGAACAAUUUCAUCCAUAUAAAUUACUACCUAAGUCACAUAGGACUUUUCGUCUUGUAGCAUUCUGUGAUUUAGGUUGGUUUGGAAUUCAAAGAAUAGGCUCAAUCAAACAAUUAAGCACGAAAGUAGUUUGUCACAUGAUAUUUUCCCCGAUACUCCCCCGAGUAUACAUAUGCUCACCACCUUAUAUCCACUUCCCUCACCUUCCUUAUUUCUCAAUUUACUAAGGCCUUGUAUAGUAUUUAUGAAUACAAUCAUUUGAGAUCAUAAAAAAAUUAUUAUCUUUUUAUUUCUUUUUUGAACAAAAGUGAGCGUACUUUUUUUCCAGCUCACAUUGUUUUUAUUUUUCAUCGAGAUUUUCUCGAUUGACUUUUUGUCUUAUUUUAUACAAGUUCAAAAUCUUGUACUCAUUAUACCAUACAAUUCCUUAGUCACUCAAAUUUUUUCGUUUCCUUUGAAACCAUUGAGAUUUAUCUACCUAAUCCCUCAAUAUCGAUGGUUGGACGUCUAAAUUCGUGCAAGAACUAAGAAAUAAAAGAUCAAGUAAAUUAUCUAUUAGGCUUAGGGUUUCAUUUUUGGCUCAUCAAGAAAAUGGAUUAAGGCUCAAAGUAGGUACCAGGGAAAAUAUUUAUGGAAUAUCUUUUAGGCUAAAAAAUUUCUACCAAACAAUGCCUUAGGUCCUCCCUAGGUAAUUAUAUACAUGGAUAAAAUAGGCCAAGUCUAUCAAUUUCUAAAACCUAUAAUUCAAUUAAAUAUACAUGCUAUUUAUAUACCUAUUUAUCAUGUGGUAUUGUAACACUUUCCACCCGACCCGAAUCACCGAGUCUGGAUAUAGUGGGCUCCACAUGACAAUCCUACCGUGGGGUAGUUAAAUUGUCAUAUCAUGACAAGAACCACUGAUGGAGGUCGUAGGUCUUGUUUAGGGACCUUCUCUUACUCAAUUUUUUAAAAACAUGCAAGGUUUUUAAUGUUCGAUUUCAAUCAUGAAUGAAUAAUAUAUGUAUGUCAAGUACAUGUGACAUUCUUCCCUAAACUAUAUGACAUGCUUAUCGUACAUAUGCAUGAACAUACAUUCACAGUAAUAUCAAUAUCAUCAUGCUUAUCACAUAUAUAAAAGCAUAAAAAUUUAAAAGACUCUAACUAUCUAAAGUUUCCAUGAUUCCAUCCUAGAAAAAAUAAAAAAAAUAAAAAAAAUUCACCUCAAAGCAUACUUUGGGUCUUCUAUUUUGUCACCAUGGACUUAUGGUACAGUACCAGUUCACGUUUUCAUUGUCAUUGUCUUUUUGCAGCCAUUUUUGUAUCAUUGUCGCUGAACUGCCAUUACUGACCAUAGCUGGGUUAUCUCAAGUCACCAUCGAAUCGCCUCUAGCCACCGUCAUCAGCCUCCAUCGCUAACCCUUGUCGUCGAUCAUCACUGUUAGAUCACCAGUAGUCGCUUGCUGCCAGACCACUGUUGGUCUCAUGCUAGUUUGGCUGGGUCAGGUUUGCAUCGUCUUGAUGGCCUAGAUACGUCUCAGUUCUCCUAGUUCCGUUGAAAAAUUUAGGUAACAAAAUUCCUAUGUCUGUUUCCAGCUCAAAUAUUUUAUUCUAAAAUAAUAAAAUUAUUCCAUGCGUGAAGAUGAUAGUCCACGAUCUAAAAUAUACAUGCCCGAUAAAUCAAUAAAUUUAAUUUAAUUUAAUUUUCUAGGAAUCACAACUUUGGCAAAUUUAUUUUAUCAUACAUAAUAAUAAAAUAAUAUCAUAAAUUCAUUCCUUUAGACAUGCAUACAAUUACAAGAAUGACACAUCUUAUCAAAAUAAAAUUAUAAACAUAAUACAACCCGACACUCUGAUACCAAUUUUUGGAAAAAUAAAUCCUAUUCGAAAACGAUUUUCUUGCAUAGUGAAAAAAAUUUGAAAAUCGUGCCGAUUUGUGAUAUUUAUAGCAAUAAACCCUUUACCAAAAUCGCACUUGUGUUUUUAGCUAGAUGAAUCCUUCUCGUUCUUGACUUUUAAUUGACUAACCUUCUUCGUUAUUCUCAUACCACAAACUGCUUUGAGUGUGGGCUUGAACAAUUUGAAUCAAACACAAAACCAAAAAUAGUUUCCUUAACUUUUAGUGUGAAAAUGAAAAUCUCUUCUCAAUAGAAAUUGGGAAAAAUUUUAUUUUAGAAAAUAGAUUUAAUAUUUGAGAAUUAACUCUCACUAUUUCCGGGCAAAGUAACAAUAUCUUUGAGUUUUAUUUUUAACCCUAUCGAUGCCAUCUAUUUAUAAGGAAAAGAAGUUAAACCUUUGUUGAAUUAUAGAAGUGUAUUUCCAGUAGAAAAAUGAAGUCCUAUUAUAACUAGAAUUAUAGGGGAUGACAACCCUAGUUAAUAAUACUAGGGAUUGUUGUCCUUCCCUUUAACAUGCGGGGCUUUUGGGCCUCUCUCAUAACAGGUUAAAUUACAAGUACUUCCUGAACUUUUAACCUACUACUUUAUAAUUCGAUCCAACCCGAUAUUUGUUUUUUUAUUUCCCAAAAUAAAUAUAUCAAUUUAUUUCCAAUUAAAUAAUCUUCUAAACCCAAUUCUAAUUCUGUUAAAAUCAUGACUUUACCGUAAAAGAAACUAUGAGAAAAUAUAUUUAAUCUACAUUUAAUGGGUUCACUAUGACCAAAUUAUUUAUUUCCAUUUUCAAACUUCAUUUAAUUCAAAAACCAUAAAUUCAUUUUCAGGUCAUUAUAUUUUGGAGAAAAUCACAUUAAUUUCCAAAUGUUUCUCAUUUCUCCAUUUUCACCAUUUCUAUUCAUUUAAUUCAACAUGCAAUUUAUUUAUGGUUUCAACAAUAUAGUGGAAAUAUUGAUUGGACACAUAUGAUUAGGGCUCAAAUAAUUUAUAAUUAAGUUCCCCCUUUUCGCCUAUUAAUUAUAAAGUCAUUUAGUCACGAAGUCAUUUCACUAUAGUAUCGUGAUUGAGCUCUUUCCAACGGCAUACCAUUAUGAAAGCAACUACUCAGUGCUCGUUUAAUGACCUUGUCAUAAGUGUGUUACCCUUAUAGGAUAUCAUUAAUCUCUUUGGGAUAAUAUAUGUUCUCCCAAUAUGAUCCUAUUUUAUUUCAUGGUAAUCAUUACAUCUUCUUUCAUGAAAGGUCAAUCAUUAUCAAAUAGUGAUCAAACCAUCCAUCACAAAGACGGAUGAACCUUGGCCACGUUUAAUUUUCAUCAACUAUGUAAUGCCAAUGAGAGGAUAUCAUUUACCCAUGUUUUGGGCUAUGAAUUCCACAGUUGUGAAUCACGCUACAUACUACAGAAGUCGUACACCCAACACACCAGCUUUCAGUUCCUUAUAUAUUUGAACUCAGACUUUUACUUACAUCAAAGUAUACGAGUCACACAUACAUAGCCCGCCAUUCACUUAGGAUUUAGGUAUGCCACACUGUAAACAUCACAAGUAAAUAAAUACAUAAACGAAUUCAGGAUGUAUUCUUCUUCGGUCCAGUCCAAUGUACUAUCAUUCCAGUUAGUCACAUCUAUGUCUCUAUCUUUUGGGAGUCAUCCACUUUGAUGCCCAAGAUAAAACAUCUCCCCAAUUGGACUUGAUGGAUGGUAUAUUAGUCUUUUAAUCGGUUUUGCUCAUUUCUGAUUAGACUAAGGACAUGUUUAGGUUCAUCUACUAAUAUAAGUUUUCUUUUCGUAUUACAAUCCGACCACAUAAUACCGCUUAGUAUUAGUUCAAACAUUAGAAAACUAGUGAGCCAAUAUUUGCUUCUAUUUUACUUUGCAUGCAGAAACCACAUAAGGAAAAUUAUACAAAAUAAUAUUAAUGUAAUUCAUAAUUUUUUGUUAAUCAAUCUGUUUGAAAAAAAUACAAGUUUACAAACGAAUAUACUACACCCGUGGCAUGAGAUCCAACACUUCUUUCUUUUUCGUGUAACUAGGAAUGUUGAAUUUUUUCGACCUUAAAUCCAUACCUCUAAUCCUAAACUUCCCUAGCACUUUGUCUUCUCUUUUUCUUUUUAGGAAUUAUUGCUUCUUAGGAAUGCUGUCACCUUUAAUUGCAAUGCUAGGUAAGGUAGAAUUAGGGAGUGAGCUUUGGUUGGGGCAUGUGAAUUCUUUGUUGUAUCACUAGCUUUGAAGGUAAAUACCCACCCUUUUCAAUGAUGGUUAAUUGGAAGUCGCCUCGUCAAAGAUGGAAAAAGCACAAUACCAAUGCAUCAUCACUUGGCAAUCCCAGUAAAAUAGUGGCGGGGAAAAUUAUCUGAGAUCAUGUUGGUGGUUUGGUUAUAAGAAGUUAUCGAUAUAUCCCCAAAGCUAACAUCAUCAAGGCUGAGUUGCAUGUGUUGUGAGAUGGCCUUAAACUUGUUGUUGAUUUGAAAAUCUCGCAUUUAGAAAUACAAGUCGAUUGUACUGUUGUUGUUUCUUUUAUUUCUAAUAUGCUUAUUACUAAUCCUCUUGCAAUGUUGAUUAAUGAUUAUAGUUUGCUAUGUGCUUCUAUCCCGAAUACUAGAAUCAAACAUAUUUUCAAAGAAGGAAAUUAGAGUGUUGAUGCCGUAACACCUUAUACCCGACCUGAUCGCUAGGUUCGGGUACUAAGUGUCACAAUCAACCUAAUAUACUUAACAAUAAUUCUAUAUUGAUUUACUUUCAACUUUUAAAUUCUAAGAUAGGUUUCUUAUAUACACAUAACUUCACUCCAAUCUUGUAACAUCCUGAUUUAGAGCUUAGUCGGAACAGUGGUUUCGGAACCACAAAUUCGAUGAGGAAAAAAUUAUUUUUACUAUAUUUUUAUGGCCUACAAUUUCACGAAAAGAUUUCUUGAAAAUUUCGUUGAAAAAUUUUGACGUUUGGGCACUCAAUUUAGUCAAAAGGACUAAAUUGUAAAAAGUGUAAAAGUUGAGUUUUAUAUGUUAAAGGUAUUUAAUUGUUAUGGAACUAUAAAUUAGGGGUCAUUAUAUGGUAAUUAGACCAUUAGUUAGUGAUGGACAAAAAUGGACAUGAGAUAAGUGAAAUAGGAUAUUUUUAAGUAAGGGCAUUUUAGUCAUUUAGUAAAUAAAUAGAAUUAAAAGGGAAAAAGAUGUAAAAAUUGUAUUCAUCAUAUUUACUUGCUGCUGAAAUUUGAAAGAAGUCAUAGCUAGGGUUUCUUCACUUUCUCAAGCUCAUAGUAAGUGAUUUCAACUCCCGCUUUUAAUGUUCUUUAUGUUUUUGGAAUCCCGGUAGCUUAAUUUAGCUUAUUUUAGCAAUAAUUUAACCUAGGGUUCAUAUUUGGAAAAAUACCCAUAGGUGAAAUAUGUUUAUUUUGAUGUUUUAUGGUGGAAUAUGAAGCUAGGAAUUAUGUUAAACAACUUUUGCUAGUCGAUUUUAAGUGAAAACGAGUAUAUUGACAUAAUCGGCAAAAAUACCUAAUGUUCAUAAGCGUUAGAGUAAGAAUUUGAUGUUGUCAUAGAAGGGAAAAAUGUUCAGCAUGUUAUAAAACAUAAGAAUAAGAGAUGAAGUUUAAUUUAUGAGCUUUGGGGCAAAAGUGUAAAUAUGCAAAAGUUUAGGGGCAAAACUGUAAUUUUGCAAAAAUUAAGUCAAGGACUGUUUUGAUGAAUGUGAGUAUUAAAUACGCUAAAUUUGCUAUUAUAGAUCAAGAAGAAUGAAUCCGGAGCUAGAUCGGGGAAAGAAAAAGAUUAAGGACUAAAGUGUUAGAUUUGAUCACAUUUUUAAAUUCGAGGUAAGUUUAUGGUAAAUAAAUGCAAUAUUUCAAUAAUUAUUAUUAAUGCUACUAUUUUCCAGCAAUUAUGUACUUAUUUUAUGAAAUUAUUUAAUGUUGACUUAAGUAUGAGAUGACAGAGAAUCAGUGAUAAAAGCCCCGUUGAAACAUAAGGAAUGUAUCGGAUACAAAUGUCAUGACAUUUGGAUAAAGAGAUCUCAUGUAAUACCAUGUCUGGGACAUGACAUUGGCAUCAUUGAGAUUAUGUGAGGUCCCAUGUAAGACCAUGUCUGGGACAUGAUGUUGGCACCGAGAUGAGAGGUCCCCCAUAAGACCAUGUCUGGGACAUGGCAUGGGCACCAAUAUGAGAACUCCCAUCUAAGACCAUAUCUGGGAUAUGACAUUGGCAGUACAGGAAACAUCUCAUGUAAGACCAUGUCUGGGAUAUGGCUUUGGCAUGUUAUUAUCAAAUAUGAGACCCAAGUAUCCUUAUUAUUCCAAUGUGGCUCAACGGGCUAGAAAACUGAUUAUGUUCUAUGUAAGUUCAAGUAAAAGUAUAAUUAGCAGCUUCAAGUGAGUUAUAAGAGUUAAGAAUAUAUUAUGUUAUCAGUGAGAACCAAUAUUUCAGCAAGAGAAGAGUAAGUUGUAAUCUUAAGCUAUCUAAGUAGGUAAGUAAGUAAACAAGUAAAUGAGAGUAAGUAAAGAGAAAGCUUAAGAACAUGAUACUUGCAUAUCAUUAUUUAUGUUAAAUGUUGUUAUUUAUUUACUUGUAAACUUACUAAGCUUUAUGCAUACUUCUUUUAUUUCUUUUUUCUUUCAUAUAGUAUUAUCAAGCGUAGUCGGGAUCUUGAAGACGUCGGAGAGCGUUCACACUAUCAACCACCACAACUCGGUAUUUUAAGACGAUAAAUGUUUCGAGCUAUGGCAUGUAUAGUGACUUGGUCAUUUUGAUUUUAUAUUCUUAAGAUAUGACCAAAAGAUGAUAUGUAAAUAUUUGAUGAUGAAUAGUUAUUAAAAUGGCUAAGUAUGAAGGUGUUUGUUGUUAUAAAUGUCUAGGUGAUAAAUUAUGCAUAGAAAUCAUGAAAAAGUAAAAAAAAAUUGUUAGCAAAUCAGUUUUGAGACAACAGUAGUGACAUGAUUUUGAAAAAUCACCAAGAAUAGUAGAAAAUGAAUUAGAGGGUGAAUGAGAUAUAUAAUUAAAGCUUAUUGAGUCUAUUUUAUAGAAAAAUAACAUUGUAGACAAAGGAAUUAUGUAUUCUGAGAUAUUUGCAUUUUGGUUAGACAAUGUCAAAGUGGUUUUCGGAAUCUCCUGUUCUAACUUUGGAAAAUCAUUAAAACUUGUACAAAAAUAGUUAUGAGUUUUAAUUUAUAUGUCUAGAUUUCUUAUUGAGUGUAUCUUCUAUAGGAACAAGUGGGAACACCAUAUGAAGUCUGUAAAAUGAGAUAAUUAAAUUUUAGUGAUGAGAGGUCAGGACAGUCGAUCAAUGAAGUAGGGGAGACUUUAACUAAUAAACUAUACUAAUUGGAUAAAACCAAAAAUUCUAAAAAAAUUAUGGUAAAAAGAUAUAUGAUUUUAGUUUUAGGGAAAAUUUAUAGAUCUAAAUUUCAAGUUUUGUAGCUCGAGUUAUAAUUCAUUUAGUAACUACUGCGCAAGUGGACAACUUUGUUGUGAAUAGUGAAAUUAAUUUCAAAAGUAAAAUUUUAUUCCCCAAACUUUUAAGUUAAGUCAAGUAACGCCUCAUGCUCGACUCCAGCAACCGUCUCGGGUAAGGGGUGUUACAAGUAUAUUUAGUUAACAUGUUAAAAAAUAUCACUACAGAUAAAAUUUCUACUAUUUCUAAAGUUUUUAGUAUCAAAUUACCUUAUUGUGUAGGUUUAAGUUUAUAAGUGUACAACAACUUGGGAAUUAAAACUUCUAUAAAAGCCUUCUUAUUCGAACCCCGAGGCAUAGCCUCUAAGGGUGCCUCUUUAAAUGCAUGGUACAACUAUGGCACCAUUUGCGUAACUUCACAACGUUUGGCAUGGUCCCUUCCUAACCCUUGAAUAAUUCUUUAAUCCUGCAUACAAAACAGUAAAAUCAUAAGUUUAGAUGAACUUAGUGAGAUUCUGUACAUCAGAAAUUAAAGGCUCUCAACUUUUGGGUAAAUAAGAAUAAGAGUAUAGAAUUUAAAACUCCUUAGCAAAACUUAGGAAUUUUGUAGUAACACUAGAGUAGCUGAUGCUCAUGUCUUCUUUGAACCAAUCAUUGGCGGAUAUAACUGCUGAUCUGAUCAUAGGUGCACUCUUUCAAACAACCCAUUUUUGGGGCCCAACCUUGUCUAGCUCCAUCUUAGGCUCCCAUUUUACCUUUCUGGCUCGACUAAUCAAGGUUCUAUAUACACGAAUAUGCGAUUUGACAACUACUUUUGGUAGACUAUCAGGUAUCUCACCAUAACUGUGGAUCCUUACCCUAAUCUCUUCGUUCCACCCUAAACUCAAAAUAGGCUUACUACAUUACCCCGAUAAUUUUCUUUUUAUGACUUAUCUUGUGCUUAAACCCUUCUUCUAAGGAAGACCCAUAUACUGAGAAUCUCAUUUGCUAUCUUGAAUUUGAGAAUUGGCUGAUACAUGAUCACCUUGUUCUUUGCGGACUUGUACUCGUCAAUAAUCUCGGAGGACUUACCCAUUUCAGAUCGUUCUACUAAAAUACUCCCAGUAACAGAUAGUUCCCUACGAAGUAUUUCUUUUUUAGAUUUCCCUUGGCAGGCUUUCACAUUUGAUAGUCCUAAGAGGACUUCCCUGCUCUAUACAGUCAUGAUAGACUUUCGUUUCUUCUAUUAUUUCCCGAUGGACUUUCUACUCCAGAUUGUCCUUGGUGUUUUGCUUUCUUAAGAAAGUCAUCGACGGACUUCCCUCUUAUUCUAGCAACCUCUUUACCCAUGAAUACUUAGGAUUAAUAUUUGCAUAAUCAUAUCACUUUAUUACAACCAAAAACUUGUUUACUUAUCGAACUUUGGUGGACCUUUAUGGUGGAUACCUAUUUGCCAAUACUUUGAAGGAAUUUCUCUUUCCUCUCACAUAUAUCCUUGUUAAGACAUUUUUACCAGUUCUACUUACCUUCACAUUUUAGAGGAUUCUCUUAUUAUCAUGUUUGCCCGUGUUUGCAAAUGCACGAUGCUCAUUUUGUUAGACUUCUUGUCGCGCAAAUCAUACAGUGAUUUCCCUUUUUUUGUACCUUGACAGGUUUCCUACUUACUAUCCUGGGAGACUCCAUUUCACCAUAAAGUCUACUUGUUCACCACUAGAUUAUGUCAUGGCUAACCAUGGACUUUUGAUUUUUAAAAAUUAGUAAACCCAUUUCAAAAUGUUUACACAGUGUCGACUUGAAGGACCUAUAUAUUGUAGUCAUGGUGUCACCCUAAAGGACCAUUAGAUAAUCGUCAUCACGGUGUCACCCCAAAGGACCAGUAGAUAAUUGUUAUCACAGUGUCGCCCCAAAGGACAAGUAGAUAACUGUCGUCACAGUGUCGCCCUGAAGGACCAGUACAUAUCUGUUCCAUGAUACCGCUAAACUCCCUUGUAUCCCAUAACAAUUCGUCAAUUCCUUCAUUACGCUAAUUUUUCCUAUCUUCAUCCAACCGUCAUAAUAACUCCUUCCAUACUUCUCAUUUUAAAAACAUGUUUUUUUUCACUUAUUACUAUAACAUAUAACAUGCCAUAUUUCAAUACAUCAAUAUUGGUCUGCUGCAAUUUGUUCAAGGAGAUUAAACCAUUUUUCGUACUUAAGGAGCUUGAAUAAAAGCAAUUUCAUCAUGUUUUACUUAGCUUUUCACUUUUAGUUAUGAAAUAAUAAAGAGUGUGAUUUGAGUCGUUUAUAUGACUUUAGGGCCAAAAUAGGUUAAAAGAAGACUAACGUGUUUGGUGAGUGUGCAAGACAUCAUUUAGAUGUAUGGGAACACAAGACUAGUCACCAUGUUCUAACAUAGAGGUUCGACGUCGGAACAUAGUGAGAAGUAUAACCAAAAUAACAAGAUUGCCUUCAGUGUCGCGACACAACCUUGAAUCUAAGCCUGAGCCAAGUAAACUACAACCAAUGUCGCGACAUAGGGCAGAUGAUGUCAUGCCACCGGCCUGAUGUGAAGAAUUAAUGAGUUGAUGGUGUUUUGGUCCACACAAUGAACUUUAACAUAAAAAAGUCAGUCAAACUAGAGCUAUGAAUGAUAGCCAACCUUAAAUUUGUAAAUAGGUUUCACUAAACACUUCUUAGACAACUUUUCUAUAUGUUUAAACUUUUAUUCUAGUUUAGGUUGCAAAUUUUAUUUAGUUUUCAAUUUUUAGUCCUUUGUAAUUAGGAUUUCUUUUCAAUUUUAUUUUCACUUUUAUUUGACAGAGAAUCUGGUUGGUAGAUUCAUCAAAGUCUUAUUAAAAAAUGUUACUUUCCAACCUUCUUAUAUGCAAAUAUGCUAGUAGAGGGCCAAACCAAGUGACCAUAAUGUAUGUGGUCAAAGACUGGAUUGAAUUGAGGGAGAGAUGCAGUCAAUGCAAACUGAAGUGAAUCAGGUGCAAUUUAAGUGCACCUAAAUGAUAAAAACAUUGACAAGACUAGAAGAUCAGAUGAGCCAAUUGAUAAGCAUGAUGGGGGAUAACAAAAGGAAAAUUGACUCCGGGAUCCCAAGUAGUAUUGAGAAUAAUCCUCAGAGAGAAAGGAAGGAGCACAUUAAAGCAAUUAUGCUCUAUUUGGGUAAAGUACUCAGUAGCCCAAAGAACCCAACUCAAGAGGAGUGCAAGAAAGAUGUCGAUGAUCUUUGAGAAGAAGCUCCUUGAAAUGAUGAUGCUGAACAAGAACCAAAAAAGGUAGUCGAGCCGACAACUAAGUCGGUAGCUGAGCCAAACAGAGAACCUGCACCAACCAAGGUACUAUUCCCUUCACAGUUAGAGGAUAAGUGGAAACAGGAUCAAGCGAAAUUUGUAAUUUUUCUAAAAUUAUUCAAGUCGUUUAAUGUUAACUUACCUCUAAUGGAAGUAAUUGAAAAUUUUCCUAAAUACUCCAAGUACUUAAAAGAAUUUAUGGCUAGGCGUAUGAAAAUUAAAACGGAGAGCAAGCUAAUAUAAAUGCAUCAUGUAGUGUGAUGAUUUCUAAAUAGAUACCCCAAAAACUGAAAGAUCUAGGGAGUUUUGCAAUUUCUAUAGAGAUAGGGGAUAUUCACUUUAAUAAGGCUCUAUGUGAUUUAAGAGCCAAUAUAAAUUUGAUGCCCUUAUCGAUAUACAAGAAACUCAAGUUAGGGGAACUUAAAAACACACAUAUCACACUACAAUUAUCUUAUAGGUCUUCGGUAAAAUGAAAAGGAGUACUUGAAGAUAUGUUGGUUAAGGUGUGUAGCUUUAUAAUCUUGGUCGAUUUUGUAAUUAUGGACUUUAAGGAAGACCAUGAGAUACCUAUUAUGUUAGGUAGACCAUUUUUAGCCAUGACAAGGUCUGCCAUUAAUCUAGAAAAUAAUGAGUUAAUCAUGAAAAUCAAUGGCGAGAUUGAAGUAUUCAAAUGCGGUCACCAGUAGAAUGAGGGAAGUAGGGAAAGUUUAGGGAAAACAUGUUUUGAAAUAUUUGUAAACAUCCCUAAUUACCUUGAUUUGGAAAAGGUAUUUUUUUGUGAUAAGUGCAGGUCGAAAGAGAUUCAAGGAGCGGACCAAGGUGGAGUGACAUGAUGGAUUUUGGACCAACACAGAUAGAAGAUCGAUUAAAGGCACAUCUAAGAAUGCACUGACUAAGCUAACGGACGAAUCCGACAACAAUACUUGAUAUUUUUAAAUUGAGUUAAUUUUUGUGUAUUAUUGUAGUUUAAUAAACUUACGGGUAGUUUAAGAAUUAAUUUUAUUUAACCUAUCUAAAAAUAUGUUUUGAACAUUUUGAAACUCGAGAAGAAGGGCCAAAACAGAGCAGAUGUUGCAAUACGAACCUGACUGCCUCCGGACGUACCAACGUCCAGAGUUUGAAUACUAGAACUAAAAUAUAUGGAAUUAAGGUAGUGUCCGCAAGUAUACGGGUCAGGUUGUAAUAUAAUUACAACGAAGUAGAUAAGUACUCUGAGGAUCGUACCCAAUAGAGGCGAGUACUAAAUUAAUGUCAACCUAAAUACAAAUAGAAGUAAUUAGUGGUUUAAAUAAAUUAUAGUAUGAUAAAACAUAAAAGAAUUUUUUUUGGGAUUUUAUAAAGAGUGAAAUAAAAAUAACAAAAGGAAAGUGAGCUUUAGAAAUAUAAAUUCUAACUUAAUCAAAUCUAAGUAUGGGUGAUUAGUUCACUUUGGUGAUCAUAACUAAUUCCUAUUUCAGGUUUCUACUUAAUCAACUAGUUGCUACCCUAGAAGGAUCUCUCGAUCUUCCACUAGACUAACGAGUUGGCAAGAACUAAUUAUCUCUCGACUUUACAGUUCAAAUCAAUUUGGGGUAAAGGUGUUCACGGAUAGGCCAUACCAAUUUUGGGUUAAUUCCCACCUAAAUUACUUCUUAGGGUCUCCAAGCCUAAAUUUUAAGUUCUUCCUCUCCCUAACAGCUGAUCCGCUAAGAAAACCCUACAUAGCAAUUAAUGAAUCACACCUCCACCCACUAAUCCCCCAUAAAAGGAUUAGUUCUUUGUAGAUCUCAUGUACACAGUAAUCUUGAUAAUAAAGAUAAGCAUGAAUAAUGAAUCAAGAUAAAAUUUUAAGAGAACCCUGAAUUGUAUUGAUUGAAGUAUAGAAUCUAUAGCAGUUUGAUCACAGUUACAAGUCACGUUCUCCGACGAACACGGAAUAGAAUAGAACUGAAAUAAACCUAACACCUAAAAUAAAGGAAAAACUAAAGACUAAAUUUACAAAGAAAGUAAAAGUUGUCCAAAAUAAGUGUUUUAAGAGCCUAUUUAUAGAGUUAGGGUUGCCAUCAUCCUCAACCUUAGGUCAGCUGACGUUCUCGUGUUUUAAUUUCCAUUGUGCAGACCAAAACGCCUCUGAUGUCGUGACACCCUAGUUCUUGUGUCGGGACAUCAAAGGUAGUAUGCAUGGUUCAAGCCUAACUUCAGUAGUGUGUCGUGACAUCUCUUGGCUAUGUUGUGACAUCCAAGGUAGUAUAGUUGUUCUAGUAUUCUGCUCCCUAUGUUGCGACAUCGAACUCCCCGUGUUGCAACAUAGCGACCAACUUUGAGUUUCUAUGCCUUUGAAUGAUCUCUUGCACACUUAGUAAGUACGUUAGCUCACAUUUAGACCUCAGUCGGCCCCUCAGGUAAAUAAAAGACUCAAAAUGCACUUUUUAUUGAUUUAACUAAACUAAGAAAACACAUGUAAAACAUACUAAAAUUUCUCAUCUUCAAGCUCCUCAAGUGUGAAAACUAGUUUAAUAUUCUACUCCGAAUUACAAUAGAUCAAACUUUCCUACACUUAAGUCAUUGCUUGUCUUCAAGCAAAGCAAGACAUAAAUAAAAACAUAAAAGAAUACCCUUGAAAAAGUAUAGUACAAAGAUUGGUUUUGGAGUACAUAACUAGGCAUUUUCAUGUUUACACAUAAUCCUAAAAUGAUAUAUAAACAACUUACUGAUAACUCUUGAAAAGAGUUAUAUCUCAUGCUUUUAGACCCAGAUAAUUGCUUGUACUUAAGUACAUUUUGUUGCAUUUUAGAACAUUUGAGUUAGCAUUUUUAAAUAUUGCAUUAAGACUUGGAUUGUGUUGGAAUUAGGUGCUUUUAAUCGCUUGCAGUGGAGUUUUUUUUAACUAGUAGGAACAUGUUUUUGAACGAGAAAAUAAAGGAGUGAAGUUUUUUUCAAGGCAAAGUACCGACAGUUUGCCAGCACGGAUGCCGUUACAAUGCUAGGAAGACCAAGUCAACAUUUUACGUACUGCAGUUUCGGUUCAAAUUCAAACUUGUACCAGAUAAAUCCCCCUAAAAUAGGAGAAGAUAAUCAUGAGCUGUUACCCAACCCUAGCCUAAUCUAUCUAUAAAUACCGAUGAAUGGGACCUCACAAAUGACAGAAAAAAAGGAGAGAGAGAUCCUUAGGCAUAAAUAAGGGUAUGACUGCGCAAAGGAAAGGAAGUUGAAGGUAGUCCUUCUUAUCCAUCAUAGGAUGCUUUGCUGCCAAAGUGUGGAUUGGGCAAGCAAAAGCUAUUUCUUGAAGUUCUUCCGUUAUUUCCAUUAGUGUUCCUUUGAAAUAGUGAAUUAAAGUAGUGGAAUGGAAUGUCGGAUAAUAUUUUCGUUUGGAAUUUUAUUUCCCAGCCUAUGAGUUAAAUCCCAUAGGGUUGGGAUUACUUUCGAUGAAACUUAAAUUGUUUAUGGUGCAAUAUAUAUUUGAUUUAUUUUUCUGUUUCAUUUGAUUGUUUUUAUUUUGUAAUUUAAAUGCAACGAUCUCUAGACAUAGAAGGCUAUCGACAUACUAUAAAAUGAUUCUAAUUCCAGAAAGGUUGGAAUGGUUGGAUAAAAAUUAAAUGAAAUGAGCAAGUAUUCGAUAGACACUUGUAGUUGACUCUAGACAUAGAGUCACAAUCAUAAAAUAGGAACCCAUGCAAGAUAUCAAAAAUCCUAUAGACACAGGCAAGGUAACUUGAGGUUUUGCUCUCUCGAGAGGCAAGCCAUUUUAUAACUCUUCCGUGUAGUAAAGUAGAUACGAUUUUGCCAAGGCAUUACUGGCAGUAAGGGUCAAGUCUGGGUAAUCCCGACCUUCCAUAUCAAUAACACUCUAUCCUUAUUCUUUGUUGUAGUAUCUCUGCCACAACAUAUUUAGUUGUUUAUUUCUAUUCGGAUAAUCACUCUCGUUAUUGCCAUUACAUUUCUACUUUCACUUUUGCCAUAGCAUUUCCAAUCACUCAUCAAGUUUCAUCUAUCGCAUACUUUACUUCAUACUUACCUUAGUUUACCAUUCAUCAGUCUUGUCAUAGCAUUAACCAGAUUAUAAUAACUUGACAACUUUUGUGCCUCGAUCUGAUCCUCAUGGGAUCGGUACUCACUCAUCACUUUAUUACUUGAACCGACGUGUAUACUUACACAAAAUCACAUAUCAUUUUACACGUGACACUUAUCGCUCCUAAUAUUAACCACCUAAGUUCAGUAUAUUACAAAGUACACAAGCAUUAAGCUUUUCAAAUAUAUGCAUCCAUCAACAAAUCAUAUAUGUAAUUUGAUUAUCCUAGCAAAAUAUAAACAAUCGUGAAAGCAAUUACUUAGUAUGGUGUAAAUUGAUCAUUAAGUCUACCUAGGUCACAUAAGACUUUUCGGCUUCUAUCGUUCUGAAGCUUAGGACGGGUAUGGAAUUCAAGAACAAGAAGCAUUGAUUGCCUCUAGACGUACCCACGUCCAGAGUAGAAAUCCUGCACAGAAUAUAUGAAAAAUGCAAGAUCCGUAAGUAUACGGGUUAGGUUGUAAUACAGUUACAACAGAGUAGAAUAGUAGUCUGAGGAUCGUAACCAAGGGAGGCGAACACUAAAUUAAUUCUAACCUAAGCAUAAAUAGAUCUAGUUAUUACUUUAAAUAGAUUAUAUUACGAUAAAGAAAAAAGAAGGUUUUUAUGAUCUAUACUAAUAAUAAAAUAAAUAAAUAAGCCCGGGAAAUCAAAUAAUAAAAUCUAUCAAAUCUGGGCAUGGGUGAUUAGCUUGCUUCAGUAAUCAUAACCAACUGUUACUUUGGAUUUUCUUAUUCCAUCGACUAGUCGAUAUCCCAGUAGGAUCUUUCGAUCUUCCACUAAAAUAAUGAGUUGGUAACAACUACUUAUCUCUCGAGCUCACAGUCCAGACCAGUUCAGGGUUAAGGUGUUUACGGAUAGACCAUAACAAAUUUGGGUUAAUUCCCACCUUAAUGACUUCCUAGGGUUGUUAGGCCUAGGGUUUAGGUUCUUCCUUUCUUGAAUAGUUGAUCUGCUAAGAAAACCCUACAAAAUAGCUAAUCAAUCAUACCUUCAUGCACUAAUCCCCCACAGGAGGAUUAGUUCCUCAUGGAUCUAAUAAACAAUAUAAACUUGAUAAAACAAAGUAACCAUGAAUAAUAAUUCAAGAGUAUAAAGUUUAGUAGAAGCUUGAUUUGUAUUAGAAUUGAGCACAAAAUCCUCACAGGGUUUGAUUGUAUUUCACAAAUUUGAUCUCUCCCAAAAAAGCAAAUAACAAGAACUAAAAUUAACUUAAAACCUAAUAAGGGAUAAACUAAAGACUAAAUCUAGGAAGAAAAUUAUACAAUACAAAAGCCCUUCCCUAAUAUGUGUAAAAUGAGCCUAUUUAUAGACUUUAGAAUAGUCGUCGUCCUUAACCCUAGGCAACUACUGUCCUCGUGCUUAACAUUUGAUUGUGUAGACCAAAAUGCCCUUAGCUCGUAAUUAUUUCCCGAACAAAGGUGAUGUCGAGAUAGACCAGGUCUUGUGUCGUGACAUUGAGGGUAGUAUGCUCAUUUUCAAGGUAUUUUCAGGGGCGUGUCGCGACAUCCUCAUGCUGUGUCGCGACACUGAAAGAAGUCUUAGAAUUCUUCUCCUCUGCUUCCUAAGUUGUGACAUACAAUGCUCUGUGUUGCAAUACAACGACCAGUAUCGAGUUAGCACGCCUUCAUGCUCAUAAAGUAUAUUAGCUCACCCUUAGAUGUCUUUCGGCCUCUAAGGUUAAUAAAAGACUCAAAUUACACACUUUAGUAAAUUUAACUACAUUUACAAAAACAUAUUUAAAACUUAACUAAAAUGCUUAUAUUCAAGCUCCUAAAGUGUGAAAACUAGUUUAAUCUACUACAUCGAAUUACAACAGAUCAAACUCUCCCACACUUAAAUCAUUGCUUGUCCUCAAGCAAAACAAAAAAAAGUAAAUAAAAAGACAACCCUUGAGCAAGCAUGGCAGAAAUGUUAGCUUUGGAGCAUAUGAAUAAGCAUUUCAUAUUCAUACAGAAUAUUGGCAUGAUAUAUAGCUGACUUACCACUUUUGAUAUCAAGGACCUAUGUUCAGUAUAUUACAAAGCAUACAAGCAUUAAAGGUCUCAAAUGUAGGAAUCCAUCAAUAAAUUAUAUAAGUAAUUUGAUUAUCCUAGCAGGAUACAAACAAUCAUACAUGCAAUUAUUUAGUAUGAUUUCAAAUUGUGAAUAAGUCUAUCUAGAUCACAUAGGGUUUUUCAGCUUGUAACGUUUCAAGGCUUAAGAUUGGUAUGGAUUUCAAUAACAAUAAGCAUCAAAUAGUUUCAAGCACAAAAAUAGUUUGGCACAUCGUAUUGUCCCAUAUUCUCCCUUUUAGUGACCCUUUCCUGCUCACCGCCUUAUUUCUCCUUCUUUCCUCUUUCUUUUAUCUCCUUAUAGUAAAUCUUAGCAUCAUAUAGUAACUACAACUAGCUCACGAGUUUUUGUGCAAUAAUGAUCAAGUUUUUCUAUAGUUGUGACUUUGUCACUUUUCUUUCUUUUUCUUAGUACCUCACUCAUAAUUGUUUCUAUUUUUCACAUAUUCUUUUUCUACUCGUUUAAUUUUUUUUUGAAUAUAUCCUUUUUUUAUAGUUUUAAGCUAACCUAUAAUCACUAUACUCUACUAAUCUUUCAUAUCACUUUAUUUUUACAAAGCUACCGUAAUGUAUCUAUUUAACCCUCAAUAUGUAUGGCCAGACGUCUAUAAUCAUGCAGUUCAAGACUAAAGAAAAGGGUAAGCACAAAUCAUCGCUUUUAUCUCACAUAUUGUAUAGAGGUUCAUCAAGAAGUGUUUUCUGGCUCAAAAUAGAUACUAAGGAUGAAUAAAUAGGGUUAGCUUUUUGGCUCUGGGUGUAUGCCAAAGAAUGCCUUAGGUCAUCCCUAGGUUUCUGAAUAUUCCCAAAUUUAGUCAACCAAACAAUCACAAAUUUAACAAUUUAUCAUUCAUACUAGCAUUCUCGUUUCCUUGUAUUCUCUAUGUCAUUGGUACAAUCAAUUGCUUCAUACCUAUUUAAAAUGUAAUAUAUAGAACUUAAUAAUCUAAUAAUAAAAAAUUUAAAAUCACUUAUCCUCAUGCCAAAUUUACUAUAAAUACAAUCAACCUAUGUACAUGCUCCUAACCAAUCACUUGUACUUUUACAAGCUCAAGCACACAAAUGAUAAGAAAAAUCGAAGAAAAACAAAAAAAAAAUUAAAAUUUUUUUUCUAUGUUACCCCCCACACUUUAGAUAACUCAUCAUCCUCAAUGUGUAGCCCUGAAAAAAAUAAGGAACAAAGUUACCCUAUUGAUCGUGAUAGUUUCAUAGACUAUUGGUGGGUACCUCUGUAAACUCGAAAUUAUAUAGGGUUUUUCUAUAUAAUUUUACCACCUUUUUACUUAAUUAUUUUGUUUAUCUUGAGUAAUUAUUAUUGAAAUAGGUUAAUUUUAAUUAAUUAGUAAUUUUGAACAUGAAUUUUGAAAGUAUGUGAAAUCAUGCUUAAUUACAUUAUUUUUAUGCAUAUUUUAUAUGAAUUCAUGUUAAUUUAUUAAUGUAUUUAUUUUUCACCAUGUAGAAGGUCCAUUGGAGACAUGAUUUAAAUAAAUAAAAGAUGGUCAUGCACAAACUAUCCAACUGGAUGGCAAGACCAUGCAAUUUUGGGCAUGGGGUUGACUAUUUGACCCAGUAAAGAAGAUGAUGAAUGAUAGACAUAUCUGUUAAGUUAUUGGACUGAAAAAAGUUGUCAAACAAGGGGAAUUAAAAGCCCAAUUUCAGCAAUAGAAGAUAGUUACCCAAAAUAUGUUUUGAAAUAUUUAAUGGAAGGUCCUUACAGUUGGAAAAUAAUUAGAAUUCAGCCCAACAACUUCCCUAUUGAAACCGUACACUACAUAGCUAUUUUUAGCUUGAAUUUAAAAUUCAAAUUGAGAAGACUUGGUCAUCCAUUUUCCUUGAAGCAUGGUCAACCACAUAAGAAAGGGAAGAAAGAGAAUUUAAACCUAUUUUUAUUAAAUACCUUGUCAUCCCUCACUUCUAAAUCGUCCCUUAUCACUCAACAUUUCUCUCUCAUUCUCAAUAGUUUUCUCUCAAUUUCUUCUCUCUUUUUCCCUUGCAUAGCCAUUCAUACCCUCUCCAAUAUCUAGCUUCAAAAGAUUUUUCAAAAGAAAUAUUUAGUCGACUACCUUCUAAACCCUUAGAAAAAAAACCUUCAAUCAGAACGAAGGAGCGCUUCAGUCAAAAUAGAUCCGAAAGGCUGCUGAACUGAGUCUACUCUUUCCUCUUGUCAUUUAUUUUAAACUUGUUUGCUUUGAGUUUUAUGUUUUUAACAUCAAAUAUGAAGUUUUAAUUCCUAUCUUCUAGAAUGAUUAUAUUAAUUUAAUGAGAUUUCUUUAAUUCAUGUUAACAUGUUUUGUGCCUCAGUUGAUUAUGUUUUCAAUUAAUAUCAUGAUGCAUUUCAUUCAUACGUGACUGGGUGCACUUAAAUUAGCUGAGCAAUCCUAACCAGAUGACGACUAAUAGACGCAUAAUUGAAAAGUGCAAUGCUUAAUUUAGGUCAUUAAAACCGACUAAGUUAAGGUUCAUAAUAUAUUUAGUUAGCUUUAUUAUCUUGCAUGGUUUUUAGAUUUAUGUAAUUGCAAAUGUAAAUAUCCCUGUGACUUUGCAUAAAUGCCAAGAAACCCUUAGUCUAAUAUGAUCAUUAACACGCAUAUUUAACUAAGUAAAAGAUCUGAGAGGACUUAAUUUGGUUUCCGAACCCAUACGAGAUCAAGUUGCCAUGGAAAUAAUUUCGAGCAUGUUAGCAUGAUGAAAGUAAGUUGAUUUGAUUAAUAUAAUUAUCCUAGCCCAUUUAAUGUUGAUUGUUUUUGUUGCUAAAGCUCUCAUUUCAUACAUUUAGGUAAAUUACAUCUAGAUUAAUUUUGCAUUAGGGAUAACUCUUAAAUUUAAUUUAUCUAAUCAUCACUAACCAAAUUUAUUGAGUUUUUUUACAUCAAAUUGUUAAUUAUAAUUUUGCAAUUAAUUGUUUAAGCUUAUAUAGUCCCCGUGGAGACGAUAACUCAUUUGUACUUACUUAUUACUUGAACGACUAUGUACACUUGCGUAAAUGUUACAAUUCAUUACAACCUCUUCCUUUGAUCAUUGAUAGUUCAAAAUCAUUACGCUUCUUCCAUGUGAGGCUCCUGUAAAGAAAAUUUAAGCACAAAACAACCACUAGUCUAUUAUUACUCCUACUCCUAACAAUUUAACUUAAAAAAAUGAUCCCUAAAAUUAAUACAAUCUUUAAAAACAAAAAUUAUAAGUUCAAUCCUCCUCCUCAAAGACUGUCUCAUCAUCCGACGUAUAAUUAGGUACCCUAAUAUUGUUUUGCCGCACGAAUUCCUAAAAAAUAGGCCCAACUCCUGCAUCCAGUGUAUCAUCCAAUCUAGCUUGGGAUGAUUGCCCUCGCCAAUUUAUUGUUGAGUGGUCAAUUUUGCUUUCCUUUGAGAUGAAGUUGGAGAGACCAUCAUCUUUUGCUGGCGUUUAUUCUAUUCCUUAAUCUGUUUAUCCCGAAGCUCAAUGUACUAUGUAUACAAUGUUUCGCCAAUUAUACUUUGGGAUGGCUGCAUUGAUUCUUUCAUGGAUGUCAUCGAUACACCUUCUCUUUUACAUAAGGCCAUCUCUAAGUGAGGAAAGAAGGCUCCCACUCUCUAGCCACUAACGCAUCGCUUCAUAUUUUGGUAUAUCCAUGUUCCGAUGUGUACCUAUUUUUCUACAAAAUAGAAUAAAGCAAAAUCGAUUGAAAAGUAUUGACAUUAGAAACAUUCAAAGCAGAAGCUAUUCUAGUGCAUAGAAAUUGAAUCCACAUUUUUGCUUCAGGAAACAUUAUUGUUUAAUUAAAGAAGGUUGGAAUAUCAGUACUUGGGCGACAUUUGCAUUCACCCCUCCCAUCUGUUAUCAAGUUUAUAAUGUUGUCAUAUUUAUAUCUCAAAAAUAUUUCAAAUCAAUUUCUUCUGUAAAAUCUUUUUCAUAAAAUGGAGCAUUAUAAAAUUCACAAAUAACCCAAGGGGUAAUUCAUACAUCUUUCCUUCGUAUAGGUAUCGUUUCCCAUGUACAACAUUCGGCUUUUCUAGACUCUUGGUCUCAUAAAGAUACAUAAAAUUCCUGAACUACAGGGACCACGAAAAAGUCCUUUGGGAUCGUUAAAAAAUGCUCCCAUCUAUGAUAUCUAACUAAAGGUCUUAUCUCCUGACAGAGAACCAUCGAUGGUUCGAAUCCCCUCUCUUGGAUAAAUAUUUUUCCCUGAAGUUCUAGAAAAUAUUUUUCAACAGUUGGAUUUGAUAAAUUAAAGGGGUUUAGAACCGUCGAUGGUUCUGAUUCAUUGGUUCUUCUCACUUUUCUUGGAGGCAUUUUGAAUAUUGUUCAAGUUCAAUAAUUAAUGAACUAACGAACAAAUUUUCCAAUGGAACAAUAAAAAUAGGAGUUAGGAACCCUUAACCUUGGAAAAUGAUGUGUUGGAUUCCUUGUAAUAUUCAUUUGUGGUCACUUCUUUUAGUUCUUCCCAUUUGUUUCUGUAUCAAAUAGAGAAGAAUAAAAGAAAUUUUAUAGUAAACUAGUAAGAAGAAGUAAGAAAAGAGUUUUAGGGUUUAUGAAAAUUAAGAGGUUUUGAGGCGUUUAAAGUGUUAAGAUUGGUUUAGGUAGUGAUUUAAUAUGUUUUUGGAUUUUAAAUAAGGUUUUUUAUGGUUAAAAUUGGAUUAAUAAGGUGUUUUAGUUGGCUGGUUUGCGCAGUUGGGUCGGGUCAACCUUGUAAAACAUCCCCAGUAGUUUGCCCUUGUCACAACAUCGAGGUUCGAUGUCGCAACACACUCUGGAAUUUUGGAAUUUUGGGUAAACUAUCUUUGGUGUCACAACGCAUAGAGUCUAUGUCGCAGCAUCGAAUUGGUUUUCUCAAUUCGAGGGAUUCUAGCCUUGGUGUUGCAACACAGGAUUGCAGUGUUGCGACAUUGGCCCUAUUUUUGCCCAAACUUCCAAUUUCUAAAGUGUCACGGUUCCUAUAAAACAUAAACUUCAUAAAAAUUAAAAUCUAGACUAAAAAAUUAGUUAAAUAUAUAAUAAUUUACAAAGAAUUAAAUAUCAAUUUAAAUUAUCAAGUUUUACUGUCGAAUUCAUUCGAUAGCACCAUUAAUGCAUAUAAGGAUGUUUUUCUAGUUCUUUCAAUGUUAGUCCAUCGCCCGUCGUGUCACUCCACCUUAUUUCAUUUAUCUCUUUCCCAGAACCUGUUCUUUUGACCUGCAUUGAUCGUAGGAAGUACAUUCUUUGAUUCGGGAUUAUUAAGGUUAAAAGCAGAUAAUUCAUUACAAUGUUCCCCUAGUCCCUUUUAUUUCCUCACUCUGUUGGUGACCACAUUUGAAAAAAUUUGUUUCGCCAUUGAUCUUCAUAGUUAAUUGAUUUCUCUCCAGAUCAAUGGUGGAGCUUGAUGUAGCUAGAAAAUUUCUGCAUAAUAGAAUGGGUUUCUCACGAUCCUCUUCAAAGUCUAAAACUACAAAGUCCGCCGAAAUGAUAAAGUUGCGCACUUUGACUAACACAUCUUCUAGUAUUCCUUUCGGAUGUAGUGUAAUUUGUGUAUUCUUGAGGUCCCCUAACCUAAGUUCUUCACAUAUUGAUAGAGCCAUUAAAUUGAUACUAGCUCCUAAAUCGCAUAUGGCUCUAUUGAAUUGAAUGCUCCCUAUCUCUAUGGGAAUUGUAAAGCUUCCCAGGUCUUUUAGUUUUUGGUGAACUUGUUUAGAAAUAAUAGCACUAUAGGAAGCGCUCAUGUUAAUUUGUUCUCCUACAUUAAUUUUCCUACAUCUAGACAUGAUUUCCUUUAAAAUUUUGACAUACUCAAGAACUUUCUCAAUAGUUUAACUAAAGGUAGUUUCACAUUGAAUGUUUUGAACAAGUUUAAAAACCUUAGAAACUCGUCUUCAUCCCAUUUUUAUCUCUUCCAACCUUGAAGGGAGCAAUAUCUUUACAAUGAUAGGGUCUUUAAUUGUCUCUUUCUCUAGUUCAACUACCGGUGCAACUACUUCCUCUAGUUUUGGUUCAUCAUCAGCUUCCAACCUUGAAGGGAACAAUAUUUUACAAUGGUAGGGUCUUUAAUUAUCUCUUUCUCCAAUUCAACUACCGGUGCAACUACUUUCUCUAGUUUUGGUUCAUCAUCAUCUUCUAAGGGUCCUUUAUUAAGAUCACUUGUACUCCCCUUAGGUUCCUCCUAAGUAAGGUUCUCUGGGCUACUCAGUACUUUACUUGAUCAAAGCACGAUUGCUUUCACAUGCCCCUUCCCUUCUCUUCAAGGAUUAUUUUUGAUGUUGUAGGGAUACCUAUGCCAAUUUGUCUUUUUAUAUCACCCAUCAUGUUCUUCAAUUAGCUUAUCUGAUCUUCAAACUUAGUUAAUGUUUUUGCUGGAUUGGUGCAUUCAGACUGCACCUGCUUUACUUCUAUCCUCAUUGAUUGCAUUUUCCCUUCGAUUUGAUCCACACGUUGACCACAUAUAGCAUGAUCAUUUGGGUUGGCCCUUUCCUAAGGUUUUUGUAAAUAAGGAGGUUGGUAGUUAGUAUUUUUAACCUGAUUUCAAGUAUUACCUCAUCCUUGAUUUCCUCCCCAUCUUAGGUUUAGAUGAUCUCUCCAUCCAGGAUUGUAAGUAUUUGAAUAAGGAUUUUCACCCCUAUUCCCGAUGUAAUUCACAUCCUCAGUGAAUUGUUAAUAUAGUGGAAGUGUAGUUUGUCUCCUCCAUAUAUAGACGGUGCAUUGUUUUCAGAUUUUAUUUAAUUGAUUCUAUCAACUGUAGAUAUUUGUUAUCCUCCUAAAAAGCCUUCACCGUAGGUGGUCUUUGGCCAUAUUUGUUUCGUUCAAUUGGCCACUAGUAGGAGUUUAUCACCAGAUUUUCUAUUAAUUUGUACGUAUCCUCGUACAUUCGGUUCAUUAAAGCACCUCUUGCGGCUUUAUCCAAUCCUAACCUUCAGUGCACAUCCAACACAUUGUAGAAAAUUUAUAGUCGUAACCACUCAGGAAAUCCGUGGUGUAGGCAUUUCUGAAUCAACUUUUUAAAAUACACCCAUGCUUCGUGAAAAAUUUCUCUUUCUAAUUGUUUAAACAUAGAAAUUUCCCUUCUUAGCUAGACCGUCUUGCUAAUGGAGAAGUAAUUUUGUAGGAAUUUCCCUGCAAGUUCGUCCCAUGUCGUGAUUAAUCCUAAUGCCUGCGAAUCUAACCAAGGAAAGGCAUUACCAAUAAAAGAAAAAGGAAACAACCGAAGAAGAAUAGUGUCAUCAGUGACCCUAUUGUAUUUAAAGGUAUCACAAAGCUGAAUGAACCAUUUUAGACCCUGACUCGAAUCUUCUAUCAUCGUUCCUCAAAACCGCAAAUUAUUUUGAAUCAUCUAGAUCAUAGCUGGCUUGAUCUUAAAAUUAUUGGUCGUGAUGGCUAGCCUCGUUAUACUCCCUUGAACCAUAUCCAGAUUUGAUAACGUAUACUCCCUUAGAGUCCUUUCGUUAUAUGCCUUGAGAUUGUUUGCGGGUAAUUAUGGUGGUGGUGAUGGGUAGUCUAGAUUGUUAUUGUUAGCUUCGUUGAACAAUGGAUUCUCACAUGGUUGUAAAAUACCUUCAGUAGGUAGUUGAUUCUGCAUUGAUUGGGGUUGCUGUUGACAAUUUCUUCGGAUUAUUCAUUCUAAAUCUGUGACUAGCUCUAUAGGUGUUCCCCUACUACAAAUCAUACACUAAACCCAAAGAUAAAAGAUUAGUAUAAAAUAAGAAAAUAAAAUCGUAGCUAUAAUCUAAAAAUUUCCUAAUUAUUCUAUUAAUAUGCGAAAAAUUAAAUUUAUAACAGUGACGUUGCCUCCCUAGAAACGGUGCAACAACUUGACCGCCUCCGAACGUACUAACGUCCAGAGUGUGAAUACUGCUACAAAAUAUAUGGAAUUUGAGGUGGUGUCUGUAAUUAUACGGGUCCAGUUGUAAUAUUUUGUUUACAACGAAACGCUUCGUAAGAAUUCUAGGGAUCGUACCCAGUAGAGGCUAGUACUAAAUUAAUUCUAACCUACAAGCUAAUAGAUCUAAUUAGUACUUUAAAUUAUUUAUAGUACGAUAACAUAAAUAAAAAGGAUUUUUGGGAUUUUUAUAAUAGUAAAAUAAUAAUAAAGAAAUAAAUAACAAGAGAUUGAAAAGUAGAAUUAAUCAAAUCUACGUAUGGGUGAUUAGCUCGUUUCGACAAUCCCCAUCAAUUUUCAAUUUGGGUUCCUCAUAAAUCAAAUAGUCGCUAUUUCAGUAGGAUAUUCUAAUCUUCUACUAAAAUAACGAGUCGAUAAAAACUACUUAUUUUUCGACCUCACAGUCCAGACCGGCUUGGGAUGAAGAUGUUCACGGAUAGGCCAUACCAAUUUUGGGUUAAUUCCUACCUUGAUGACUUCCUAGGGUUGUCAAGCUUAGGGUUUUGGUUACUCUUUUCCCAAAUAGUUGAUCCAUUGAGUAACCCUAUAAAAUAGUUAAUAGAUCAUACCUCUACUCACUAAUCCCCUAUAGAAGGAUUAGUUCCUCAUGGAAUCAAUAAACAUUAUAUUGAAUAUAUGUAUAAAGAAUAAAACAAGAGUAGAGUUUAGAGAAUCCUAUUUGUAUUUGAUAUAUGAAGUGUUGUAAUCCUCAACCGUUUGUUUGCGUCUACAAAUCAAGUUCUCCGAUGAACACGAAUGAAAAGAACUAAAAACAAGUCUAAACCCUAAGAGAAAGAAAAAUAAACUAAAAACUAAAUUUUACAAAAGAAACUAAUAAUUUGAAAGCUCUCUAUAACAAGUGUGAAAUGGGCCUAUCUAUAACAAGUCAAAAUUCAUGUAGUUCAGGACCGAAGUAAAAGGGUAAAUACAAAGUAACAUUUUUGGCUCGGGUUUUGUAUGAAAGUUAAUCAAGAAGUGUAUUCUAACUCAAAAUAGGUACUAAGGAUGAAUAAACAAGGUUAGCUUUUUUACUCUAGGUGUAUACCAAACAAUACCUUAGGUUAUCCCUAAGCAUAUCAAUAUUCACAAAUUUAAUCAAUCAAACAAUCACAAAUUCAACUAUUUAUCAUACAUACUAGCAUGCUAGUUUCCUCGUAUUUUUUAUAUCAUUUGGUAUAUUCAAUAACUCAAUACCUAUUUAUAAUGUAAUAUAUAGAACUUAGUUGUCUAAAAAUUGAAAAUUUAAAACCAUUCACUAUCAUGCCAAGUUUAUAGUAAACACAAUCAACCUAUGUACAUGCUCCUAACCAAUCACUUAUAUUUAUACAAGCUUAAGCAUACAUGUGACAAUAAAAGAAAAGAAAAAGUAUAGAAACAAAAUAAGAAAAAAAUUCCUAUGUUACCCCUAACACUUUAGAUAGCACAUUGUCCCUAAUGUGCACCCCUAUAGAUAAGGAAAGAAGUUACCCGAUUGAUCGUUACAUUGUAGUAGUCUUAUGGUGGUUGCUUCCUACCUUGUUCGUUAAAAGCUCAAAAAUGUUGUGCUUUCUUUCAUGUGAAGUUCCUACAUAGGAAACUUGAAAAUAUAAUAUAUAUAUAUAUAAAUCUACUGUUACUCCUACUCCUAAAAUAAAAAUAAAAAUCAUCCCAAUUAUUUACAAUAGAAAAAAUUAAAAGUUAAUUUAAUCAUUCUCCUCCUCCUAGUAAUCCAUCUCAUUCCCACCACUUCAGCGUCCUCCUCUUUACUACCUUCUCCUUCCUCGGUUCCUUGCUCUUCUAAUUUAGACCACAUUUUUCUGGCUGAUAAUUUGGUACUCUCAUAUUAUUCUACCGCUCGAAUUCUUGAAGAACUAGGCCCGUUUCUUGUAACCAUCUUAUCAUCCAUUCCAUCUUUAGGUUACUACUCUCGCCUGUUUCUUUACAAGAUGUCAAUUUUGCCUUUCACUUAAGUGAAGUUGGGACAUCCAUCUUUUCCUUUCGGCAUUUUUUUCAAUCGUUUACUUUCUUUCGUUGAAGCUUCAUAUAUUGCUUGUAUAAUGAGUCUCCUAUGAGACAUGGCUUCAUGAACUACUUAGUAUUUUUCAUUGGAACUUUGGCCUUCUUGCACAAGGUAGUCACUAAGUGGGGGAAGAAGACCCUAACAUUUUGGUCACUAAUGCACUGCUUCAUAUAAUGGUAGAUCAAUGUCCCAAUGCACAUCUAUUUAUUCUUGGUCGAAAUCUUUUGAUUCCUCGUGAAAUUUCCUUGCACAUUCCUUGCUAAUGUAAUGUGGUUGUUCUGAGAAGGUUGAAUCCUUGUUGUUGUCUUGACAUUGGGAUUCGUUUACUCCAAGUGGGCAAAUGAAAAAUAUGCAACAUAGUAUAAAGGAAAUAAAGUAAAAUAAGCAUUAAAGUAAUAAAAGAAAUAAAACAAAAUUUAAAACAAGAAAUAGAAGUUCUUUAAAGAUUGAGACGUUCUGUGUUGCCACCAUAAAAGAACCUCUAGCUAGUUCUCGGCACCUUGAUCCGAUGUUUGUUUUUCUGUUGAUGUAUUUGAACCGGCCGCUUUGGUUUAUUCAAAUUAUUUUGUCUUAUUUUUUACCGUCGUGAAAUCCACAUUGUCAGUCAUUUAGUACCAAAUCCGAGCCAACCCCAAACUUUUUUUGAGGUAUUAUUGCCUCAAGCUUCCUCCUCUCCCUGUUAUAUGAGGCUUUGGUUACUCGAGCCUUGUUGCUAUUUUCGAAUGAGAAUGAGUCAAACUCCUCGACUUUUUUAGUUGGAACCUUUUCUGCUAUUGCCAGAAAGUGUAUUAACUCUUCUGCACUUUCAUUCAAUAUCGGUUUAACCUCUAUGUUAGUGUUUAAUUCAUCUUUUACUUAUACCUCUAUGGUUAGAUCUAUUACUAUGUGAAUUGGAUCAGAUACCAUUUCAACUAUGUUCAACUCAUCCCCAUAAUCUUUAGUUCUAAGCUCAAGUUGAAUCUCAUCAUGGCUAUCGGUAAUACUAAGGUUCUCAUAAUCCAAGUUUUAAAGGUCAAACAUGUCCUCUUUGAGGUAGCACUUCGGAUAUUUUUUUCAUCAUUUGCACCAUCAUGUUUGACAUGUUUGAUAGGACCUUACAGUUGACCAUCCUUGUGGUUUCACAUGGAAACAUCUCAGAUGAAUCACAAUGAGGCUUGUCCGAAUGUUUGGGCAUAUCAUGUUCUUCAAGUGUUAGAAAUUGUAGGUUGCAAAUUCAUAAUUACUUAUAAGCACUUAUUAGAAUGUGAUGAUUUACUCAAAAGAUACAUUUGAUUCCAUGAGACAUGUUUUUCUAAGAAGUAUGUCCAAUUGAAAUCAGACAUAAAGGAUUGUGACUCUUAAAAAUAGUGUCUAUUGGGUGUAUAUAAAUAGAGGGUCUAUGGUGCUCAUAAAUUACAAUUACAAUCAAUCCUAUUUUUAAAAAAUUAAAGUAAGAGUUAGGGAAUUCCUUGAUUUUUCUAAUCAAAGGAAAUUCAAAAACUUCAUUGUAUCCUGGGAGGACCUUUGUCUUAACCCUUUAGUAACUUUGUGUGGGGGCAAAUAGUUCAUUUUAGAACGCAUCACCCACUCCUAGAAGUCUACUAUUUAUUUCAAUAUCUUCUCCACUCUAUAUAUCUAACAAUCAAAGAGAAAUACUUUGGAGAUGGCGAUGGAGGCUACCACACAUUCAAAGUAACGAACUAAGAGUUUGUGAAACUUGACCGAUUUGAUGGUUCAAACUUCAAUCGUUGAAAGGACAAGAUGUUGUUCGUUCUUACUAUCUUAAAUGUGGCAUACGCUCUGAAUCUGAACCUACAACCCGUGGAGGACCCUACCCUCAAUGCAAACCCCGAGGAAAUUACGAAAGUGGCCGAACUAAAGAAGAAGCAUGAAGAAGAAAAUUUCACAUGUCAAUGACACAUUCUCAACACCUUGUCUAAUCGAUUGUAUGAUCUCUACAUGUCGAAGUAAUCCCUGGUGGAAAUAUGGAAAGCUCUUGAAGAAAAAUACAACACUAAGCGGUAAGGUACUGAUAAAUUUUUAAUAAUGAAGUAUUUUGAAUUCUAAAUGCUCGAUAGUAUCCUGAUCAUAGAUCAAGUCCAUGAAUUAUAAGUCCUUGUAAGUAGGCUUCAUGACUUGAAAUUUGUUAUUUUGGAACUGUUACAAGUCAUCUUGAAGUUCCCCUUGUCUUGGAACAAUUAUCGAAAGAAACUUCAGCGUAUGGCAGAGGACUUCACUGUGGAGAAAAUACUUAGGCAUUUGAUAUUGAAGAAGAAAGUCAGAAGCGUGAUGCGGUGUAUCUUUCCCCAAUUUCUAAAGUGAACCAUAUGAGUGACUCCAAGAACUCUCGAAAUGGUAAGCGAAAGGCCACAUCCGAGGCCAAUGACAUGCAAGACAAGAAGAAAAAAAUCUCGCAAUUGUUAUAAUUGCAAUAGGAAAGGACAUUAUAUUAAGGAUUGCAAACUUCUCAAAAAGAAGCAAGAUGCCACAAAUUCUAAAGCCAACAUGGUGGCAGACAUGGACUUAAUGGCCAUGGUUACGGAAAGGAUCGAUAGUUUGGAGAUUGUUAUGAUUACUGAACUCAACAUAGCCAUGACUGAUAAGUCUUGUAAUUGGUGGCUCGACUCUAGAGCUACCAUCCAUGUGUGUAAUGACCGACAACAAUUCAAGAGUUAUGAACUAGUAGCAAACCGUGAAGUGCUUAUAGGCAACUAUCAAUCGAUUAAGGUACUCGAUCAAGAGACGGUGGAACUCAACUUCACAUCUGAGAAAAAAUUGACUUUGACCAAUGUGUUGCAUGUUCCUGAUAUGAGAAAGAAUUUAGUGUCCACGGCUAUUCUGUGUAAUAAGGGGUUCAAGAUUAUCUUAGAAUCUGAUAAGUUUGUCUUGCUUUAGUGUCCGCGAGGGUAUGUUCAUGUUGAGCAUUGAUAUGAAUAAAGUUAAUUUUUUUGCGUAUAUUGUUGAAUCUAAUCCUUUGUGGCAUGCGCGUUUAGCACAUUUUAAUUUUAAAACUUUACAAUAUAUGCAAAACAAUGGUUAUAUAAGUCUAAGUAAUGAUGAGUUUGUGGAGAAAUGUGAAAUUUCUAUUCAAUCAAAAAUUACCAAAAAUUGGUGUCCUAAUAAGUAUGAAAGGAAUUCACAAGUGUUAGAUUUAAUUCAUUUAGAUGUUUGUGAAUUAAAUGAAACUCUAACAAAAGGUGGAAAAUGAUAUUUUAUCACUUUUAUAGACGACUUCUCUAGAUUUACUUAUGUGUAUCUCAUGAGAAGUGAAGAUGAGGCGUUUGAUAUGUUUAAACAUUUUAAAAGUGAGGUUGAGAAUUUGUUUAGUUAGAAAAUCAAAGUGCUUCGUAGUUAUAGAGAUGGUAAAUUUUUCAAAUGAACUUAAUAUAUUUUGUGAGGAACAAGGUGUGGCACAUGAGUGUUUUGUGCCUUAUACUCUGCCAACAAAAUGGUUUGGUAGAAAGAAAGAAUCGUACUUUAGUAGAUAUGGUUAACUCGAUGUUGUUAAAUGCUAAACUUCCAUAUAAUCUAUGGGGUGAAGCAUUAUUGACUAUAUGUUAUAUUCUUAACAGAAUACUGUAGAAAAAAUUCAAAGUAUCUCCAUAUGAGUUAGGGAAGAGUCAGAUGCCAAACUUAGAUUAUUUCAAAGUGUAGGGGUGUUUGGCUUACUAUAGAGUUCUAGACCAACGGAGAACAAAGUUAGGUCUAAGAGCCAUCAAGGGUGAAUUCAUUGGAUCUGCCCAACACUCUAAGGCUUAUCGUGUUCUUGACUUAGUGUCAAAUACAAUAAUUAAAACAAGAGAUGUCGUAUUCAUUGAAAAUAAGGUUUUUAAUGAUUCAAAAGAUUCAGAAAAAGAAUAUCAACCAAUGAUCUCAAGUGAUCAAACCAAAAAAAUUCUUUGUGACAAUAAGGAUAUGGAGCCGAGGAAAAGUCAAAAAGUGUGAAAAGUAAAGAACUUUGGUCCUGAUUUCAUUUCCUCGCAAUCUCUAGCAUUACUUGUUAAGGGAAAUAAAGAAUCUGUAAUUAGGAAGAUUGUAACGUUGAGGUUGGUGCAAGUGUACACAGUCAUUAUCGAGUAAUGAGUAAGUAUCGAGUUAUCGUCUCCAUAGGGAUUGUAUUUGUGCUAAGUCACUUAAUUUGUAGAAUUAUAUUAACAAUUUGGUAAAUAAAAACACAAUAUAGUUGAGAAGUGGUGAUUAAAAUAUAUUAAACUAAAUGCAAUGAUCCCUAAUGCAAAUUAUCCUAAGUAUGCAAACUAUAUGAAUGAAAUAGAUUUUAGUAAAAUUAAACACAAUUUACAACAAUUAUAACAUAAAUAAACUAGGACAAUUACUUUUAUUAAACUCAAUUUAUUAUCAACAUGCUUAAUAACAUUCGGAAAAACAUUCCAUGACAACUCGAUCUUUCAUGAGUUUGGAAACCACAUUAGGUCCUUUCGGAAUCCUUUACUUAGUAAAUACACAUUUUACUGAUCCUUAUUUACUAAGGGUUUCUUGGCAUUCGUGUGAGGUAACAGGGACGUGUUAGGUUUGAAACAAUUUAAUCACACAAAUCUAAAAACUAUGUAGAUAAUAGAGCUUGGUUAGAGUUGUUAUGCAACCUACAAUUCAAUCGGGUUAGGAUCUAAAUUGAGCAUGCACAUUUCAAUGAUGCGUCCAUUACCCGUCAUCUGGUUAGGAUCGCUCAGCUAAUUCAGGUGCAUUUCAAUCACGUAUGAAUGAAAUACAAAGUUGAUUUUAAUUGAAAACAUGAUCGAUUGAGGCACAAACAUUAUAAGCAUGAAUCAAAUAAAUAUUAUUUAAUAAAAAUAAUCAUCCUAGUUUAAAUAAAAUUAAGCUAUCAUUAUUGUAAACAAGAACAAAGAACACAUAGCAAAUAUCUUUAAAUUAAAUUUAAAGAAAAGGAAGAUUAAACCCAAUUCAGAGUGGAUGUCACCCAAGACUAUGACUAACGAGGCUCAUUCGCUUCUUUGCAUUUCUCCUUUGCUGAUGGCUUUCCAAGGUGGCCGACCAAGGGUUAUUUAAGAGGCUCAAUUGCUAAAAUCCUUAUGCAAGGAUGAUGAAGGGGAAAGAUAUCUAAAAGAGUUGAGAGAAUGAUGAAUGAGUGAGAGAUGAUGGGAUGAGGGAUGAUUGAAAAAGUAAGAAAUGAGCUUUUAUUUAUACGUGAGGCAAGGGAACUAGUUUGCUAAAAAUAGGUGUGUCAAUCCUUUGAAACUUCCUCCAAGAGUGGCCGGCCAUGAAUUGAGGAAAGGUGGCUGAUUUUUCCUUCAUUUUUGGUCAAUUUGAAUGCCACAACAACUCAGGACUAAGACUUGGUUAUCAGUAAAUCUUCGGGAAAAUCUCCGAUUUCUUUAACUCUUCAAGGACUUUGUAUAAUUAAACCAAAAAAUGGUUUAUGACAUCCAUGUGCAGCCAAAAAUUGGGUUGACUUGAUCCCCAAUUUGGACGAUUUUGCAAUUAGAAGUAAACUCUCAGACUUGUCCAAAAAUAGUAGAUAGUUUAGAGGACCAAAUAAUAUAAUUUAACCACUUUAAUUAAUCAAUUUACCUAAUUAACUAAAACCCAAUUUAUUAAUGAAUUAUUAAAAAUGAACUAUUAAACAUAACUUUAUAUUUUAUUAUUUAAUUUAAUCAUGCAUGGCCCACUUUAUAGCUUAAAAAUAUAAUAUGCUCAAAUUAAUAUAAAAUAAGCCAUUUUAUGCAUGAAAACUAUAUAAUAAAGUAUAAAAUCACAUUCUAAUAAUUUCUAUGUCCUAAUUUCAUAUUUUCUCAUUUUUUAUUAAUUUAUUAAACAAUUACUUGGUUUUAACAACAAAUUUAAGUAAAAAUGUGAUGAAUUAUAUAGGAAAAAUCCUAUAUAUUUUUCAGUUUACAAAGAUCCCCAUAAUGUUUAAUGUGGAUGGUGAUUCACAAUCUUAUGGUGAAACCAUGACUUUUAGGGAUGCAAGAUUUUGGAAAGAGGCGAUCAAUGAUGAAAUGGAUUCAAUAUUAGCCAAUAAUACUUGGAUUUCUAGUUGAUCUUCCUCAAGGAUCGAAGCCUAUCGGGUGUAAAUGGGUGUUUAAAAGGAAAAAUACUCCAACAGGGGGUUCUUCUAGCUUUAAGUCUAGGUUGGUGGCUAAAGGAUUUAGGCAAAAGGAAGGCCUAGACUAUUUUCACACUUAUGCACCAAUGGCUAGGAUGACCUCCAUUCAAAUUCUUAUAACAUUUGUAUCUAUCCAUAAGUUACAUAUACAUAAAAUGGAUGUUAAGAUAACUUUUUUAAAUGGUGAUCUCGAAGAGGAAAUCUACAUGGAGCAACUAGAAGGCUUUGCUCUUCCUAGGAAUGAACAUAAGGUGUGUAAGUUUAUCAAGUCAUUAUAUGUUUUAAAACAAGCACCUAAACAGUGGCAUGAGAAAUUUGACUCGAUUAUCUUGUCAUAUGGUUUUUUAAAUAAUGGUGCAGCUAAAUGUAUUUACACUAAAUUCAGCAAUAGAUAUGGUGUAAUUAUUUGUUUUUAUGUAGAUGACUUAUUGAUUUUUGGUAUGAACAUGGAAGGUGUUCGUGAGACCAAAGAGUAUUUAGCCUCGAAUUUUAAGAUAAAGGAUCUCAACGAGGGAGAUACAUUUCUAGGUAUAAAGGUGAAAAAGCAUGAAAAGGGCUUUGUACUAAGCCAAUCUCACUAAAUCGAGAAAGUAUUGGAAAAGUUUAAACACUUGAAUAUGAAGGAUUUGAACACGCUAUACGAUUGGAACUUCAAGUUAAGUGAGAAUAAGGGUAAGGUUAUAGUGCAACUUGAGUAUGCCAACACAAUCGGAAGUCUAAUGUAUGCAAUGCAUUCCACUAGACACGAUAUCGCAUUUGUUGUGUGCCAAUUGGCGAGAUUUACAAAUUGUCCUAGUACCAAUCAUAGGAAAGGAAUUUGUAGGAUUUUUCGCCAUCUUAAGAAAAUAAAAAAUUUAGGAUAAUUCUAUAGUGAUUAUCUCGCGGUACUAGAAGGUUACUCGGAUGCAAGUUGGAUUACAAGUCUAACUGACAAUAAGUCCACAUCGGGAAGGAUUUUUACAAUCAGAGGUGGAGCCAUUAGUUGGGCCUCCAAACAAAAACAAACAUCUCACAUUCAGCUAUGGAGGCUGAAUAGCGGAAUGGCUAAGAGAUCUUUUGCUAGAUAUAAAGUUAUGGCCACAACGUAAGUUCGCCAUUUUCGUAUAUUGCAAUAGUGAAUCUACCAUGUCUCAAGCAUAGAAUAAGGUGUAUAAUGGAAAGUCUAGACAUAUAAGUUUGAGACAUGAGUAUGUCAGACAAUUGAUUAGUGAUGGUGUGAUAACUGUUACCUAUGUUAAGUCAGUUGACAAUUUAGUGGAUCCAUUGAAAAAAAGUUUUUCAAGAGAUUUGGUUAAGAGUACCACCACUAAGAUGGGAUUAAAACCAUUCUAAUCGCUUCAUUGAUAAUGGAAACCCUACCUUAUUCUAGCUAAAAGUUAGUUUCGAGGUUCAAAGGGUAAUAACAAGUUAUUGAAUGACAACGUGAACUAAGGAUCAAGAUUUAAUGUUUACAUUAUAGGAGGAUAAGUUUUACUCUUAAUAGAUUGACAUUAAUUGUCAUGAAAUCCACCAAUAUGGACAUGAAGUGGUGUCGCUUCAACGAGAUUUUCUUUAUGGUUUUCUCUCAUACAUGUUCAUGAAACGGGAUGAGCACAUGGCCAUAACGGUGCUAAAGCAAAUUAAACUCUUACUCUAAUACUUUACGGUUAUGUGUGAAAUUUUUCCAGUACUGACUUUAAGAAUGAUGGUCCAAGCAACUAGCCACCAUUUACUUUGUUGAUAUUUUGAAGAGUUUGCACUAAAGGAAGGUUCAAUCUAUGGACACCUUUCUUUAUGCAUAAUCGUUGUGUACUUAUUUUUUGGAAUUAGCAAUCUAUUUGGGGACUGUAAGAAAUUGUAGAUUGCAAAUACAUAAUUAUUCAUGAGCACUUAUUAGAAAGUGAUGAUUUAUUCAAAAGAUACAUUUGAUCCAUGAGACAUGUUUCUCUAAGAAGUAUGUCCAAUAGAAAUCAAACAUAAAGGAUUGUGACUCUUUAAAAUAGUGUCUAUUGAGUGUAUAUAAAUAAAAGGUCAAUGGUUCUCACAAAUUACAAUCACAAUCAAUCUUAUCUUUUUAGAAAUUAAAGUAAGAGUCAGGGAAUUCCUUGAUUUGCUAAUCAAAGGAAAUUCAAAAACUUCGUUCUAUCUCGGGAAGAACUUUGUCUUAACCCUUUAGCAACUUUGUAUGGGGGCAAAUAGUUCUCUUUGGAAAGCAUCACCAGCGCCUCGAAGUCUACUAUUUAUUUCAAUAUCGUCUUCGGAUUUUUCUUCUCCACUCUAUAUAUCUAACAACAAGUGCCUCAUACAAAUUACUAGUGAACUCAUGUGGAUGUUCAACUAUAUUAGUCCCUUGAUCAUUACUCCACUAGUGCAUUGAGGCUUCGUUUCCACACUGGCUUAGCUCUAUAAUGAAAAUUCUUUUAUUCUCCGUAAUUUCUAAUUCUUUAUAUACUCCCUCUUCAAAUAUUUUGUCAUCAAAAAUUAUCUCAUCGUUAAACCACAUGUAAUUAGUUUCAUCCAUAAUUAAAUGGUUUUUCAAGAUUAAUCUCUAUGGAUUAGUGAAUAACUAAAUAGAUGUUCCUUUCCACUAAAGCAUAUACUGAAAUUAACAAAGAAAAAGAAAGAAGUUAGUAAACUAAAUUAAUAAAUUUCAAAUUACAAAUUGUAUCUAUAAUUCAAAUAUUUCCUAAUUAUUCUAUUAAAACGUAAAAAUUACAUUAAAUUUAGUAAUGUUGCCUUCACAGCAACGACGCCAACAACUUGACCGCCUUCGGACGUACCAACAUCUAGAGUAUGAGUACUACAACUAAAAGAUAUGGAAUUAAGGUAGUGUUCGCAAGUAUACAGGUUAGGUUGUAAUAUAGUUACAACGAAGCAAGUAUGUACUCCGAGGAUCGUACCCAACACAGGCUAGUACUAAAUUAAUGUCAACUUGAACGCAAAUAGAAGUAAUUAGUAGUUUAAAUAAAUUAUAGUACAAUAAAACAUAAAAGAAUAUUUUUUGGGAUUUUAUAAAGAAUAAAAUAAAAAUAAAAAAAGGAAAGUGAGAUUCGAAAAUAUAAAUUCUAACUUAAUUAGAUCUAAGUAUGGUUGAUUAGUUUGCUUUGGUGAUCAUAACUAAUUCAUAUUUCGGGUUUCUACUCAACCAACUAGUCGCUACCCUAGAAGGAUCUCUCGAUCUUCCACUAAACUAAUGAGUCGACUAGAACUACUUAUCUCUCAACCUCACAAUUCAAACCGAUUCGGGGUAAAGGUGUUCACAAUAGGCCAUACCAAUUUUGGGUUAAUUCCUACCUGAAUGACUUUCUAAGGUCAUGCCUAGGUUUUAAGUUCUUUCUCUCCCAACCAGUUGCUCCACUAAGAAAACCCUACAUAACAAUUAAUUAAUCACACCUCCACCACAAAUCCCCCAUAAAAGAUUUAGCUCCUUAUGGAUCUCAUGAACACAGUAAUCUUGAUAAUAAAGAUAAGCAUGAAUAAUGAAUCAAGAUAAAGGUUAAAGAGAAUCCUGAAUUGUAUUGAUUGAAAUGCAGAAUCCACAGUAGUUUGAUCACAAUUACAACUCAAGUUCUUCGACAAAUACGAAAUAGAACAGAACUGAAAUAAACCUAACGCCUAAAAGAAAAUAAAAACUAGAGACUAAAUUUACAAAGAAAAUGUUAGAAUUUAAAAUAUGUCCUAAACAAGUGUUUUAAGAGCCUAUUUAUAGAGUUAGGGUUGUCGUCGUCCUCAACCCUAGGUUAGUUGAUGUUCUCCUGUUUUAAUUUCCAUUGUGCGGGCCAAAAUGCCUUUGGCUCGUUAAUACUUCCUGUAAAGGACUGAUGUCACGACACCCUAGUUCCUGUUUCAUGACAUUGAAGGCAAUAUGCAUGGUUCAAGGCUAACUACAGCGAUGUGUCGUGACAUCCCUUAGCUAUGUUAUGACAUCCAAGGUAGUACAAUUGUAACACCCCAAACCCGGCCUCGAAGUUAUGGCCGAAUCUAGCGGUGUCACAUUGAGGUGUUUAGUGAAAAUUGAACUCGUUGGUAAAAAUUCGUUUCUAGGUUUAAAAACCCCUUUAUUAUUAUUUAACAAAUCAUCUAGUAAAAAACGUUUACCUUGUUAUCUGCUAUUGUGAUAAAAGUUUGAUCUAAAAUCGCAGAAGCUUUUGAAAACUCUAAUGUUUAAAUUUCGUGUCUUUAAAAACAGUAAUUAUUUUGAAAAUUCAUCUUCUGCUAAACUAGAAGUUUAAAAUAAGUAAGCAAAAUCCCAAUUAAAAAUUUAAACAAACAUAAAUGGCCUUAUUACAAAAACAAAACCCAACAUAAACUUUAAAUUUAUUUAAAAACAAUAUAGAUCAGUUGCAGUUGUGUGGCCACCUCCGAGUCCCUCACAGCACCAAAUCGCCUAUAGCUGAGGAUUACCUGUACAGUAAAAAGGAAAGGGUGAGUUUAUGAAACUCAUUGUGUAAUCCCUUACCAAACAGUUAGCAUACAACAUUCAGUAACAGUCUGGGCUUGAGCCCUAAACAGUAAUAGUACAGUGUGGGCCUUAGCCCAUUACAGUAACAAUAUGUGGGCCUUAGCCCAAUAUAGUAACAAUGUGUGGGCCUUAGCCCAAUACAGUAACAGUGUGAGCCUUAGCCCAAUACAGUAAUCAAUACAAUGCAGUAAUGCAACCCAUCCCAAUCCAACUAACAUACCACUCCGUACCACCAACACACCAUGUGGGGAUAAAAUCGACCCACCCAGCCAACACACCAAUAUCGCAGCAAAGCUGCCAGUAACAGUAUCGCAGCAAAGCUGUCAGUAACUAUAUCGCAGUAAAGCUGCUAGUAACAGUAUACUUCCUCCAUAACAGUAUCCCAACCCCAUACAGUAUGUCAUGUCAUAAAUCAUAUGUGUAUGCUAAAUGUCAUACUCAUUCAUAGUCAUACAUAUCAUAGAGCAAAUCAGUUAUACAUAACAUAAGGCCAUAUCAAUCAUUUCAUCUCCUAGGGGUAUAACAAUCAUUAUUUUACCCUAUGGGGGUAAUUUGUUCAUUUUACCCUAUGGGGGUAAUUUGUUCAUUUUACCCUACGAGGGUAAUUCAGUCAUUUUACCCUACGAGAUAAUUCAGUUAUUUUAUCCUACGGGGGUAAUUCGAUCAUUUUACCCUACGGGGGUAACUCGAUCAUUUUACCUUAUAGAGGUAAUUUGGUCAUUUUACCCUACGGGGUAAUUUAGUCAUUUUACCCUACGAGGGUAAUUCAAUCAUUUUAUCCUUCGACGGUAUUUAAGUUAUUUAACCCUAUGGGGGUAUUUCAGUCAUUUUACCCUUCGAGGGUAUUUUGAUCAUUUUACCCUUCGGGGGUAUUUUGAUCAUUUUAACUUAUGAGGGUAUUUCGGUCAUUUUACCCUAUGGGGGUAUUUUAAUCAUUCUAUCCUAUGGGGGUAUUUCGAUCAUUCUACCCUAUGGGGGUAUUUCGGUCAUUCUACCUUAUGGGGUAUUUCCGUCAUUUUACCCUAUGAGGGUAUUUCAGUCAUUUCACCUUAUGGGGGUAUUUCGGUUAUUCUACCCAAUGGGGGUAUUUCGAUCAUUCUACCUUAUGGGGUAUUUAAGUCAUUCUACCCUAUGAGGGUAUUUCGGUCAUUUUACCCUAUGGGGGUAUUUCGAUCAUUUUACCCUAUGGGGGUAUUUCGGUCUUUCUACCCUAUAGGGGUAUUUCGGUCACUUUACCCUAUCAGGAUAUUUUGGUCAUUUUAACUAUUUUGGGUUCUCGAUGCAGAUAUCGACCACCCAGAAUUCCUUCCAGGGCCUGCUGAAUUAUUUUUAUAGAUUCCGUCAUUUCACUAAUUCGGACUAAAUAACGAGCUAAUGAAUCUCCUUCUUUUUGCCACUGGAUUUCCCAAUCAAAUUCUUCGUAACACUCAUAAUGAUAAACUUUCUGAAGAUCCUAUUUGAUUCCAGAUGCUCGUAGCAUUAGGCCGAAUAAACCCAAUUUAUUGCUUCUUCUCCACCAAUAACGCCUAUCCCUUAAACUCGUUCUAAAAAAAUAAGAUUUCACGUAAUAAUUUUUUGAUAUUCAAUGAUUCCUGUUAAAAAUAAUCAAAGAAAUCCAAACAUUUAUCUAUCCAGCCGUAAGGUAGAUCGGCCGCCACUCCUCCGAUACGAAAAUAAUUAUGCAUCAUCCUCAUACCGGUGGCAGCUUCGAAUAGAUCAUAUACUAAUUCUCUUUCUCUGAAAAUAUAGAAAAAGGGGGUCUGUGCACCAAUAUCUGCCAUAAAAGGUCCAAGCCAUAAUAGAUGAGAAGCUAUAUGACUCAACUCCAACAUAAUUACUCUGAUAUAGCUGGCCCUUUUAGGGACUUGAAUAUUCCCCAACUAUUCUGGUCCAUUUACGGUUAUUGAUUCCGUGAACAUAGUGGCUAAAUAAUCCCAACGCGUUACAUACGGCAAAUAUUGUAUAAUUGUUCAGUUUUCUGCAAUUUUUUCCAUUCCUUUGUGUAAAUAACCUAAUAUUGGUUCAUAGUCAACAACAUCUUCACCAUCUAGAGUAACGAUGAGACGAAGAACACCAUGUAUUGAUGGGUGGUGAGGCCCCAUAUUGACUAUCAUAAGGUAUUUUUCUGUAGCUGAUAGAUUCAUAAGUUUUUCCUCGAUUCAUUCUUACAUGAAUUGUUGAAAACGAAAACAAGUACAUCAAAAUGAAAAUUUAAUAAAUCGACUAAUUCAAAAUUUGCAAAUUAACGAUUUUUUGAUUCCCGAAUAUCCAACUCACCAAUUAAUUCUUUAUAACAUAUUUUAUUUGUCUCGAAAGGUCCACAAUCUCCUUGACCGACUCAGGUAACCUAAAUGGUCAUAAUAGUGUAAAUGGGCCCAAGGCCCAUUACUCAGCCCAAGUGAGCCCACACACUUGUGUGGCCCGUUCAACCCAGAUUUCGCCACGGCUAUGAGAUCUACUUAGCCCAGACCAGUAUUUGCCACAAAUCAAUGAUCAUAGCACCCUUGGUUCCCAGGAAAUGUGCCAAUCAACCUCGACCACCACCAGUUAGGAAUGAAAGCAAUGCAGGUUGGAGAGAGCGACGAAAACCUUGAAAACCUCGCCGAUCUCCCAUCGAGAACAAGGAACAAAUGAGAUGAUAUAUAUCUCUCCACAAUAACAACCUCCCCAAAUCCCAAUAUUCUCUCCUCAAAUCUCUCCAAGUAUCCCUCCUUAAUUCUCUCUAUGACCAGUUCAAACUCCAUUUAGCAGUAUUUCAAUCCAACUCUACCACCCACACGAAUUAGGCAGCAAAAUAAAUAUUCCCUUUCUGAUACGCCACCACUCAAACCUUAGACCCCAUGUACACUCCAUACGCCCCUUACCACUAGACCAACAACUCAUUUGUAUCAUAUUUUAACCACAAUAAUUUAAGAACCUACUAUCUAGAUCCAAGGAUUUUAUUCACUUAAAACAAAAAAUUUUGCAUAAGCCAAGGCUUGAACCCCUGACUUCUCAGACACUUCCAAACACUCCUAAGUCUUUUAACCACUAAAGUAGAUAUUCAUUUAUGUCACUUCCUUGCACAACUAAAUAUUUGUGUGCAGUCUCCUAACUGUUCCCUUGUUCAAAACCUAUUUCUUCUAGGCCCAAAAUUCGGGGUGUUACAAUAGUGGUUCUGGUCUUCUACUGCCUUUGAAUAGUCUUCUGCACACUUACUAAGUACAUUAGCCCACUUUUAGGCCUCAGCCGGCCCUUAAGGUCAAUAAAAGACUCAAAAUGAACUUUUCAUUGGAUUUAACUAAACUAAGAAAACAUAAGUAAAACAUACUAAAACUUCUCGUAUUCAAGCUCUUCAAGUACAAAAACUAGUUUAAUUAGCUACACCGAAUUACCACAGAUCAGAAACUCCGUGUUGCAGCACCACUGACAAGAUCAAUGAAUAGAGCAAUUUAGCUCUAUGUCGCGACACGACACCUUUAUUUCAUGACAAAACAGUCAGAUUGUCCCAAAUUCUAAAUAUUUCAAGGUGUGUUGCGACAUCAAUCCCUGAUGUCACGACAUCAGUAUCCUGCCAAGGGUGUCAGGACAUAAAACCCCUAUGUUUCAACAUCACUACAAUUUUUUAUAGGGUCGACCUAACCCUCCAUGCAACCCAUUGGUUUUAACACUUGUUUAACCCGAUUUUUAACCUAAAAACACCUACAAAUUUUAAAUCUAAAACACUUUUAACUUGUUUUUAAACUUUCUCUAACUUUAAACUCUCUCUAAAACCUUCCAAACUCUUGAAACUCAAAAACCUUGUUUACUUGUCUUUCUCUUUUGCUACAAAUUUUCUCCUAUUUUUCUUAUGUUUCUAUUUUUUGUAAGACAAAAGCACCACGACAACAAGGAACUUGCAAUGGAUUUUCAAAAAGAAUCACAAGUUCUCAAGCAAGGUUAAGGCUUUCAAAUAGAUUUUUACUAUUUUAUUACAUUAUUUGCUUGAUUUUUGUUAUUUUUUUAGUUAGAAUAUUAUUCAAAAUGCCUCCUAGGAAAUCUAGAAGUACUAGGGAACAAAAACCAUUGAUGGUUGCAAAUCUCUUGAAAUUUCCAAACGAGAAUGUGGAAAAAUAUUUUUUAGAACUAUAAGGAAAGACAUUCAUUCAAGAAUAGGGUUUUGAACCAUCGACGAUUCUUUACAAAGAAAUUUGGCCGUUAGUUUGGUAUCAUAGAUGGGAGAGAUUUUGCGUGACUCCCAAAGAAAAUGCGAUAAUCCUCAUAAUCCAAGAAUUUUAUGCAUUUUUUAAGGAUUAAGAGACAAGGAGACUAUAUACGGCUAUUUGGAAAACCAUAAUAGUACUAGGGAAAGAGGUGCACUCACCUCUUGUGAAAUUUGUGAGUUUUAAAAUAAAAUGUUUUCCUUGAAAACACAAAUUUAACAAGUUUAAAUGACAUAAAUAUGGAUAAUAUAGUGACCUACUUAACUGAAGAGAAGGUUGAGUGGAAUCAUUGACAGCAUACCGGUCUACCGAUCAAUUUUAAUCAAGCAAUAAUGCUCCCUACUAUGAAUGUUUCUAAUGUAAAUACUUUCUAAGCCAUUUUGUUAUAUGGUAAUUUGCAGAAUAAAUAGAUAUGCAUCGGGGAAUGGAGCAUGAAACAUUGUAUCAACGACUAGAAGGUCGGGGUUUUCUUCCCUCACCUAGUGACGACAAUACGCAAAAAGGCUAAAGUUCCAAUAGAAGCGAAUGAACAAUUCACGAAGCCAACGAAAAGCUUAAUAGGUGACUCUACGUAUACAUAGUAUGUCAAGCUCAAGUGGAAAAAAAUAAAGGAUUGGAACCAGCGAAGAAAGCAAAAGAUGGAUGUCCUGGCAUGUCUAAAAAGAAAAAAGGUAUCAAAAGCUCGAAAAAGAAAGUGAAAUUUCGAACAACGAAUGGUUGAUUAGAUGGAUGCAAGAAACAGUCCCAGUUAUUCAAGAAUUUGCAUGGAAAAAUGGUAUGAGAAUACCAAAAUUACCGCCACCCAAAUAUGCCCCAUUCGAUCCCAUAGCAGAUCCAAAGAGUAAUUUUAUAUAUAUAUUGGUUUUGAAUUUUCUAUGUAGGAACCUUUCAUGAAGGAAAAACUACCAUAAGAAUACGUCAAUGUCACAAUCAAUUGGGUAACUUCAUUCCUAAUCUAUUUAAGGGUUGCACAUUAGGGACAAUGUGCUAUCUAAAGUGUGGGGGGUAACAUAGGAAAUUUUAGUUUCAGUUUUACAAUUUUUCAUUUAUUUUUCUUGUCAAAAGUGUGCUUGAGUUUGUAGAAAUGCAAGUGAUUGGUUAAGAGCAUGCAUAUAGGGUGAUUGUAUUUACGAUAAAUUUGGCAUGAUAGUGAAUUAUUUUAAAUUUUUAGUUAUUAGACUACUAAGUUUUAUACAUUACACUGUAAAUAGGCAUUAAGUAAUUGAAUAUACCAAAUGACAGAGAGAAUAUAGGGAAAUGAGCAUGCUAGUAUGUAUGAUAAGUGGCUAAAUUGUGAUUACUUGAUUGAUUAAAUUUAUGAAUAUUGAGAUACCUAGGGAUGACCUAAGACAAUGUUUGGUAUACACCUAGAGCUAAAAAGCCAACCUUAUUCAUGAAUCCUUAAAACCCAUAUUUGAGCUAGAAAACUCUUCUUGAUAAACCUUCAUGCAAAACCAAAGCCAAAAUAUGAACUUGUACUUGCCUUUUUUCUUUGGUCCCUGAAACGCACGAAUUUACACAUCAUGUCAUAUGUAUUGAGGGAUAAGUAGAGACAUCAUGGUGGUUUUGUAAAUAUAACAGUGAAAUAGAAAGGAGAAACGUGAUAUAGUUAUUAUAAGGUUCAGCCAAAAUGUGUAAAACAAAAGAAAAUUUCAGAAAAAAAUCAAAAUGAGUAGAAAAAGUACUUGAACAAUUGAAAACAAAAUCAUUGUGAGUGGGAAUCAUUGGAAAAGUAAAAAAUGACUCCAAAAGUAAAUGUAAGGCCCAAAAAUAGGUCCAGUAGUUUCGAGUAAGUUUACCGAGUUUCGAGUGAAAAUUGGGAAUUAAUUGGGUUAAUUAGCGAUUUAUAUUCUUAAUUAGUUAGCUUAAUUUUAUCUAAAAAUCGUUAAAUAAUAUUUGGAAAAAUAAAAAUAUUUUUAGAAAAAUUAAUUUCGAAAAAUAAAAAUAUUUUUAGAAAAAUUAAUUUUAUGGUUUUAAAUAAUUUUUGGGUAAAAAUAAAUAUUUUGGGUUAAAUUGGAAUAUAAAAAUAAUUUAAAAUUGGGGUUUAAUUAGGUGAUUUAAAAUAUUAAUUAAAUGAGACUAAUUUGAAAAAAAAAAGGGAAAUGUGUAAGAGGUUUUAUAGAAAAUAAAUCAUAUUUUUAGAAUUUUAGAGGAAAAUGAGCAAAUUGUAAAACAAGGGAAAAUGGGGAGUGGCUUGAUGGCAAAUUCCCCAAAUUUUGAAAAUCAGGUGGGGGUUUUAAGUUUUAAAAACUCUGCAACUACCUCACUUUUCACUCAUUUUCACCUGAAUUGAGAGUGCUCUCUCUCUUUCUCUCUCUCUCUCUCUCUCUCUCUCUCUCUCUCUCUCUCUCUUUGCUUAUUUUCAUAAACCAAAUAUCAUAGAAUAGAUUUAAACAUUUUCUCUCCCAAAAUUCUCCCUAAAAUCUCUCAAAAUAAUUUUAAAAGUUGUGCGAAAAAUCAUCCGAAUUUCUUCAAGCAUUUUGAUUCAAACUUCCAAAUCAAUGAUUUGAGUUCAAUUGAAGGUAAUUCACAUCUUUAAACUUUUUUUAAGUUGAUUUCAAUCAUUAUUUGUUAAUUAAAGUGAUUAUAAUGGAUUUUUAACUUUAAUUUCUUCUUCCUUGAACUUGAGGAUCAACAAUGGUGGAUCUUUAAUUUUGAGUUGGAAUCCAAAUAUUAAUAGAUGUGAAAGCUCAAAAUAGGUCUAAUAAGAGGUUUUUAAUCUUAAACCAAAAGAUCAAACAUGUUUUAUGGAUCAAUUUUGAUAAACUCGAAUUUGAUGAAGAACAUAGAUGAUUUUUUCGAAAAAUUAUGAAACCGAUUAAAUGAUGAAAUUAAUACUUAAAAUACAUGUUAUUGGACUAGGAAUGAAGAUUAGAAGUGGUUUGAGGUGCUGAAAAGGGAGUUUAGUUGAGGAAUUCCACAUUUCGACUUAGUUUUCAACAUCGGUAAGGGAGUUUAGAGCAAUGAUCUAGAUUCAUAUUCUUUAUCAAAUUUCAUUUUUCUUGUUAUUAUUCUUAGUUUGUAAUGCAUAAUUUAUCUCUAUUAAAACUCCACAUCAAGAGGAGGAACAUGCAAAUCAGAAUUGAAGCUCAAACUUGCUUGUUUGAACACUUUGUUUUUUGCUUAAAGAGUUAAGUGUGGAGGUGAGUGAUAUUGAGAGAAAUUUGGUAAAUUGGCCUGAUUAUGUGUUAAAUUAAAGGUUUAAUUGGUUUUAUUAAUGACUUAACUACAUAUUGGAUGGUUGGAUUUGCAAAAAUAUGUUUUAUUUUAUAAAAGAGCAAAAUGGCAAUUGGUUUCGUAAGUUGUGUAUUAUGCUUUUAGCAUGAUUAAAUUUUAUAGAAUAAAUUGAUAUUUGGAGCAUGAAUUGUUGAUUUAUUGAACAUUUGAUAAAUGUGUUCAAUUGGUAUAUGAAUAUUGGGAAAAUGAUAUUUGCCAUGAUUAAUUUUAUUGAUGUUAAAAUUGCUUAGCGACAUGCUUUUUCUUGCAUUUUAACAUCCUAAAUUAAGUGAUUAAACAAUAGAUUUGAUGCCUUGUAUGUAUGAUUAUAUUGGCAACAUUGCAUGGUGAUCCAUUAGAUAUAGUUGGCACGCCAUAUUUGUGAGUACUCACCAUUAUUUGUGAUAUUGUGAGCCUAUGGCUCUUGGUGGAUUGAUUUGUUUGGAGUAGAUAAGAGAGUGUUGAGCUUGAGUCUUCACUCACCAGGUUAUUUGAAGCGCUAUAAAGGAGCAUGUGGCUUUGGCCCACUCAAUUCGGAGGACUUUAUUUGAUUUAUAGGAGUUCGGAGAUGCGUUUAUCCAAUAUAUGAUCACACGUUUACUUAUUGUCAUGGAUGUAUUAUGUCAAUAUAAUUGAUUGAUUGUGCCAAUAUAAUUGAAUUUUUAUGUGUUAAAAGAUGCUUUUAUAUGCCAUGAAAAAAAAUUAUUCUUAAUUAUUGAAAUAGUAUGUGAUGUUAUGGUGAAAUAUUAACAUGUUGUGACUGAAAAUUUAAUGCUUAAUUGCUUUGAUUUAUGCCUGAUUGGGUACAAAUUACUUGAUGUUUUUACUAUCAUUCAUUGAGCUUUUUAAGCUCACACCCUCACAUUACGUGCAGAGAAUUUUCGGGCGUAAGGAGUCGAGAAGCGAGUGCAAGGGCAAUCCAAGAAUAAGGCUUGGCAGUGGCUUAAAAAUUUUACUUUAGAGACUAUAUAGGGGCAUUGUGAUGCUUUUGGGACUAGUGUUAUUUUACUUGUAAUGAACAUUGGACACUAAAUUUUGGACUUUAAUUUUGGUGAUUUUAUAAUUGCUUUAAUACAUGAUUUUAUGUCUCAUUGAUGUUUGAUUUAUGGUAUGUUGAUGAGUGUUCGUACGGUGGUUGAUAACACGAUGAAUGAAGCAUGUAUUUUGUACUAACAAUGUUUAAUUGAAGCUUACCAUGGAGUGGAUUGCUUGCGACUAAGGUAUGUAGCUUGUGUGGAUUAAUUGGUGUUUGCUAAGCGUGUAAUUGGGUGUUAAAUUUUGAUUAUUGCAUAUGUGUUGUAAAUAAAUUAAAUUGGAGACGUGUGGAUGUUUAUGGUGAUUAAUUGUAACUAUUUCAAGUUUAAUGUGCAAGUAAAAUAUGUAAAAUUGGGUAAUUAAAAUGGAUUUUAAACAAAAUAGGUGCAGUGGUUUGCACACGGGCGUGUGUCUUUUCACACGGGAAUGUGGGUUUUGGGGGGUUUAAUUUUUGGUUUUUGUAAUCUAGUAUUCUAAUUUGCUUAAUUUAUAAUUUAGUCCUAAAACUUGAUUAGAUUAAUUAAAGCCUUUGAUGAUAGGUAAACUUGGUAAUAUUUUAGACUUGCAACUAUUAAUAUUUGGUAGAAACAAUCUUAAUUUUUAAUUUGAAAAUGUACUAAAAGUUUGUGAAAGUUACGAUUUAGUCCCUAAUAAUAAAACCUAAAUUAGAUAUAGUAAAUGAACUUGAAUUAAGUUGAAAUUUUUAAGGCUUGCAUAAUUUGACUAAAAGAAGGUAGAUAACUAUUUAGAAAUAAAAUCAAGAUAGUUUAACCUUAGGUGGUAAAAUAACCAAAAUACCCAUAUGUUUAAAUAUUUAGAAAAAGUUUUAAAAUGGUUCACAAAUUGCAUCCGUAUUAAUAAAUGAUAGUUAAUUAGUCAUAAAUGAGGUAUUAUAAGGUUGAGGUGCACGUCGGGUGGUCGUCAGCUAGAGAGUCAAUUCGGUGGCUAAUGUAAUGCUUCGAAUUCGGGUCGGUCCAUCCCAGUCGGGUUUGGGGUGUCACAAUAAAAGUCACAAAAUUAGAAACCUCAACAAUUAGUGCACAAAAAUUUGUGAGCUAACCAUAGUUGCUUUAUUAUACCGUGACUUGCUAUAUGGAGAAAUAAGGAAAGUAAAAGAAUGAGAAAUAAGGUGGUGAGCAGGCAAGGGAUAUUAAGGGGAAGAAUACGGAACAAUGGAUGUGCCAAACUACUUUUGUGCUUGAAAUUGUUUUGAUGCCCUUUUUAUUAAAUUUCAUACCAACCUUAAGCUUUAGAACGUUACAAGUCGAAAAGUCCUAUGUGACGUUGAUAAAUCUAUUCAUGAAUGGACAUUAUAUCAAGUAAUUGCAAUAAUGGUUGUUUGUAUUCUGUUAGUAUAAUCAAAUUACAUGUAUGAUUUAGCAAUGGAUCCAUAUAUUUAAGGACCUUAUUGUUUAUAUAUUUUGUAAUAUACUGAAUUUAGGUGUUUGAAGUUGAGAAUGUUAAGCCAUUGAUGUUGGAUUGUCAGUAUGCCCUGUGACGCAACGAAAAAUUUAUUCCGAUGAUCACCAUCAAAGGAUCAAAGUACGAGGAAUGAAUCGGGUUGAAACAUAAUUGGAAAUAUACCUUUAGCAAUCUAAUUUCCUUUGUGGUGUCGAUUCCAAGCCGUAACAGAAUCAUUUUGGCAUCUACGUAAUCCACUCAAUCAAGCAUGAACAAUAAAACUCUUUGAACUUUUCAGAGAGAAUUUAGAUUGGCUGCUAGACCUCUUGAAUUUUUCCUUACUUCUCAAUCGCAUCAUCAGGGAUCUUUUUCCUUUUAUUAAUUACCUAUAAUAAAAACGGAAUAAUUCUCUUUUACUUCUAGAGAAAAUCAUGGAAGGUAUUAAAGUUUUCUUCUGUCCAAAAGAAUAUUAACUUCCAUAAAUAUUAACUCUGGAAAAUAGUUGCGAAUCGUAUUCACUAGGCGAUAUGUUAGUCAGGCGAUAUAGUCCGCUAGACGAUACUGUCCACCAGGCGAUAUUGUCUGCCAAAGAUGUAUAUAGGAAGGUAUAUGGCCAACAUUUUGUAUGAAUUCUAUUCGCUUUAACCAUAGAGUGUGACCUUGUAGGUUAUUGUAACAGUAGUAGUAAUACUAGAACAUUUCUAAUGUUACAAGCAAUGAGUGGCAUCUAGUAAUGCAUCAUUGCUACCUAAGUUACAAGAAGUUGUGAUUCGACAUAAAAUUUCUAUGAUAAACUUUUAUCCUUUAUAUCUAGAUUGGACGCAAGUCAUGGUAUAGUCACACUUGUAUAGUCCAAUCUCAUAGUUCUUGAUAUUUUGAGUAGACUAAAAUAAACAAAUAAGUGUGAUAUCUCAUAUCAACUUAUUUGAGUAUGGCCAUGCAUUUCUAGUCUCACUUCAUCAAAUGGCCCAAGAUAUUACUCCCAUUAUGUAUGAGGGAUAAAUCAUAUUUUGAUCAAUCAUAUCCCACUACAUGGUUUGUGGUAUAUCCAAUAUCCGUCUUUAUAGUACAACUUUGACUACAUCAAAAUAUACAACUCACGAUGUUAGGACAAUGAUGAUCUCAAGUCUGAGGAUCAUAUACAUAGUUAUCACUGUAAUGUUGUGACUAUUACAUAAUAAUCUAAUAAACAUACUCACAGUGGGUCAAUCCAAUAUGUUGUUCUCUAACACAUACUCAUGUAUUGAUUUUGACAUCCCUAUGUCAAUGACGACACUUUGUCAUCAAUCAACUACACAUUAGUCUCAAUGCAUUAUCGCUGUCCACCCACAAUAAUACUUGACUAAGGACUUUUUAAGAAUAAUCAUAUUAUUCUCAGGACUUUAUUAUUUAUAAGUUUAUUUAUACACACAAAAAUUGAAAUAACAAUGACAAUGUCUUAUAUUAACAACGUCAAUGUCUUAUAUUAACAACAAGGUAAAGACGAGAAUGUAAUUACAAUAAUAUCAUGCCAUAAUUACAUGUAUAUAUGAUUAUUCCUAGUUAUGUGUUCCAAAACUGGUAUUUGUAUCAUAUUUGCUCAAGAGUUGUCUUUUAUUUUUCAAUUUUUAUGUUUUCUUGCUUGAGGACAUGCAAUGACUUAAGUGUAGAGGAGUUUGAUCUACUGCAAUUUGUUGUAGCAGAUUAAACCAUUUUUCAUACUUAGCUUGAAUAAAAGAAAUUUCAUCAUGUUUUACUUAAUUUUUCACUUUUAGUUAUCAAAUAAUAAAAAGUGUAAUUUGAUUCGUUUAUAUGACUUUAGGGGCCAAAAUCGGCCUAAAGGAAGACUAACGUGUUUUGUGAGUGUGCAGGACACCAUUCGAAAGCAUGAAAACACGAGCUGGUCGCCAUGUUGCAACACGGAGGUUCGACGACGCAACAUAGUGAGCAAGACACCUAAAAUAGAAAGAUUGCCUUCGGUGUCCCGACGUAGCUAGAGGAUGUCGCGACACAGCCUUGAAUCUGAGCCUGAGCAAAGUAAACUACCACCAAUGUUGCGACACCAGCUUGACGUGAAGAAUUAAUAAGCUAAGAGUGUUUUGGUCCGCACAAUGAACUUUAACGUAAAAACGCCGGCCAGACUAAAGCUAUGGAUGGCAACCAACCCUAAAUCUAUAAAUAGGCUUUACUGAACACUUCUUAGACAACUUUUCUGUGUCUUUAAACUUUUAUUCUAGUUUAGGUUGCAAGUUUUAUUUAGUUUUCAGUUUAUUUUAACUUUUGUCCGGCAGAGAAUCUGAUUGGUAGAUUCAUUAUUCUUGUGGAUUUUUGUUUUUUCAAAUCAUCAAUACAAUUUAGGAUUUCUCUUAAACUUUUACUCUUGAUUUAUUCUUCAUGUUUAUAUUUUUUAUCAAGUUUAUGUUGUUUAUGAGAUUCAUGAGGAACUAAUCCUCUUAUGGGGAAUUAACGAGUGGACGUGAGAGUACUUAAUUUUUGUGUAAGGUUUAUUAGCAAAUCAACUUUUUAGGAUAGGAAGAACUUAAACCCUAGGCCUAACAACCCUAGGAAGUCAUCUAGGUGGCAAUGAACCAAAAUUUGUAUUGCCUAUCUGUGAACCCAUUACCCCAAUCAGGUCUAGACUGUGAGGUCGAGAGAUAAGUAGUUCUUAUGGACUCGUUAGUUUAGUGGAAGAUCAAGUGAUCCUACUAGGUUAGCGACUAGUUGGUUGAGUAGAGCUCAACAUAGGAUUUAGUUAUGAGCACUAAAGUGAGUUAGUCUUCCAUGCUUAGAUUUGAGUGAUUCAACAAAUUAGUUUUCCAUUUUUUAUUAUUUUAUGUUAUUUAUUUAUUUUUCUUAUAAAAUAAUUUCUCUUCACUUUAUGUUUUAUUGUAAUAUAAUUUAAUUAAAAUACUAAUUAGAUCUAUUACGUCAGAGAUAUUAUUAAUUUAGUAUUCGCCUCCCUUGGGUACGAUCCUCGAAGUACUCUCCUACUUCAUUGUAAAAAACUAUAUUACAACCUGACCUAUAUACUUGCAAAAAUUGCCUAACUCUUAUUUGGUUGCCAGAAUUAUACUCUAGACGUUAGUACAUCUGGAGGUGGUCAAAUGCACAACCACAUUUUGCAUUCAGAGAGCAUACCAACAAUCAUUUAUAUAUAUCCAUGGUAUUAUGCAUGCAUAGUUUACCCUUUAUCGUAAUCAUAUACAACCAUGGAUUUUAGACUGGACUCAAAACAAACACUCGAACAAAACAUUUUAGCAGCAUGAUAACAAAAAAUAACCAAAAUAGAUUCCAGAAACUCACCUUAAGUCCUUUGUCCUCGCCAGCUUAGCUUGUCCAAACACCAGAGUCUCUUUCGUCCUAGAAGCUAAGUAUGACAACCAUAUAUAUUGGUUAAACCGAAAGUAUUCAAAUCUUAAAACUUAUAAUUCAGUAUCAUUCAAAAGCUUCCUAGAGAUUUCAGAAAUCCUUAUUUCCCUUUCUCAAUCCAUGAAUAAAAAAAGAUAGAAAGACUUACCAGUUCCUUAGAUUCUCUACUCCCUAACCUCAAUCCUCACGAUCACUGCCCCAUGCAAUGUUUCAUCAAUUUUCUCUCAUUCGGAGCAACCAGAAAAGACAAUGGAGAAGGAAGGAAAGUAAAAUAGAAAUGAGGAGAAUUCUGCCUUUAAAAUAAUCCUCCUCUCUCAUAUAUAUAACGAUUCUUAUGCACGGCUUAAGGCCCCAAGUAACCAUCCAUCGGCUAUCAUUUUGUCUCCCACUAAGGAAUCAGCUGGUUCCAACGUAACCAAACUAGAAUUGGUUCCCAACUAAUUACCAUUCAACCACCAAAAUUUUCCAAGUUUUCCAGUAGAGCCCUCCAACUUACUAUUUUAUUCAAUUAACUCUUAGCUCUCCAUUAAUUUCUAGAACUUAAAGAAAACCGGGUGUGACAAAUAUUGUAGCAAGACUAAAAACAACCUUAUUGUUUUAUGACCCUCUAGAUGGUCCAAUUAGUUAUGAUUUUUCUAUUUUUUUUAUAAUUAAUCCCUGAUGAGAUUCUCUCUUAUUUUGGAAGAGGCCUUCAGCCCUCCCAUUAGGAAAAAAAUUAUGUAAUCUUUCUUUUCUAUCCAAGUUCAUUUUAUUACCAAAAAGAAAAAAAAGUAGCAGUAUCUUUAGUUUCUUCUAGUGUCACGGGUAGCACAAAGAAGCCCGCAACCAAAGCACACUUUGAUGUUCCCUCUUGUUCAUUGGGGGUCAUUUGGCCUGACAAGAUUGACCCAUUCCUUGGAAAAGACUCAAGGCCUAUCUGCUUGGAUCCUGGCUAAAUUGUAAGCAUUGUAUUUUACCAAGGUAAUUAUUGUAAAUCCUAAAAGAUAAACAUGUAUAGAAUUUGAAUCCCUUAGGACUCUCUUAUUGUAGAUAAGAACUAAUCUCAACCAUUAAUGUAAUUCGAUCUGUACAGUUGGAUUUGAGGGAGCUAAACUAUAAAUAGAGUCAUCUCCCUUCAUUUGUAAUAAUUUCAUUCUUGAGUUAAAGAAUAUAUUGAGAGCAUUUACUCAAACACUUGGUGUGCGAUAUUUCUCUUUGGCUUUUUUGUUCAUUCUUUGCUCUUUUGUUUUUAGUUUGCUUCCAUUUUGCUUUGGUGUAUUAGAGAAUUUCUGCAAAAAUUUUCAUUUUUCGAGAGUAGGCUGACUUGGACGGGAAUUCAACCUAAGAAAUCGCCUAAAGCCGCGCGGUUUGCCAAACUAAAUUUCAAGCCCCAUGACAUUAAUAAUACCAUAUAUUCCUUGAUGGUCAACAUUUCUCUCCAUCUCCUAUAUAUAAAUGGUUAAAAUGUGCUACAAGUCGCUGUACGUUUCAAAAAUUAGGAAUUUAGUCCAUAUACUUCUAUAUCAUUGAUUUUAGUUCCCCUACUUUUUAGAUUUCAAAAUUCAUUUAAGUCCAAUUGUUAACAUUACUUUUUUUGUGACAUUUUUGAAAUAAAAACACUCAAUUGAUACCCAUGUAAUAAAAAAAAGACUUUGUAAUUAAAUUGAAUUUAACAAAAUAAUAAUAAUGUUAACAAUUAAACCUAAAUUUUAAAAUAGGGAUAAAUUUUAAAAUUAUACAUGAACUUUGAUUUAAUGUGUAAUUGUAUACAUAAACUUUAAUUUGGUGCAAUUAUACAUGUGAAACUCUAAUUGUGGUUCAAAUGUAUACUUGAAACUUUAAUUUUGAUUUAAUCGUACAUAUUUAAAAAAAUAAUACAUCAAUUUAUUUUUAUUUGGGAUAAAUAUAUUUAUUUAUGUAUGCAAUAUAUAAAUAUAAAAUGAUGUUAUAUCAAUAAUUGUGUUAAUUAUUUACAAAAAUUAAAUCAAAUCAAAAUUUCAUAUAUAAAAUUAUACAAAAUCAAAAUUUAUAUAUACAAUUAUAUAUUAAACCAUAAUUCAUAUAUAAUUUUAAAAUUUAUCCCUUUAAAAUAUGAAAAAGUAUAAAAAUAAGUUCCUUCAAUUAAGAGUACAAGGUUCAUAUUCUCAAUUUUCAAAAAGUAUAGGUACUUGUGCCACAUUUUAACCUAUAUAAAUAGGAUCGGCGGAUUUAGACCAACGGAGUGAAGGAUCGAAAUUGGCAGAAGAUGAAGGUUUCCGUCAAAACUCUCAAAGGCACUCACUUCGAUAUCGAAGUCAAACCCGAAGAUGCGGUUCGCUUCUCUCUCCCUCUUUUUCCAGGGAUUUUACGUUUCUUGACUAGGGUUUUCCGUUUUCCCCUGUAUUUGAACAUUAAUUCGCGUUCAUCUAGGACUGUAUUAGUUGGAGUUAUUAUGCACGUAGUUGAAUUACCAUGCUUGACAUGUGAAAUCGGAGAUCGUGAAUGAUUUGUUCAAUUUUAGUGUCUAAUUCAUUGAAUAUGUUUAUUUAGCUUGUGAAUAGUCUAGCUACUUCGAUUAAGUUUUAGUGGACUGAUACUCGUGUAGCUUGAACGGCGGUAUCCUUUUCUUCUGGCGACAAUUAGCAAUUAAGUACUUCCUACGUAAUGCUUUUUACCAGUUCAUUGAAAUUAGUGAAUAAUACUUUGAUUUCUGGGCUUCAUUUUUGUCUUAGUAUUUCAUUAACUUGUAUCAUUGAAUAUUGAUGCAUAGAUUGCCAUGUAAUUUCUAGUUGUAGUUUGCUAGAUUUAGGUUUGAAUUUGAGUAUACACAAGCUUUGAUCAUUGCCAUAAGCAUCUCAUAUUUUGCAAUGCUCUUUCACUUCUUUUUAAUUAGUGUGGUUAUGAACACUGGAUUAAAUGUACAGAGGCUUCUUUUAAUAGAUCUUCUAUAACCAAGGAUCAAGUUCUGCAUUCUAUGGUUACAUCUAAUCAAGGGUUGUGUUUUUUAAUGAUGUGGAUUUUCUAACUAUAUAAAUAAGCUAUUAUUAUUUUUAUUGUUUUUUGCUACUUUUUAUGCUUUUAAGGUUUAUAUAUACAUAUAUACAUACAUAUAUAUAUGCAUGUAUACAUACAUAUAUAAGCACAGACAUGAAAGUCUUGGGAUAAAAUGCAUUCUGCCUUCUGCCUUUUUCAUUUCUUUGUCACUUGUUAUUAUACAAUUCCGCUGCUAAUGCUUGUCAAUUCUUUCAGGUUGCGGAUGUAAAAAAGAACAUAGAAACUGUUCAAGGGACUGAUGUUUAUCCUGCUUCACAACAAAUGCUUAUCUAUAAGGGAAAAGUUCUUAAAGAUGACACGACACUGGCUGAAAACAGUGUCACUGAAAAUAGCUUUAUUGUGAUCAUGUUGACAAAGGUGAGAUUGUUUACAAUAUUCUGAUUUUUAUGUUUGUAAUAUUUCAUCUAACUUGUUCGAACUUUUCUGACCAAAGUAUGCUGACUUUGUCCUAAUAAAUGCUCAACUGACAUCAUUAUUUUUCACACUGCUGUUGAACUUGAAAGUUAUCUUAGUUAUAACUUAUGACGGAGUGUUGUAUCAUUAUAUUUUUCUUUUGAAAUCUGGUUGUUUCUUUCCUGUAGGUGCAUCUUAUAAAUCAAUUUGUUGCUAAACUAGAAAAUUUUCUUUGUGCUACUUUUUGACCUUUUACCUCCUUGUAUUUGUAUCUGAAUUUAUUUUUCAUGACUGUCAUUUUCAUACUAAUAUUGUCCUUUUUGCUUAAAUAAACUAGAAUAAGGGUACAACUGGUGAGGGUUCAGCUGCUUCAACAGCUCCUACAAAGAAAGUAAGAUUGUUGUUACCUCUCUUACUACUACUUGCAUGCAUAAUUGGUUGUAAGCAAUGAUUGUCACUGUACCUUUUUAGCCACAUUUCUUGAGACAUUUUGCAAUAAAUAUGACAUGAAAAGUGUUGGGAUUCUGUUUUUUCCAUGAUGGUAGAUGUUCUUUAUUUCAAUGCUAUCUAGAACUUGAAGUGAUAGUCAAGCAUCUUGAACAAAUAUAAUUUGUAAACGAGUAGAUCAUCAAAAAAGUUAUAUACAGCAAAUAGAAUGCUUUUAAGAUUUUGGGUUUUUAGAUAUGGCCCAGGUUUGAGUUGUUUUGUGUCCAACUGCUUUCUAUGUUACACUAUUGAGCCAUAAACAUAUUGCAUAAUUUGGAGUUUGAGUUGGUAUUAUUACCAAAUUCAACUGCCUUAAAUGUUUAUGAGUUAGUUACACGAUCUCUUAUCCAUGUUUCUCAAUUUCACAAUUGUUUUCCCUUUCUCCUUUCCAGUAGCAUAUCAAUAUGAAAGAAUAUUGACUCCUUCUUAGAACUAUUUAGCUUGAGCUAUUAACUCUCACAAUCAUUAUGCAAAUUCUGAUUUGAUCUUCAAAUUUCUUUUUGAGUAUGAAUAUAAAUUUCUGUUUUUCCCCCACUAUACAAUCUUUAGGGUAUGUUGCUUCUGAAAACUUAGCCUGUAUCCAAAGAUUAUUCUGGAGUGAGUAGUGAUUUUGGAUUCUUUGUAGGAUCCUGAGGCAAGUAAUCUGCCAACAGCUCCAGCACCAGCUUCUACUGCACCUGUUGCAACAUCAGCUAUGUAAGUCCUGCUAUUCUACACUUUUGGUCAGAUACAGCACCUUUGCAAUUGAUUAAUUGCUUAUUAAUUUUUUUUCAGGGCUGCAGCUGCCACUGAAUCUGCUCCUGUUGCUUCAAGUACUCCUCUGUGAGUAACUUAUUCUUGAUAGUAAAUUUCAUGCUUCUUAUUUGAAGGAUAGAAGCUUUUGAUUUAAUCGAAUUGCUUUUAGUAGGAGAGAUCUUGAGUUUUUCCUUGUUUUCCUUUGCAUACUUGUAAUAUCUUGAAUAAUGUCUUUGGAAACAGGUCAGAUUCUGAUGUUUAUGGCCAAGCAGCAUCUAACCUGGUUGCAGGGAGUAACUUAGAGGGAACAAUCCAACAGAUUCUUGAUAUGGGUGGAGGGACCUGGGACAGGGACACUGUUGUCCGCGCCCUUCGUGCUGCUUAUAAUAACCCAGAGAGAGCUGUUGAAUAUUUGUAUUCUGUAAGUACCUUUCUUGUAUCUUGAAGAAUAUGUGCUUUCUUGCGUGCUUCUAGUUGCUGUUGUUUUAUUGUUCUCCUUAAUGUAGAUGUGGGAAUAACCUAAUAAGCUGAGCUCAUCCUGAGAGGUUUUCUUGGAAUGAUGAUUAUGCCAUUGUCAUUUUUAAUUUGAUGUAAUUCUAUUUGAAACUUGGCCUUCUCCUUGCCAUGAUUUAUUGGUCAAUGAUGAUUGAAUUUCUGCACACCCAAAAUAUGCCUCGUAUCUUCCAUUUUGCUGGUCCUUUUUGACUUGGUGGAUAAGUUGACUUCACCCCCCCCCCCAAAAAAAAAAAAAAAACAAUAUGAACAGGAAUGUUGGAUUUCUAUUUCAAUCACAUGGUGUGUCUUAAUUUGUUUUAUGGUGGGUUUUAAUGGUAUUUUAUACUGCACCCUUAUCUUUCUUUUCUUCUUUUUUUAAAAAUAUAUAUAUAUAACAAGCAUGCAUUUUGUUUCCUAAGCUGCAUCUUGUCAUCGUGUCAUAAAUUAUUGUUGCAAAUGCUAGGGCAUCCCCGAGCAAGCUGAAGCUCCACCUGUGGCCCGUGCUCCUGUAGUUGGGCAAACCACUAACCCUGCAGCACAACCUCAACAGCCUGCACAAACGGCAGCUGUUCCUACAAGUGGACCAAAUGCAAAUCCAUUAGACCUCUUUCCCCAGGUAAAAUUGUCAUGCGGUAGACCUUUGAUAAAUUUGAUGAUGGGCAAAUGAACCAGUGACUUGAUGACCUUUUAUUGAUACAGGGCCUUCCCAACAUGGGUGCAAGUGGUGCUGGGGCUGGCACUCUUGAUUUUUUACGGAACAGUCCACAGGUCUCUCUCUUUCUCAUUUGGUUGUAUAUGGGAAUGUUAGCAUGACUGUCAUGUAAAUACCUACCUAGAACUACACUCAAUUUGCAAUUCUCUUUUCAGUUUCAAGCUUUGCGAGCAAUGGUGCAAGCCAACCCACAAAUAUUGCAGGUUAUUCUCUGGUCCCUUGUUUCCCCUCUUCAAUCCUAGUGUGUUUUUCAUUGUCUUUUUAUCUUUUGCUUUUUACCUUUCACCUUUCCUCAAUGUCUCCCUUUUUUAUAUUUUUGGCAGCCUAUGCUUCAAGAGUUGGGGAAACAAAAUCCUAAUUUAAUGAGACUUAUUCAAGAGCAUCAGGGUGACUUUCUUCGCUUGAUCAAUGAACCUGCUGAAGGUGGAGAGGGGUGAGUCUUGUUGUUUUUAGUUGCUCAUUUCUUGAAGUUAUAUAGUGUGUAUGUAUAUCAAGUGCUUAUUUGACAUCUCCUGUUGUAAAGAAACAUUUUGGGGCAAUUAGCUGAGGCGAUGCCACAAGCUGUGCAAGUCACACCUGAGGAACGUGAAGCCAUAGAACGAGUAUGUCAUCUUUUACAUUAAGGCUGACUUGGAUGUGUUCACUAUUCUCUGUAAUCAUGGAUUAUUUAGCUAUCUUCCCCACUGACUCUGGAAAUGCCUUCAUUUCCUUGGCCUUUAUCUGAGUUAUAUGAGAUAUGCAUCACAUCUUUCUUUUAGGCUAUGGUUUUACUUUUAGAUGAUUAAUAAACUCAAAUUUGUUGCAUUGAUCUUGUGCCUACAAAUACUUUUGUAGUCUCCUUAUUCUCUUGUGCAUUCCCCAUCUCUUGCAGCUUGAAGCAAUGGGGUUUGACCGUGCAACUGUGCUCCAAGUGUUCUUUGCGUGCAACAAGAAUGAGGAACUUGCGGCCAACUACCUUUUAGAUCAUAUGCAUGAUUUUCAUGAUUGAGCUGGUAAAAGAAAUGGCUAGGGGAAGUACAAUAUCAUUUUCUCUUUCGUUCUUUGGGUCCAUUGUCAUUCAUGUCCCCCCUCCCCUCCCCCCAAAACUCUACCGACUUUAUUCUUAAUCAAGUGAUGUAAGUGUUUGGUGUAGAGACAAGGGAUGUGAAGAUGUUAACUUCAUUUUUUU
rnacentral:lncRNA from 1 species